UACUCUAGGAUCCUACCUCUCAACUACGAGGAAUUCUACACUGUCACACUUGCACCACGUCAUCAAUAACAAGCCAAUCACAUUUCUUCUUUUCAAAAUAAAAGUACAACAAAAAUAUUUUUUUACAAUCAUGAUGGAACAUAUAUCCCUAAAAGAAAAUAUUUGAUUGAUUUGUUACGCCAUGUCACAAAUAUACCCAUUGUAUUCUAGAAUUUUUUCUCAACUACAAAAGCCAGUGUAUCACUCCAGCCAGCUAGCUAUAACGUACCUGAUCACCGAAGCAUACUUUACUCAUUUUUGCUUAUACUAUUUGAGGUAUUGUACGUGACACCUCUAAGAUUUAGAGCAGCCCUAUAUAUAAGAUAUAAUCAAAAUUAAACUUUUUAAACUAGCUACAAUAUUUUAGACAGUACAUGAUCGGUCCCAAAAAAUUAAAAGGGUUAAGCAUGCUAAUGUUAAACUAGUUCUAAGAUAGAUAAAAUUGUGUUCAAGCUCUCCCCAGCCCCUUUCCAUCAGUGGACUCCUGACGUAUACAAAGGGAAGCUAGGGCGUCAAAGGCAUAUCCUUCUGGUCACAAUGUACGCAGUUAUUUUCAUGUAUACUGAUCGUACGUCCCAACUAAUCUGGCAUAGACUUGUAGCCCAUAUAUUGUUAGUUAAUUCGGAUUUGGCAAAAAUUCGGUACGGAUAUAAUUCGGAUAAAAUUCGCCUUCUAAUUUUUAAAUUCGUUAAAAAAUACGGCUAAAAAACGGAUUCGUCAAUUAUUCGGAUACGUGAUUUAUACGGAUAUUAUACGCUCAUCAAUUAAAAAUUCGGGAUAAAAAAUUCGACUAUUAAAUUAAAUUUUUUUUCUCUCAAGAUUUAUGUUAUUAGCAUAAAUACUCAUAUUUUUUAAGAAUAUAAGAAUAAAUAGUUAUAAAAUUAAGUUAAUUAAGUAAAAAAUUUAAAAAGAUUUUUUUUUCUGUAAUUAAAUUAAUAGUUUUUUUUCUGUAACUUAAUUAAAUUUAGUUAAUUUGUAUUUUGUAGGCGCUUGAGGCGCUCAAGCGCGCGCGGGCCUCGUGCGCGGGCCUCCCAGGCCUCGCAGGCCUUGCCGGUGCGCGCGGGCCUCGCAGGCCUCGCAAGCACGCCCGCGGGCCUCGCUGCAGCGCACGCGGCGUGGUGCGGGCCGCGUUUUUUUGGAUCCGAAUAAUUCGGCCCGCGUAUAAUACGCGAAUAAGUCUUUUUCAUCAAAAAAAACCCUUUUUUUUUGAGAAUUUUUGGGAAAAAUACGAAUUCCGUCGUUUAAUUCGUUUUUUCAAAAAUUCUCGAAUAAUUCGCGAAUAAUUCACGACUUUACUAACAUAGGUGUAGCCCAAUCAUGAUAUCUCCUCCCAAUGUAUACCAGCCCCUUAGUACGUACCUUGCCCAUCCCCCGAUAUGCGUACGUCCUUAGGCAUAUGGAAGCUAGAAUCUAAUUCGAUCUAACCCGGCCAAUACACUAUCAAUUGGUAGUGUUAGAUCCCCACCUUCUGACCUACCAAACUCAACGUACAUCCACUACAAUAGAAUUAAACUAUAGAAAUAUAUGUUUGGAAUAUUUUUGUGUAAGUAUUCUAUUUAUACCAAAACGUUAAAAAAAAAUUUACUAAGGCCUAAAUAUAAAGCUCAAUUCAACCAAAAAUAAAAGAUUACUCUACUCAACCCACCCCACCCAGCCCAUUCGGUCUGAUUAUAAUCAGAAAAUAAAAAAAAAAGAAAAGAAAAAUCGAUCACCAUCUCCCCUUUUCUCCUCACUCAAUCCACUGAAACUCUAGACGAAGAGUCCUUCGCUCUUCUCCUCCGCCACCGCAACCAACGUGGUAGAGUUUUGGCAAUGGUUAAAUGCUUAAAUAAGUAUUGAUAAAUUAGCAGUAUUUUUUUUAGGUUAUACCGACACUCUUAAACUGUCAGUAUAUGCCUAGCGACCCCAUUUUUAUUUCUCUUUUAUUUAUUGAUUUAUUUAAAUUAUUUUGAUAGAUUUCUCUCAAAUCUUUUUCACAUAAAUAUUUAUAAAAUAAUUUAUUACUAAUAAGCUGUUAUAUAAAUCUACGUUCUACAUAUACCAAUUUUAAUAAUUUUUAUUUAAAUAGAUUUAAUUAUUAAAUUAUUUUUUGUAUAAUUUUUAUUUAAUUAAUAAUUAGACUUAUAAAACUAUAUAAAAAAUAUAAAUAUAUAAACUAAAAUUUAUUAUUAAAAUAUUUUAUAUUCGCAGCAUCAUGCACGCAGGACUUUCACUAGUAUACACGAUACCAAAUAAGGGUACAAAUUGAAGUUUACCCUAACUACAUUCGUGGAUGGACUUUCACAUUUUUAUUAUCUAGUUAGCUUGCAAUGUGUCUCAAUGGGAGAUGAAAUUUGAAUCUUCCUUCGAACAAAUAAAUAAUUGUGAGGACUGAGAUUUGAUAGUGUAACUAAAUUUUUUGUUGACCAUAUUUUGUGUGUAAUUUAAUUACAUAAGCAUUCAUCAAGUUUCAAGAGAAAACGAGUUAGAAUCGAGAAAUUACGCGAUCAUUACUAAUCACUUAAAGUGAAUAGUACUCUGAUUUUUCGGAGAGGUUGAUCAGUGGAGAUGGCUUCUGGUGUGUAUCGGACUCCGUUCAUAGCACUCCAAUAGCUCGUUUUCAGUGGUCCGACUAUUCUGGAACAAUUGGCGCUAACGGAUCUCAGAUCCGACGCACGAUUUUUGGGGAAACUAGAGAUACAUGUUUUCUAUGUAUUCAUGAGCGGGUUUUGCCUAUUGGAGAGAGGAUGGGUUUCGUCACGAAUCUGCGGCCAAAAUAGGUGAAACAAGAUAGUAGAUUCGAUGCCCCUGUCGUGCUGAUUGCAUUAGUGCAAUCCGUUCGCAAAUCCGAUGGGCGGAUCGCCGGAUAUCGUGUGAUUAUCGAGGAAAGGUCAAAAUAGCAUUUUUGUAUCUCGUGCGAAACCCCCUAUAUUUUAUGUACCGAAUCGCGUGAGAUCAAACGUGGAGUUGCGUACACGAGAUAUACACGCGCUGUGAGGGACUUAGUUGAUAAUAAUCAACUAUGGUGGACUUUUGUGCAAAAAUGCCAUUUGCAUAAAAAGACCACUUAGGGUUUCUCUAUGCAAACCCUACCCCUAAGCCUCCCUUUUCCUCAACCGAGCCCCCAGCCGCCCCUUCUUUGCCGGGUGGUUGUGCCGCGUGCACCCCGGCUGCCGGCAAGCAUCACUGGCGGCCUCUCUUUCCACCAAACACCUUGCAUCCUUGCCGUUGACCACAGGGAAGGACCCAUACACCUCGGGCUCCCUCUCCUGGCCGUGUCCCAAGCUUCGACGACUUCCCCACCGGUCGCCGUCGUCCCCGCAUGCUGUCGUCGUCGUAGUCAGCUCGCAGCCUAGCUUGGAUCAGCUCGGGCCGAGACCACCUCAACUCUUGGCUCGCGAGCCCCGCCGCCUAGGGAAGGCGGCGCCGCCCUCCCCCGCCCUCCGGCGACCGUCCCCGGCCGACCACAGCCGCCCCCGAGCGCCGCCGUCAUCAUUGCUUUAGCAAGUGGCCAGCUCGGGCUGGGGCGGCCAUGCCUUGCCACGCCACCCUCUCGGCCGCUGGCCGCCGGCUCCGCCUCCCCCUCUCGGCUCCAUGUGAAGGCCACGCUACUCUCCUGCUUGCUCCAGCCAUCGUUGUUGCCGGAGGAGCGAGUUGAGCCCGAGCCGAGCCCAUACGGGCUCGGGAUGCUCCAGCGUCGCCGCCGCCAGCCGGCGUGAGCGCCGCCUCCCCUGGGUCGGCCACACUCGUCCACCACCGGUGCUCCCGCCGCCGGAGCCCUCUGCUGGCAGUACCUGAGCCAGGCUCUUCCUUGACUCGUGCGGCUAGGGCAUCGUUGCCCGCCACUGCUACCGCCUCCCGUCGUCAGAAGAUGUGCGUCUUGACCUCCCCACACUGGCCGCACCCACUUGCCGCCGGCGGCCUGCCGCCCGGCCGCCGCCGGCUGUGCCCUAGCUCUCCCCUGGCCGGUAAGCUAAGUUAUCGCUGUUUGCGCAUUGUUUCCUGUUCGGAUGGCUAUUCCGGCGACCUGGUGCUAUUCCGAUGGCUCCGGAGGUGAGCACGGUGAUCGUUGGUCAGUGCUUAUCACACUGCUCACCUCAUUUAGGGUCAACGAGCCUCGGAUAUGUGACUUAGAAGUGUUUUAAUUUCAGCGCGCAGGGUCUGCUGAAUUUCACGUCGCUCCCGCGCUCCCCACAGUGGCCGGCCAUGCUCUGAAUCAUGAGCAUAGCCUCCAGCAUGUCGAGACCUAUCAGUACAUGUCUCGGCCGGCCUCGAAAGCCCUCGGUUUGCUGUAGCGACCCAUAAAGUCCAUUAAAUCACAUAAAAUAAUGUGAUUUUAUGAAACGUUGGGGACUUUUAUGCAAUUUUUACAUGUUGUGGGUGAUGUGGGCAGUACGUGUUUGUUGCAAGUGACCUCUGGCUUGAUUGUCCAAGGUCUGAUGCCUUUCUGAAAAUCGAAUGUCGAUUUUCGGUGCGUUUUUCGGCGAAAUCUACCGACGAAAUGCGAUUUCGAUUUGGAACUCUUCCGAUAGUGCCUCAUGGUUAAUAUGUGGUCAUUGAGCCUUGUUUGCUGGUCACCCACAUCGUUUCGAGGGUUUGGAAACGACAGGUGAGCGACGGUGGGUUUCGGUGUCGAAAUUGACACUUUCGGGAACCCGGAUCGAAACGAUAAUCCGGUGAUAAUAGUUUCGAUGUGAGGAUAUGUGUUUGUUGUCAGGUCACACAAAUUUUUGUGUUUAGUGGUAGCGGGUGACUCGUGGCGUGAGUCAGUGAGUUUCGGGACAAUUCAUGGGUCCCGGCGGAGUCCCAGUGCGAUUUUCGGGACUUCCCGUGAGUUACGGCAAUCGAUUUGGGAAACCGAUUUUCGUGGGCUUAUUAGUGGGGAUUGUGACUAGUGUUUCAUAUAUGUGGGUUGAAUUCUAAUUCGGUGGACCCUCCGUAGGUCCAGUUGACCUUCUUCCAAUGUCAAAAGACAGGCACUACAUUCGUACAGGUGGGUACUUCGAUCCGAAGUCGAUACAGUGGUGCACGCUCGGUGACGUUCUCUCCCCCCUCUCUUUAUUAUCUUGUAUAUCAUGUUAUGAGCCUAGCACCCUUUGACUUCGUACUUACUGCUCUACUUAGUUACUUUCCGUGUUUAUCAUCAUGAUUUAGAAGUAGAGUGGACUAUCUGUGGUGACCUAUUCGGUCAAUUCUGUGACUCAUGUUGUUUGAUGAUCUAUCAGGUUGGUAUACCCUGAGGGAUAGGAUUGUCGGAUAGUUGCAGACGGAUGAUUAUAGAUUAUACUGAUCCAUGAUUUGACAUUUAUGUGAACUAAUCGGUCGAUUUCGUGACACUUGUCGUCUGAUGACCUAUGAGAUCAGUAUAUCCUGAAGGGUAGGAUUGUCGGCUAGUGGCUGACGGCUAGUUCUGGAUUAUACCGAUGCAUGAUGUGACGUUCUUGUGACCCAUUGGUCGAUUCUUGUGUAUAUAUGUUAGUUGACAUUGAGUGGUCGAUACUUGCAUACCUUCGGAAGGAUAUUGAGUUGUUCCAUCUUAGUUGACCUGAGUGGUCGAUACUUGUGCUCCUUACGGUUUGAUUACCUAUUGGUCGGUGUGCCCCGAGGGGCGGUGAUUGUCGGCUAGUUGCCGACGGUUGGCUUUUGAGCAUAUCAGCAUUGAUCGCUCGAGACUCGUUCGCAUUUCACGUACACCAGUAGUUUGGCCACCAUAAUAGGGUGUUCUUUUCCAAAAAAGUGGUCGUACAUCCGACCCGUAAGCCCAGCGGCCUAGGCUGGGUUAUAUGCAGGUAGAGUGGCAGUGGCACAGGCUUGAGGUCUGCGGAUCGUCAAGCCAUGCUUCUGAUUGGGUAUUUUUGGGACUGAUCGUCCGGUUGAUGCAUACUUUCACUUGUUCAGUAUUACAGUAGCGACUAGUUAUAUUGCUAUGUACUGUUAUUUAUCCAUGUAUCAUUGCUACUGUAGUUAUAGUAUCCAUGUAUAUAUGCAUUCUGUUCUAUUUUACAUUACCAGUAAUUACAUGUUCUAUUACUGUUCCGAUCCCUUUCCUUCCAGUAUUAUAGCUACUGUAUUUGUGAUAUCUACCUAUGACUUUGAUGAUCUCUUUCUGCAGGUGAGUACUCCUCGCCUUCAUCGGCUUGCGGUACCCACUGGGGGGGGAGACAUGUGUACAUGUUCUCACCCCCCCACCCCCCUUUCAGAUGACAUUGCUGGUCCGAGUCGGGGCGGUGCGUGAGGCGCGUAUGUAGCGGUCGAUAGAGUUGUCGGCCCGGUGACAUUUUGUUUAGUUUCUAUCCUUACUUAUUCAAAUUAAAUAACUUAGACAUUUUAUGGUUCAGCAGUUUCAUUAAAGUAAAUAUUCAUGGCUUUGUGAAGUUAAUUAAAGUAAUUAUGGUUUUCAUAUGAGAUUAUGAAAAUAGUUUUCUACCCCAUGUGGUAGUGUGUUUUUAAAGGACAAGGUUUCUGUGUGAAAAACGAUUUUAAAAAGAAUUUUCUGGUUGUCAUAACUUUUAGUAUUUCAAAAUGAGUUUCCGGAUGGAAAACAUUUUAAACUAAUAAAUGUGGAUUUAUGAAGACAACAUUGCAAUCUUGUGAUUGAAUAAAUGCGAAUGAAUUUAUGUGAUGUGGUGAAUGUUUAUGGUUGUUUAUAUACUGUGGUUGUAUCUUAUACUUGUGUGACGCUGUGCAAAUAUAGGGGAAACUCUGUCCGUGUGAACAAUGGGCUUUCUGUAUUUGUGGCGGAUCUGACAUCCCUUGGAGUCAAAGCUUUAAAAAAAAAAAAAAAAAAUUGAGCACUUCCGCAUUGAUUUUAAAACCAAAAAGAACUUUGGGGCGUGACAAAAAUAAAGCCCACAAUUAUUCAUAUUUCAUACAAUCUGGUAUAUUCUGGAUUUAGAUAAUUAAGUGUAUAUAUAUAAUUAAUUUUAGUCUGAGGAAAAGAAAAAAAAAAUGCAAACAUAGCCAACAAGUCCUCAGAUUUCAAUUUUCUUCUUACAGAUACUUGAAUAUUAUGGCUCCCGACAUUCCUCUCGUCUUAUGUUAUUGAUCUUAUGUUCUCUUCAAUUAAGGUUGAGUUGAUGAGAGAGAGAGAUCAUAUUCAUUGUUUUUCAACUUGAAAAGAUUGCUUUCUACUCCUUACUAAAAGAGUUUUAAUAUAGCAAAGGCCAUACAGAUUCAGUCACUGAUCAAUCUAAUUAGCUAACUAGAAAACAGCGCGCAUAUGCCAGCUCAUAGUUUAUAAUGUUUUUUUUUUCCGUCACCAAAUUCUCUCUAAGUUUCAGUCAAACUAAGAAAUUAGUUACAAAUCGUAUGAACAAAAUUAGAAAUUUUUCUGUUUUUCAGUUGACAUGUAAGAUAUUGUUAGUCACCGAAAUUCCCGACUUUUGACCCGAUCAAAGAUCUUCCUCGGAAAGCGCGUCGGAGUUGAUACGGCUCCGAAAGAUGACCCUCGAAAUGUGCGCCCUUUGAUAAAUCAAACGAUUCGGCCGAUGAAGGAUCGAAUCAGCCGGGUUCGAAGACCUCUACAGUAAACUUGCUUCGGCAGAAUGAGCCGAAUGAAGAGGGGAAGCUCAGAAUUCGACUGAAAGAUGAGCCGAAUGGCUAAACAACGCAAGAAAUUGGCCGGCCUGAAAAACCGAUAAUAGCCCUUUAUUGAAUAUAACAGCAGAGAGUACAGGGAGAAGAGUUUUUACUCUACAACGGAGGGAUUCGACAGAAAUCUCAAAUCCCUGACCUGGUCAAAGAUCCUCCUCUGGGAGCGCGUCGGGAUGCGAAACGACUGCGAAUAGUGACCCAUGAAGUUUGUGCCAUUCGAUUGAUCAAGCGAUUCGGCUGACGAGGGAUCGGGUCAGCCGGGUUCGAAACGUCUACAGCAAAUUCGGUUCGGCUGGAUGAGCCGAAUGAACAAGAGAAAUAUGAAUUUUAGCUAAGGAAUGAACCGAAUGGCUAGCACAACACAAAAUCUGGUCGGCCUGAAUAGCCGAACGUGACUUUCUAUUGAAUAGAAAAUGAAAAAGUACAAGAAUAGGGGAGUGAUGCCCGUGGGGCAGACAGACUCCAAGUAUAUUCUAUAAGGGAGUGAUGCGCAUGGGGCAGACAGACUCCAAGUAUAUUCUACAAGAGAGUGAUGCCCAUGGGGCAGACAGACUCCAAAGAUCUAAGUUACAGGAACUACUCCUAGGAAAAUCAGUAAAUGCGAGAAAGAAAGAUGCAAAACAAUAAGGGUGGUCUUUUGUGCGCAGGGGCAAAGACCCCUAUUGCAGGCUUCAAAGUUACUAUUUAUAGCCCACAUUAUUAGUUGGUUGAAAGUAGUUGGGGGAAGUGGUUGUAACCAUGAUCGUGAAAGUUAUUCUAACUCCUCAUGGAAGUUACGCUAACUCCUCAUGAAAGUUACGCCCCAAUCUUCAACCGUUCCCGCCUUCUUGUCCUUCAGGCGCCUUAUUGCCGACUCCUGGUGUACCACGUGUCCUUGUUGGCUCAUACGUUGGUUAGGUCAGCUCAAUUUUGGUAUCAACAGAUAUAGUACUAUAUAUGAUCUUCGUCUGCUAUCAAAUUAUUAGGUGUAAGUGAACCACAAAUUCGUUCAUUAGGAUCGCUUUCAUAUAUCUUUACUAGCGUUUUCAAAACCGCGUAGAACCAGCCUAGUUUCUAGGCCAAUUCAGUUUGACCCAUAAAAGCAGAAAGUUUUAAAACCCAUGUUGACCAUUCUGAACCAACAGUUCUUGUCGGAUCGUUGGCACUAAUCAUUAAUCUCAAAAUCUUGAGCUGUUAGAAAUACGCAACCAAUUCACUUAAAUAUUACAGAUACAGCGCCCACGGGUCUCAAUUGUGACUCAGCCCAACCAGCUUCACGCCACUUCGAACAUGACUCGGCCCAUCCAGCCUCACGCUAUUUCGAACAUAAUUCGGCCCAAUAUGGCCUCCCGCCACAAGGCAGGAUGCUCGCCCAUUUAAGCCAACACAGUUCAAUAAGGUAUCGUUUGGUUUGGAAAUAAAAUUUUCUUUUGGUUAUUCCUGGGAUGGGUAUAAUUAACUUUGGGGAUAAACGAGAAUAAUAUCAAUUUUACGUUUGGAUUAAAAGUGAGUUAUUUCGAGAAUAAGAAAAAUAGUGUUUGGAUAGCUAGAUAGGAUUAAAAGUAAUUAUAGUAGUUAAAUAAUAAUAUUGUAUAUAAUUAAUUAAAAUCAAAAUAUUAAGUAAACAGUAUUUAAUGAAUUAAUAUUAAUUUAUCGUGAAUAUUAUUAGGUAAUCAUAAAUGUUAAUUAAUAAAUUAAUUACAACAUUAAUUAAUUAAUAAUUAAUUAAUCAAGAGUACUGUUAAUUAAUAAAUUAACUAACUAUAAAUAAUUUGAUAAGUUAACAAAUUAAGCUAAUAAAUUAAUAUAUUAGUAAAAUAAGAAAUUAAUUAAAACUCUAUUGAUACUAAAUUGUCAAAGCAUUUAAAUCUGAUUUAAUUAAUAUAAGUAUUAUACAUAUAACAACACAAAUAAAUUAACAAUUAGUAAUAUAAUUUAGGUAACUUGGUUAAUAAAAAAUAAUAAAAAAUAAUAACAUACAGAAUUCCAAAACGGACGCUAUAAUCCGACCAACUUUACUCAACUUCAGCGAAAAACUUUCACAGUACGAUCCUUGUUCAAAUCAUAUAUAUAUAAAUAGUUAUAUUAUACUAUAAUAUUAUUAUAUUAUAUAUACUAAUAUAGUAUAUAUAUAUUUUUUUCAAAACUAAAAAUUUUGAAAGAAAUACUUGUACAACUGCCUGCAUAAACAUGAUCCAGCUAAAUAUGGCCACAUCAUCUUGUUCUCUCUGGCAACUCGAUAACUUUUUGUCCAUUUAUGUUGCCGAUCACAGCCGUUGCUCUGACUCGAUCCAAUCCAAUCUACUCAAGAAACACAAUGAAGCUUAAAGACAACAGAAACGUGAUGACACCCUGUUAUAAAAUAAAAUUUCUCAUUUAUAGUUUCCAUUUGCAAGGGUAAUUAACACUAUAGUCGACAACCGUUUCACAUUUUCAAUCUUUGAACCUAUCUUCUUUUUUUUUUCAAUGAGUCUCCUAACUCUGGAUUUCAUUUUAAAUUAAUUCCCAAUGCCGUUAAAUAUUAUAAAUUCGACGGAAAAAUACUACGGAGCUUAUUCUAGUGCCCAGUGGUUUGUCAGAUUACAAAAAAAAAAAAAAACAAAAAAAAAAAGUUAGACCAAAGAAACUGACUUGACGCUGAUAUACGGCCACGGUAGGGUCCCAACUUUUUUUUUGCAAUCCGCUGACACAUGCACGCCAACCGGUGCUGACAUAGGCCACUCUUGGCCUGACAAUAUUUGGUACGUGCAAUUUCGUCAAUUUAACAUUUAUUUUAUCACGUUAAUACUUAACUUAAAAAUAAAAUCAAUGAGAUUAAGGACUCAAUGCAAAAAAAAAAAAAAAAAAAGCUUGAGACACAAGUAAAACUUGUGAAAGGUGGAACACUAUGUAUUUAAACCUCUUUGCAAGCUAAACUUGAUGAACGGUCUUUAGAAAAAUGAAUAAAACUAAAUCAUAUAUAUAAUAAUCAUAUAUAAUAUUAUAUAUUAUAAUAAGUUUUCAUUCCUAAAAACCUAUCAUCAAUUAGCUUUGGCAAAGGCUAGAAUAUAAUAUUAUCACAGCAACUAAUUAUUAGUUUAUGAUUUAGUUCUUAAAUUGAGAAAUGUCAGUUAGGAUGAUGUGCCUUUUAGGGUGAUGGUGUAUUAUUUAAUAAUAAGAUUAAGGGUAAAAAUAAUCAAAGUGUUAAUUACAUGGCCAGAAAAUUGCAUAGCACCAAGAGUGUACGGUGCUGAUCAAUAGCACAGAACUAUAGAUAUAUAUAUAAUAUAUAUAAAAAUAUAAUAAUAUAUAUAUAUAAAUAUAUUAUAAUAUAUAUAUAUAGAAUAUAUAUCAUCACGUAUUCAAAAUUUGUCUAUCGACAGACCCAUAUUUUUGCCGGAAAAACAAAUCAUUCCUCUAUUCAUUAAUUACAUAAACCAUAAAUAACAACAUAAACAAACUUAAUUUCCUCUUUGUUUCUACACAGAAAAAAAAAUUCCAAUCUUUUUGCCCCGGAAAAUUUCCUUAAUCUAUCAUUAUACUAUUUAUAGUACAUAUAUAGUAAUUGUCAUAUAAGUAUAUGUACAUAUAUAUGUAUAUCUACAUAUAAGUAUAAUUACAUAUAUACAUUAUAUAAUAAUACAUAUAUAUACAUAAUAUAUAUAUAUAUUAUACAUAUUUAUAUAAAUACAUAUAUAUACAUAUACAUAAUAUAUCAUAUAUAUAUACAUAUACAUUAUAUUAUAUAUAACAUAUACAUAACAAUAAUAAUAAAAUAUAGUCGAUGUAUUAUAUAUUAAAUAUUAACUAUACAUAACAAUAUAAUAUAUAUAUAUAUAUAUAUAUAUAUAUAGAAAUACAAUUACAAUACAGUAUAUAUAAUAUAUAGUACUAUAAUAUAUAGAUAUAUAUUCAUAUACAUAUACUAUAUAUUAUAUAUAUACAUAUACGAUAUAUAAUAUAAUAUAACUACCUACAUAUAUAAUAUAUAAUAUAUAUACAAUAACAUAGAUAAUUAAUUAUAUAUAUAUACAUAUACAUAUACAUAUACAUAUAUAUAUAUAUAAUAAUAUAAUAAUAAUAACAUAACCAUAACAUAUACUAUAUACAUAUAAUAAAUAUAAUAUAUAUAUAUAAACACUAACAUAUCAUAUAUAUACAUAUACAUAUAACAUCAUAUACAUAUACAUAACAUAAUAACAUCAUAGCAUAAUACAUAUAUACAAUACAUAUACAAAUAUAUAAUAUAUAUAUAUAAAUAUCUACGAUUACAUAUACUAUAUAUAAUACAUUAUAUAAUAAUAUAUAUAAUAUUCAUAUAUCAUAAUAUAUAUACAUAUAACAAAUAACUAUAACAUUAUACAUAUAUAUAUAAUACAUAUAUACAUAUAUAUAAUAUAUACAUAUAAUAGUAUAUAUAUACAUAAUAUAUAUGUAUAUAUAAUAUAUAUAUAUAUAUACCAAAUUAUCUCUAUUCCUAUCACUAAAUUGUUAUUAUAUAACGGUAUUUGAAAAUUUAGUUUAAACAUAUUUACUUUAAAUUAAAAUUAUAGAAUAAAAAUAAUAUAUAUUAUAUCAUAUACUACACAAUAAUACAUUUAUCAAAAAAUAAUAUUAAUGUAUAUCUAAUUUAAUGUAUAUCAUAUCUACACUAUAUGUAAAUUAUCAAAAAAUUUAAUAUACUUAUCUACACUAUAUAUAAAUAUAAAAUAAAAAAAACUAUAAAAAUUAAUUGUACAAAUUGGUAGGUAUCGUCUAAUAAUAUAAAACAUAAAUUUACUUUGUAAAAAAUUUUAACUAUUUAAUAAAUAUUGAAUGUACAAUUCCAUAUUAAUUAAAAUAAUAUAAUAAAAAUAAUAAUAAUAAUUAAAUUGUUAGUAAAAUAUUUGACUACAACUUCAACUAGUAAAAACAAAGCACGUAUUAUCAACAUUUCGGUCUGUCGACAGACCCAUUUUUUGGCGGAAAAAAAAAAUUCGAUUCCUCUUUCCUUACGUAAAAUAAAUAAUAGAAUUAAAAAAACUUUUAUUUUCUCUUUAUUUCUACAACAGAAAAAAAUUUAUGCUUAUCCAAAUUUUGGCCAACCGAAAGAUAUCUACUGUGAAUCUAAAUUUUAAUUCAAUUUUCUUAAAAUUUCUUUUUACCUCUAAAAUAGACAAAAAAUUCACGCUUAUUCAAAUUUCUACCACAAUAUUUACUGUAAAUCUAUAUUUCAAUUUAAAAUUUAAAAUUAAUUUAAAAUUUUAAAUGUUGGGACUACCAACAUAUUACAACAGAAAUAAUUGUGUAGAUAGAUAGGUUGAUAAAUUUGUAAAUUACAUUUUUGAAUUAAUAUGAUCUACAAAUUUAUGAUCAAUUUGUAAAAAAUUUAUCUCAAAUAAGAAUAAAUGGUUAUGAUCAAUUUGUUCAAAACAAAUAUUUAUAUCCAUCUAUAAUUUCAAUUCUACGAACGGUUAUGAUCAAUUGGUUAAAAGUAUUGAAAAUAAAAAUGAAUUGUUAUAAUCAAUCAAUUAAAAAAUAGCACUUCUAUCGAUAUAUUUUAUAUUAAAAUUUAAAUUUGAGUCUAAAUAAUGAAUUAAAUUUAAUUUUAAAUUUUUGAUAUCAAAUUUGUUAUUAUAUUAACUCUUUAAUUUGAUACUUUUAGUUUAAAAUAUAUUUAAAUCUUGGAUUUGUUAGAAUAAAAAUUUGUAGAAAAAUUUUUCAAUGUAUAUCCAUAUCUACAGUAUUUAAAAAAUAUAUUUUUAUUGUAAAUUUUUAAAUAAAUAUAAUAUAUAAAUUUAUAUUAAUUUUAAAAAAUUAAAAUAAUUGUUACGUGCAAAAGCACGUACUCUUGACUAGUAUAUAUAUAUCUAUAAUAUAUAUAAAAGCACGUAUUUCAAAUUUGGGUCUGUCGACAGACCCAUUUUUUAGCCGGAAAAAAAUAUUGAUUCCUCUUACCUUAUGUAAAAUAAAUAAGGGAUUGAAACAAACUUUUAAUUUCUGUUUAUCUCUAAAAUAAAAAAAGAUACACUUGUCCAAAUUUUUGACAACCGAAAAAUAUUUAUUGUGAAUCUAUAUUUUAAUUAAAAUUUUAUUUAAUUUUUUAUCUCUAAAAUAGAAAAAAAAAUUAUGUUUAUCUAAAUUUUUGCCAGAAUAUCUACUGUAAAUCUAUAUUUCAAUUCAAAAUUUAAAAUUAAUUUAAAAUUUAAAAUUUUCGGACUAUCUAUAUAUUACAAUGAAAAUAAUUUAAAAGAUAAAUUGGUUGAUAAAUUUAUAAAUCAUAUUUUUGAAUUAAUAUGAUAUACAAAUUUAUGAUCAAUUUUUAAAAAUUAUCUCAAAUAAGAACAAACGAUUAUGAUCAAUUUGUUAAAAAAACAUUCAUACAUAUCUAUAACUUUAAUUCUACGGACGGUUAUGAUCAAUUGGUUAAAAAUAUUGAAAAUAAAAAUGAACAAUCUUGUUAAUCUGUUAAAAAGUAGCACUUUUAUUCAUUUAUUUUACAUUAAAAUUUAAAUUUGAGUUUAAAUUGUGAAUUAAAUUAAAUUUUUGAUUUUUAGAUCAAAUUUAUCCAUCUAUUUUAUAUUAAAAUUUAAAUUUGAUAUUAUAGAUAUUUUCUAAUAAAAUGUAACAUAUAAUUUUAGAAAAUAUUUUAUUCUAAAUUUUUUAAUAAAUAUAAUUUAUAAAUGUUUAUUGAUUUUAAAAUAAAUUAAAAUAAUUGUUACCUGCAGUUGCACGUACACUCAACUAGUAUGUAUAAAUGCACGUAUUUCAAAUUUCGGUUUGUCGUCCGCGGGAAAAAAAUUGAUUCCUCUUUCCUUACGUAAAAUAAAUGACAGAAUUAAACAAACGUAAUUCCUUUUUAUUUCUACAACAUAAAAAAAUUUAUACUUAUCUAAAUUUUUGCUAACCGGAGAAUAUCUACUAUGAAUCUAUAUUUUAAUUCAAAAUUUAUUUAAUUCUUCUUUAUCUCUAUCUAUAAUAUAAUAUAAUAUAAUAUAAUAUAAUAUAUAUACAUUAUCUCUAUUUAAUCUAGUAAUAUUUAUAUACUAUUAACUUUAAAUUGAACUUUAUUAAAAAAUAUAUUUUUAAAUUUAAAUUAAUCAUAAUUAAAAAUAUAGAAAAAUAUUCAAUGUAUAUUAUAUGUUAUCUACUAAUAAAAUUAAUAAAAAUAAAAAUAUAUAAUUAUAUGACAACAACUAUUAAAAUUGAGUUAGAAAUAUAUAACAGUAUUUUCUAAUAAGUACAUAAAAAUAAAUUUAUUUUUUAAAAUAUUAUAAAUUUUUUAAUAAUAUACUGUACAAUUCAUAUUAAUUUAAAAAAAUUAUUAAAUAAUUAAUUGUUACGUAUAUUUGUACGUACACUCAACUAGUGUAUAUAUAUAUAUAUAUAUAUAAAGGUGUAAUUGAUGCUAUAUUAUUAUCUUUUAAGCUUUUUAACCUAAAAUUUAUAUAUUCCAGCCUUUUUAACCUAAAAUUUAUAUAUUCCAGCACAUGUGCAUGCUGAAUGAUAGAUAAUUAAGAACGCAAAUCGAGAAGUUCAUGCUUUUUGUCUAAAAUUUAUGUAUUUGAACUUUUGAUAUGCAUGCGUGCAUUCUAAUUGUUAUAAAAAGACAGUAUACAUUGGAUUUUGAUUUUGAGACAUUUAUCGUAGAACUUUAGGGAAGCAAUUAAGUGCAUGGUGUGUGACGUACAAGGAAUCCUAGGUUUAAAUCCAAAAAGUGGCUAUAAUCGGACAACUUUACCUCAACUUCAUCAAAAAAAGAAAAAAAAAAAAAACUUAAUAGCACCAUGGGGAUGAUACUUCUAAAAAUAUUCCAGCCCAAUUAUAUAUAUAUAUAUAUAUAUAUAUAUUGAAAUACUAAAAUCUUUUAAAGAAUACUUGUACAACUGGCAUGCAUGCAUGCAUGAUCCAGCUACUAUAUGGGCCACAUCAUUUGUUUCUUCUUUGGGGAAUCUCGAUUAUCUUUUGUCCAAUUUGUUUGCCGAGUCACGCGUCUUGGCUCUUGAGUCAAUCCAAACAACUCACGGAAACAUCCAAUGAAAGACUACAGAAUUUUCUUACAACAAUAUAGAAUAACUAUAGACUGCAAAGGGUUUCGCACGCCAGUAGAACCUUGUUAGGAUUUGGUUAGAUUUGUAGUUGAAUCUUAGUUGGAUUAGAAUUAAUAUUUAAAUCUAUUGAAGAUAAAUUAAGAUUUAAAUAUUAAUUAGAAUAUAAAUCUAACUAGAUUAUAAUAAAUAUUUAAAUCUAUUAGAGAUAAGCUAAAUAUAGAUUUAAAUAUUUAUCGGAGUAGGAAUCCUAAUUAUAUUAGGAUUUAGGCAGCUUUUGAAGUAAGCUAUAAAUAUAGCAUAGGUGCUAUUGUUUAUGGUGGUGGUGGUGGUAUGGAUUAGCCACACCCAUAUGGCAUGGCCAAAAUGGUCAUGAUUUUGGUUGCACCUAGUGUAUUGGUAUAAGAGGACGUGUGCGGCUCUUGUAGCCGUGGGUCAUUGGUAUACCUUGUGCAUGGAUGCACAGGAAGAGAGAUGUCUUCUAGGAGUAUAAAAGACAAAAGAAGGGUAUGAGAGAUUCAAGAAAGAGGGCUCGGGUUGUGGCUACUCUAUUCAGAAGAGGAGUCAGGUGUAAUUUUCUCUUAUUUAAUGAAUCUUAUUUUACCUGCAUAUUUUUUUCUUUUAUGAUUGUAUCAGCUUUUGCUGAGGAGACGGGUUUAUGGUAAAACCCGAUUCGGCGCUUCCGUUGCGGAAUCUCAAUAAUCGGUACCGCAUCCACAGCCAUCAGUAUCGGAGCGGUUUGCGGAUUCACAAGAUCCGAUACCGGGGCGAGUACCAGAUUCCCAACAUUUUGUAUUAGAGUUGAAGGUUUUCGAUCCUUGUAGAAGAUCGAUGUCAGAGCACUGUGUUACCGAUCGUUCAGAGCGAUCGAUGUUUAAAGCACAAUUGAUCUCGUUAGGCGCAUUGGACUCGAAGGGUUGCGAUAUUUCUGCUUCAAGUGGAGCUAUGAGGGUCCGAAAGCGAGAUUGGGUCAUGUGCGAGGCGAACAAACGUAAGAACUUAUACGUUUUGAAUGGGAGCAUAGUUAGAAUGUUAGCGAAGACGGUUUACGGUUCCAAAAGUUCGCGGAAGUGCAGUCGCUCGAGGCGAAACGACGGAUGCGGCGACAUCGAGUGGAGGAGACAAGGUCAAUGUGGAGCUUGCAUUGUGAGCUCGACGCAACGGUUGAAGGCUACAAAUCCAACCAAGGUGGAGAAUGUUAGGAUUUGGUUAGAUUAGUAGUUGAAUCUUAGUUGGAUUAGAAUUAAUAUUUAAAUCUGUUGGAGAUAAAUUAAGAUUUAAAUAUUAAUUAGAGUAUAAAUCUAACUAGAUUAUGAUAAAUAUUUAAAUCUAUUGGAGAUAAACUAAAUAUAUAUUUAAAUAUUUAUCGGAGCAGGAAUCCUAAUUAUACUAGGAUUUGGGUAGCUUUUGAUGUAAGCUAUAAAUAUAGCAUAUGUGCUAUUAUUUUGGUGGUGGUGGUGGUGGUGGUAUGGAUUAGCCACACCCAUAUGGCAUGGCCAAGAUAGUCAUGAUUUUGGUUGCACCUAGUAAGAGGACAUGUGCGGCUCUUGUAGCCGUGGGUCAUUGGUAUACCUUGUGCAUGGAUGCACAGGAAGAGAGAUGUCUUCUAGGAGUAUAGAAGACGAGAGAAGGGUAGGAGAAAUUCAAGAAAGAGGGCUCGGGUUGUAGCUACUCUAUACAGAAGAGGAGUCAGGUGUAAUCUUCUUUUAUUUAAUGAAUCUUAUUUUACCUGCAUAUUUUUUUCUUUUAUGAUUGUAUCAGCUUUUGCUGAGGAGACGGGUUUAUAGUAAAACCCGAUUCGACGCUUCCGUUGCGGAAUCCCAACAAUCGGUACCUGAUCCACAGCCGUCGGUAUCGGAGCGGGUUGCGGAUUAACAAGAUCCGGUAUCGAGGCGAGUACCGGAUUCCCAACAAACCUUAUCUUAGCUCAUUUUAUAGUUUGCCUUUUGCCGAGCGAAACGUGAUGAUAGGUCCUUAGAGAAUGAAAACUAUAUAUAUAUAUAUAUAUAUAUAUAUAAUAGAGUAGGCUGGUAUACUAAUGCGGUAGCACGGAGUUCCUGCUACCCAAGUUGUUUUCAAUGAUGUAGCUUCUCAAAUAACGAUCGGCUCGUUAGAAUUGAUCUACAUUAUUGAAGUAUUUGGAAACUAAAUUCAUAGUUUUUCGGGAUCAUUUACCUAUCAAACGAGUAUGUAAAAAAUGAACGGCUGAAUAAAAAAUUCUCAUAAAAAAUGAUGAUAAAAGACUUGAAUUUAAGAUCAGAGUACGAUUUUACUCUAAAUGUGAAAAGAAUUUUUUAUUAAAAUUUCAUCAAAUUGGACUGUUUUAGACCGUUAAAUUCACAACGGCAUCACAUCUAACCGAUUAAUAUGUUAGAUUUUAAAGACUUUGAAUCAGCUAACACAUGAGCCGAAAAAUUAUGAAAAUUAGUUCCAAAUACUUUCAAUAAAUUUAAUGCAAGUCUAAGAACCUGAUCGAUCGAUUUGAAACCGCAUGAAUUGAAAAACAACAUUGUACACGGAGGCCUCCGAUGCUAACCGAUAUGUACCAGCCAGCUUAUCAUACUAUAUAUUAUAUCUAUAUAAUAUAUAUAUACUAUAUAUUAUAUAAUUGAGCUAGAAAUUUUAGAAGCAUCAACCUCUUUGUGCUUCUAAGUUUUUAACAGCCUUGAUAUACUUCUUGAUUAUUAAUAGUCUUUUGGAUUAAACACUAUUCUACCUACCGCACCUAUCACCAUCACUCAAUCCUACAUCUCUCCAUCCAAAUGGUAAAAAUCAAAACACCACUCUAUUGGUGCUUUAAGAAUAUUCUAGCUCAACUUAUAUAAUAUACGUAUAUAUGUAAGGGUUCGGCCUACUGCUAUUAUGAGUAACGAUCGCUUUCUGGUAACGCCAAUAAAUCGUUUCAAUGCAUCAGAGCUUCCGAUCGAUUCGUAUGCAUUUUAUUCUUUCAUGAUGGACUUAUUAUGAUUUCGAAAAAUUUACAAAAUUAUUUUCUAGAAGUUUCAAAUACUUCUAUAUCAUAUUACGGAGUGAUCGUCGAUUCGGAAGGCUUCCAUCAUCGAAAACAACUUAUGCAGUACGAGGGUUCCAAUAGCUCAUAAAGGUAUAGGUAGCUGCAUUGGCCUUAUAUAUAUAUUAUAUUAUAUAUAUAUAUAAUAUAUAUAAUAGUAUAUAUCUAUAUAUAUAUAUAGAGUGUAGGCUACUCAUGCUAUCGGAAGCACACGGAGCCUUCGUGCUUCCAGCUCGUUUCGAUAUCGGCGACUUUUUGAUCGUCGAUGCGGUCUCCGUUAACUGAAUGCUAGAGUAUUUGAAGUACCUACAAAUAAAUUUAUGAUUUUACGAUAUCAAUUUGCCUAUGAACGACAGGGGCUCAAAGAUCAACGGCUAAACAAUGAAAAAUCUUACAAAAUGUAAUAAAAAUACAUAAAAUUUUAAAUCAACAGAUAUUGAUUCUUGUUUAUAUAGGUAUAUAAGAUUUUUAUCAAAAUUUCACGGAUUUGGGAUAUUUCUACAUUCCGUUAAACUUGCAAACGGCACACUACCGGCCAUUGAAAUUUAGUUGUUUUGAGGCCCAUUCGGAUCACUAGGCAAAACUGAUAAUCGAAAAAUAAUAAAAUUUAUUAUUCUAGGUACUGCUACUCCAAAACCUCUAGCAUCAUAUUCAUACCGGAGGCCGAGACGAUUCGAAAGUCUGCAACAUCGAAAACGAGCUGGAAGCACGGAAGGCCCGGUCUUCCGAUAGGCAAUAGUAAGCGCUCACUCUAAUAUUAUAUUAAUUAUAGUAUAUAUAUAGUAUAUAUAUAUAUAUUAAUAUAUUAUAGUAUAAUAUAUUAUUUUUAAAGUGUAAUUGAUGCUAUAUUAUUAUCUUUUAAGGCUUUUAACCUAAAAUACCCAAACCGCCCCUAGAGCAAGUGCACAACAGGCUUGGUGGGGUAGUACCCGGAGAUCCAGUUUGAAUCCUAGUUUGAUUCACAUUCUCAGCUAAGUUUAUUUUUAAAUACAAUAAAUAAAAAGCGAGUAGCGUGCUCUUAUCUGUAAAAAAAAAAAUUAAAGGAAGCUUUUAAUCUAAAAUUUAUAUAUUCGAGCACAGGCGCAUGCGCAUGCUGAAUGAUAGAUAAGAACGCAAAUCGAGAAGUUCAUGCUUUUAGCCUAAAAUUUAUGUAUUCGAGCAGAUACGCUUGUUGAAUGAUAGAUAAUAACGCAAAUCGAGAAGUUCAUCCAUUGAGACAUGCAGCUUUUAUUUGAAAGUUAGAAUAAGCUCUAAGGAUAACUCAUCUGGUAUGAAGAUUUUUUAGUAUACACGAUUCAAAGCUUGGAGCUUAAUUUAUUUUUGCUUUUCGACGGUGUUAGCAUGCAUGCACGAUUUAAUAGAAUAGUAUACUUCACCUAUAAAAUAUAUAAUUUGUAUUAUGAAGAAAUGAUUCGUUUGCCUAUAAGAUAUUUUAUUGUAGACAUUAAUUUAAUCACAUUUCUUGUCUAUCAAAUACAUAAAUUUCUUGAGUAAGUCAAAAAAAAUAUAGUAAAUUAACAAAGCACUCGUGCGCCCAAAUAGAGCCUUAGAUUGUUUGGACGUUGGAAUGAGAGAUUUUAUAAUAACUUAUUAGUUAUGAACAUUUUCUUUUGUGGUUGGAAGUCAUACAUAGUUCGAUUUUGGCUCGAUAUAUAUAAAAGGUCUUGGCAUCUAUGAUUUUUUAGGAUAGUAGUUUUUAUCUAUAAAGUGAUUUAUUUUAUUCCUAAAAAUGACUUGAAAAUUAAAUAUAAUAUAUAUUAGGGGCAAUUGCUUAUAUAUCCCUGAAAAGUUUUCGACUUUCUGAUUUACCCCUCUUAGAAGGCUAAUAUUGAAAAUACCGUUUCUACGUUCUAACCUAUUUCUAAUAUACCCCUAAAGUUAAAAUAUAUUAAUUAACUCUAUUAUUUUUGUAAAAUUACUAUUUUGUCCUUUCAAAUCACUACUACAGAUACAAGAUUUAGUGGCGACAAAUGUUGCCGCCAUAGCCAAAAUUGUCGCUACGAAAAACGUUUUGGCGGCGACAAUCUGUCGCCGCAAGCCGCCGCCUAAAACCCUGUCGGCAAAACUAUUUAGUGGCGACAAAUUGUCGCCGCCAAAAGUUAGAUUUUAGCGGCGACAAAAUGUCGCCGCUAAAACUUAUAUAAUUCGCGGCGACAGAUUGUCGCCGCCAAAAGUUACAUAUUUAGCGGCGACAUUUUGUCGCCACUAAAAUAUUUGGCAACAAAUUGUGGCUGCGACAAGUGAGAUAAUUAGCGACGACAUACUGUCGCCGCGAAAACUUUACAUAAUUAUUAUGACUAAUGAUGGCAACAUUUGUCGCCACCAUUUCUCUAAUAUAAAAUUAAUUUUUUUAAAAAAAUAAUUGGUAGUAAUAGAUAUUAUUUAAGAAGAGCAUAAAUAAUCUUUACAACAUAAUUCAUCUUAAAAAGCUUUCCAAACAAAUCACAAAUUAACAAGCAAAAAUCCUAUAUUUUGCAUUGAAUUAUGUCUCUCAGAACAGAGAUUAUAUGCUCACACAAGAAAUAAGUUGAAAAAAACUAAUCAUCUACAAGUUUGGGACAACACCCAACACAACCAGAAAACAAGAACCAUGUUAGAGUAUCACUGUAUUGUCACCUAAUACAAUCACCUACUACAAUCGCCCAACACAACUAAAAAACAAAACACAAUAAUAAUAUUUUUGUCAUUUUCAUAUACUAUCAAAUGUAAAGUUUUCAAAAUAUGUCUAAAUUCUUAAACUUGAUUCAUUACAUCGCCAAUGACCUGCCAAAAGAUUUCUCGUCUUCAUCUCUUAUAAAUCUGCAAAUAAAAAUAAAAAAAAUUAGCUUUUCAACAUUUGUUGAUCCCUGAAUUGAUAACGGAAACAAUAUAAGAAUAAAGAGUACGUAGAUAACAAUGUUGGCCAUAAACUAUAUAACAGACAGAAACCGACAUUAAUUCAUGAUAUUUAUUUGGCUACGGCUUUAUGUUACUAUUAGUCCCAGCUGGAGAUUUUACAAAUCGCACUGUAACCAUUAUGUAUUGCACGAAUUCUAAGUUGCCAAGUCAUCGAUUGUACUUCAGGUGCCCGGAAAUACUUGUCGGAAAUGGCAUGAUGUGGAACACCACUUCCAUUAAAGUGGCGGCACAAGCAAUUUGGCGACGAGUAAUGCCAUUCAAAGAGUUCGCAAAAGGGAGAGAGAGAGAGAGAGAUAAUAUGCUAUGACUUAACUGAUUCCAACAAUAAUGUAUAAUAAUACAACUAGUUGGUUGCAUUCUACUGCAGAUCAAAGAGGAUGGUGGAGCAUUCAUUUCCGACAACAGGCAAUCAACAGGCAAUCUUUCAAUAGAAUGAAGCAUGAAAACGAAACCACACACUUUCUCAUUCUAUACUGCAUAUAUUCUCGACAACCAUAAUGGCUUACAGUUUAAGCUCCAACAUGAUCAAAAUACUCGGCUCAAAAAUAUUAUAGAUCACAGCAGGCAGAGAAAAUGAUGAACAAAGCCAGCAACUGUUGAGUUAAUCAGCUUUCAAAAGCUUACGGAACCUUUUAUAUCUAUCACAUUAUCCAACAACUACAAUAACAACUUAUCGCCAAAUAAAAAUCAUGAAUUGAGUUCAAGUUCAUAAAGCUGUAGCCUGGUCAGCUGUAGCCAAAUACGAAUUGAGUAUUACAAGAAUUCUUAUGCAAUUUGUUUAUGUUACUAUUUUUCGUGCAUAUAUGCAAUUGAUCAUAGUUGAUAGCCUUAUAAUAAUUUGCAAAUAAAUUGAAAAAAUUGCUACUGCUUAUCAGGCUCUCGAUCUAAAGAAACUGCAGACACCUUUAUAUGAAUUCUACAACACCUUGAACACAAAGAACUCAAAAGAGAAAUAGGAAGCGAAACAAGAAGCUGAAAAUCGUAUUCACAAAUGCAAAGAACUCGAAAGAGAAACAUGAAGCUGAACAGUUCAAGACAAGCAAUCUUAAAAUAAAACAAUGUAAAGGCUGAGACAAAUCAAAUAUGAACGAAACAAAACCAAACCAAGCAUAUCCUAGAUCUAUGCAUUCCAGAAGGCAACAACAAAAAAAUAAGCUUACCAUGAUGUAGACAAUAUGCUUACCCGGAAGUAGACAUNGAACUCAGCCUCGGCCACCCGCGAUGCUGCUGGAUUCCUCAGGGACCACCUAGACCGGUCGCCGAGCUAAAACGACCAAAACAUCACAAAUCAGCCUAAGUUCACAGCAGCUGAAAGAGACCAAGUUUCGACCAAGCUAACCUCGUCCAAAAAUUGCAAGUGAGGGCUCCGUGGAAUCCUCUCGCAGUCUAGAAUCCAAUGAACCAAGUUUCGUCGCGAUCCGACGCUCCUACGCGGAGAACGAGCCGAAAUACUAACAGUCGACGGUAGAUUCUGCGAAAACAGCACUUAAGCUCAAAUCAACGAUACCCGAAGUACUCGGAGCAAUUGCGACCAAAAUGCUCACCUCAACAGCGACAAUCCUCGGCGCGAUGUCCAGGACGGCGAAGACGCACCCUCGCCCGGCCUCCUCGCAAAGCUCCGGCAACAAGCGCGCUCGAACGGCUCGCGGCGCGACGUCGGCGACGGAAUCCCCAACCGGAUUUUCCACCAACACUUAGAGAGAGAGAGGAGAAGAAGAUGGAGCAGAGCAGAGAAAUACUCUCUCUCUCUCUGCUCGGACACCUAAAAGGAGAGGGGAUGUGAGGGAGAUACAAACGAGGUGAGAUUUUACUGNAAAUGAAUCAAAAGAAACUUACCACAUUGCGAUGAGUGAAAAGAAAAAAAAUAUAAAAAAGAAAAUCAGAAAUCGAAAUCUCUGUUUUCGCUCUUCUUCUAAUUGUUAAUGAAAAAAAUUGCUGAUAACGAGUAAGCUCCAGCCGAUGCAGAGUGGUCCGGGCUCAAAAGCGAGAUGUGGAACUCAGCAAAUUUUCUAGAAUAGUAAACAGAAGACGCAAGCGGUACGACGGGUGCCACUCCGAGCACGCCGCGGUCGGAGAGGGAGUUAAGCGUGAGGGGACGCGGGCGAAGGAAGGGAACCUAACCUGAUCCCUAUGGAUUUUGCGAUGCAGAAGCUGAGUUUGGGUGAUCUACGACGGGGAAGAGACGAUUCGCCCUCUCUACUCCGUGAAGCGGCACAUGAACCUCCGCGACUCCAAAGCCCUAGCGCACGUGACCACAGUGGCGAGGCGGAGGGGACGAAGAUAGGCAAACUUGCUGAGAGAGAAAGAGUAGAUAGCCGUAAAAUUUUAUUUACAGCUGUAAUUUCAUUAAACUUUUUUUAUAUGUAAAAAGACAAUAAAGACCCUAGACCUUAUGUAAUAGAUGUUAAACUAGUGAGGGUAAAAUUGUCAUUCUGAAGGGAUAUGGGUUGGUGAGUGGUGAAAAAAAGGGAGGGAAAUUCUGGCGCGCUUCAUAAGGAUAUAUGGCGGCGACACUUUGUCGCCGCUAUAUUUUCCAUUUCAGUGGCGACUCUUAUAUGUCGCCACUAUUUUCUAUGUAAUGGCAGCGACAAAUAAAUGUCGCCGCCAUUUUCUAAGAAUCGGCGGCGACAAAUAAAUGACGCCGCCAUUUCCUAUUGAAUAGGCGGCGACAAAUAAAUGUCGCCGCUAUUUCCUAAGAAUCGGUGGCGACAAAUAAAUGUCGCCGCCAUUUUCUAAGAAUCGGCGGCGACAAAUAAAUGUCGCCGCCAUUUCCUAUGAAUCGGCGGCGACAGUACUUGUCGCCACCAAAAAGUCGCCACUAAAUAUCCUUUUUGUUGUAGUGAAUAUACCCUUUUACCAUCACUAACUUUCUUAUUUGCCCUUAAAGUCAAGGGUAUAAAAAGUAUUUUGACUUUUAGUCUUUUCCAAUAUACCCCUCUACUGUCACCAACAUUUUUUAUUUGCCCUUAAGUUAAGGGCAAAAUUGACAUUUUAAUUUAUUUUAACUAUGGUAGAUAUUUAACUCAAGUUUAACCCAAGUUAAUUUAACAGGAGAUAACUGCGGGGGUAUUUUGCAAUAACGGUGGAAUAUAUGAGGGGUAUUUUAGAAAGAAAAAAAAAAAGUAGGGAUAAAUCGGAUAAUUUUAAACGUUUGAGGGGUAUAUAGGCAAUUAUUCCUAUAUAUUAUAGACAUCUAAUCACAUUUCUUAUCAACUAAAUAACAUAUUCUUUUUCAAGUAAAUUAAAGAGAUAAAUAGAAGAGUAACAUAUUUAUGCAUCUAAACAAAACCUUAAUCAUUCAAAAUUUUAUUUAAAAGUUGUAAGGAGCUAUUGCUAAUUUGUAUCCGAAUUUCGCAUUGACCGAACUCUUUGGAGUAGAUGUGUUGCUGUUAUUCGAUGUACGUGUUGUUGCUCCCCCUUUUUAACGGGAAAAAAACAAAAAAACAAUAAAAAAGAAAAAAGGAAAAAAGCUAUUAGUUGGAACAUUUAUUAGUCUCAAAUCCGGAACCAAACUAAUGAUCUGAGAGUCCAAACAACGCAGCAAGAUUGGACUAAGUUGGUUCACGUUUUCAAAUUCAAUGAUAAUUGCUUGUUUGAUCUUAUUUUUGCUUCUGCCUUUGGCUGUAGUUGUUUUUAUUAGAAUAUUUAGCAAGCAAACACCUCUGAAAUUUCAGGUAAAUUAAAAUAUAUUGAGACUGCCUCACCUAUAGUUAAUCUAAAAAUGUCCCUUGAACGGUAAAAUUUGAGUUAAUCUUUUGCAUUUUGACUUCAAAAUUUGAUUGCGUCAUUUAUCUUUACAGAUUUGUUAGUAUCCUUAAUUGCAUCAUUUAUCUUUACAUAUUUAGUUAAUAUCCUUAAUUGCAUUAUUUAUCUUUACAGAUUUAGUUAGUAUCCUUAAUUGCAAAUCUUGCAUCUACAAACUUAUAAUUAAAAUAAGUAAUUAACUUAAAUUUUAAAGUUACAGAGCACUGUUGACUCACUCAAAUCAAAUAAAUUGAAAGUUAGAUAGUAAAAUCAAAAUUUUAAAAGAUUAUGCAGUUAAUUCAAAAUGAUCCAUAGUUAAGGUGAUAAAUUAUGUACGUUCUUACCUAGUUCUUAUUACUAUAGUAUGGUAUUUGCAUUGGCCAAAUUAAUUCCUUGGGCAUGGAUGUAUUGUUUUUGUUAAUUCGAUGUGUUGUUAGUAUUCUCUAUAAGAAAACAAAAAGAAAAAAAAAUUUUAAAUAGGAACAUUUAGUUUUAAACACUGAUCAAUUUAAUGAUCCGAGGAUCCAAAUGACAAAACCCAAAUGGACCAAAGUCGGUUGGUAUUUAAAAAUUCAAUUAUUAGUAGUUUAGAUGAACCUAUUUGGUUCGUGAUUACAAUAGAAAUGGAUAAUAGAAUUAGAUUAUAUUAAUUGGAAAAUUAGAUCAUAUUAACUGGAAAUGAAGUGGCUUAUCAUCUAAAAAUAUUUGAUUUAUUAGUAGAAUGAAACUCAAAAUGGACAAUUGGGAUAAAUAGGAUUUUGAAAGAAAAUUUUGGUUAAGUUGAGGAGAGUAACAAAAGGGAGAGGAGACGGGGAGAAGUUUGUGAGAAAGAGUUUUGAGAGAUUUAGUCUGGAAUAGGCCGAUCUAGAAUUCAAAAUCGAAUUGGGUCACAAAUUAAUUAAGCUGCUCCCAUUCUGGAGUGGAAUGGAAAUUAAAAUCUAAUUUUUGUAAUACAAACAACAACUAUCAUAAUCAAUAAAUCUUAUUCUGAUUUUAGAGUCCAAACGUGGUGAACUAAAUAAAAUAUUCAAAAAAAAUAAUAGUAACAGCCUUAAAUUUUACUGAUCUUUUCACUUCCUACACUAUACUAUUUUUCUUUUUCUAGAGCAUCACUCAUCUAUUUAUUAUUUUUCUUGUUAAUUCCUAUUCUAUAAGCAAGAAACCUAUACUUGUAUAUAAAAGCUAUUAAAAAAUACUUGUUAAAAGUGGCGAAAUAUAUAUUCAACUCAUUUUGACACGAAGAAUAAUAAAAUACAUAAAAAUAACAAAAAAAUUGAAAAUAACUUAAUAGAAAUUUUUAACAAGUCUCUCAGUAAAGUUAUUAGAUUUUGUUUAAAACAAUAAAUUUGUUAACAACGAUAUAGAGAUUGUCACGCUCUGGAUUACACGUUUUUCUCGGCACGCCAACAGACCCGUCAUAUACAUAGAAAUUUCUCCUGUAUACGAAGUGAUAGCUAUACCUGUAAACAAAACCAAGCUACAACCAUAAGGCAGAGAUCUGCAAAACUGAAAAUAGUAUCUAUAUGAAAACCUCGAAGGGUUUCAGUACAUACAAAAUUGUGACGACCGAACUUCCCAGGGGGUCACCCAUCCAAGGACUACUCCCGUCCUAGCACGCUUAACUCUCUUAACCUCUUGGGCCUUGUCACCACCCAAAAUGCUUAAGCCGGGUUAAGAGUUUAGCCCUAUUAUAUCUCAUAUAUAGGACUAUCUGGGGUCUCACAAUCUCCCCUCCUUUAAGCCCUGACGUUCUCGUCAGGCUCAGACUCACAAGUACCAGGCAAUGUGAGACUCGUCUCGCUAGCCCGUCAUCCAGACCCUGGCUCAGCCGAGACUCAUCUCACACUUCCGGCUGGUAAUUGGCUCUCGAUCAACCAUAUAUUGACGACCUCAACCUUCCAGUGGGGGUUCACCAUCCACUAUAGGCCUUCACUCCCGCUCCUAGCACGUUAACUCUUUAACUUUUGGGCCUUUGUCACCCACCCAAAAUGCUUAAGCCGCGUGUUAAGAGUUGUAGCCCUAAUUUAUAUCUACAUACUAUAGGACUAUCUGGCGGUCUCACACACAAACAAAAAAACAAAAUGACCGUUUUCCGCAACUCUCUUCGCUGCUUCAAAAUCGCUUUUAAAAUCGGGCCUCCGCGUUCGUGACAGCAAUUAAAAUCCGGUAUCAGAAGUGAAACAAGCUACACACUGGCAUUACAAGUUUUUCUAACAAUCAUCGACACAUCUGGUCCUAGGUUGGACCAUAGGCACGACUAAGUACUAUAGGCCACGUGCAGCUGCCGGUGUUUGGGUUUGAAUUCCGGUGGUCGCUAUGUCCAGUCGUUGGGGUCUGUUGACGGCCAAGCCCUCCGGCUGUUUCUGUUCAGAUGGCUCCGGUAAGGCGCCCCCUUCGUCCGGGGCGUCGCCGUGGUGAGCGUCGCUGCGGAAUUUACGCCUGCCGCGGGCCGUACUCGUGCUCUUCCGAGUGGCCCGGUGAGUUGGGGCAGCAGUUAGGGCGCCGGAGCCGUGAGCCGCCCCGUCCACGCUGGUACUUCGGACUCGAGCCAGCUCGAGGCCCAGUAGCUUAAUUGAGGGGUCAGGCUGGAGCGCCCCUCCUCUGGUUUGUUUCAGCAGUUCUUCAGCAGCAGGCGCGAUGCGGGCGACUGCCUACCCCGGAGCCGAUUUUGAAAAGCAUUUUGAAAAGCAGAGUGCGAAAAGACGUGUCAAUUUUUUUUUUUUUUCUUCCACCGGGCCCACGUUGACGUUACAGGCGGCCCGGCCACCAUACAGUUUCCUCUGAUCCACCUGGGCAGCGCUCUCCUUUUGUUUUGCACGGCCGCCCGUACCAAUCGGAACAACGGAUCACAACCAGAAACCUACAUUUUACCAAUCAACAUACCAAGUAUGAUAUGCAAUAUCCCAUACGAGUAACAAUCUUUAGAAUGAUGCAUGGCCUCUAAGUCACUCCUAUAGGACCGCUCUGAUAUGCAUGCACAAAUACAACAGGACAUCCUAUUAAAAGGUUGCUUUCCACACACGGAGCAUUUUAUUUUCUUUAAACUCUUAAUUCAAUCAUUCAUAAAAACCUUUCGAAAAAUCCUUUUUUUAAAACUGUUUCCCACACCCUGGAAACUUAUUUUGUAAGAACGACUACCUCGAGGGGUUAGAAAACCCGAUGCAAUUAACCGUACAAGAAAACCAAACUCCACGGAACCCAAACCACCGAUCGCAAAACUCCCAAUCUUCCAUUACAAUACGAUGGAAACCAAACACCAGCAGUUCAAUCAUUGCAAGCAUAAUAGAUCAGCAACAUGAGACCAUUAUUAAGGGAAAACUACUAAAGGUGCGGAAAGAACAUAAAUUCCAGGGUGAACGGUCGCUACUGCGUUAGCUAGAUCGUCUCUCGUUCGAGCCCAAAAACAACUGUUCUCGUCUCCUGUCACCUUGGGGGAAGGGGGUGAGAAAUCCUCCGCAACCAUGGUUUUUCUCAGUGGGUACGACAGAGCCACGAAGGCAAGUGUUAAUUCACCCGGAAACCAAGGAGCAUAGAUAAACGAGUAUAUAUAUAAGCUGUAUGAAAUAGAACUACGAGUAGCACAACAGAUAAAAUUAGGAAGCCAAUAAGAUGAACCUGGCUACUGUAUUAGAAAAUAAUGCAAAGAAUGCCUCAAUGUACUUGAACCAGAAACUGUACCCAAACCUGCGCUGGCUGCUAUGUCCUCGCUCUCUCCGCAGCACCUCCACAGCCAUAUCUUGUCACAUAACUCUGACGGACCCUGAUGCCAUCCGCCCGCAGGCCGGACCGACUUCAUCCGGAUAAGUACACCUCCGCAUCACGGUGGCCAAACGACUCCGUCUGUCAUGAAUACCCCAAGUGCCGAGUGACUAAGUCAAUGCUGAUAUGCUCAAGCAAAACCGGGCUAAAGCCGGGUGGCACUAGGCGAAAGCCACACAACCGAGGGACUUACAAUGCCAAACUGAAAUGAGAAGCAGUUAGGGGUACAACGGCCCGAACUGGAGUACCCGAUGGCCUUUUAGGCGCGGGGUACAAUGCCGACCUCGAAUCAACCUAGCAAUCGCAAACACACGACAAAAGAGAUCGUAUGUGUUGCCCCAUGGACCCAAGUGUCUACAAGAGACUACUGAAAUACAUAAGUAACCUUGGCUUUACAUGUCUAUCAACUACUAACAAUAUGCAAUCAAAGAGGUACGAUAUACGAAAGCAUAAGCAAACAAUGACAAUGUAGGAUAAAUCGGCGAAUUACGAAAACAAUGAGAAGAAGUGAACAACGCUCUUCACGUACUUACCAGCUCGGAAGCAGCCCCUGUCGACUGUCGCGUCUGGAACACACGGGUAGACACAAGUCUACCGGACCAUAAGAAGAUGCCACCAAGUCAGUAUCCAACCACUACCAAAGCACGGAGACUCACAGAACCCCCACACAGGGAAUCCCGUAAUCGACUUUUCCACAACAACCGCAUUACCUGGUAAAGCCACCGGACAGUCUCCCGAAAAACCACACCGGGACGCCGAUCGGACCCCACUAAGUGAUCACCGAACACACCGACUCGUACCACACGGAUCACCUGCCCAAAAACAUCCCAGAUUUGGAUGCCUUGGGCAGCGAGACACAAGGUCAACAACAAUUACGAUCAGUCGCCGGAUGAAUCGUUUACGGAUCCGGUUCCCGGAAGUUUAUUUCCAGACACCGCAGAGCCCUUCCGUCGCUAACCUAUCGUCAAUGAUACCCAUAAAAUGACGAUGGUGACCAGCCAACAAGGCUCAGCGACAAAACACGAAGCCAAUCCAAAAAACACCGUCGGAAAGGCAUCCCGACCGAAACCUGCGUUCUAUUCGGCGAAUUUCGCCGAAAAAACGCCAGACCGAAAUCGAUCUACGAUUUUCCGGACAAGCUAACGGGGACCGAUGGGAACGCAUCAGUUCCAGCGUCAAUUACAAACUCGUAUUACACGCCGUCCACAGAGCCACACAUAUGCACAAUUGCAUAAAAGCCCGUUAAUUAUCAUAAUAAUAUCAUUUUUUUAUGUAAUUAGUAGCCGAUUCAAGGUGCUCGAUACACGCAAACGAGGAUCUUCGAUAGUCCGCAUAGCACCACGUACUGAUAGGGGGUCUCGAUCGUACCGGAAGUCCGUUUGCUCACGAUCCGGAAGCACAGCUGGCCGCUGGCUGGGAAGCGCCCUGCCGGAGCCAACCCCGAAGGUUCAGCGCCAAUUAGCGGGCCUAGUAGGAAGAAGAUUCGCGCCCGAACAGAAACUAAACGGCACUUCUGAUCCAACAGUGACGCUCGUGACGCACCUGAUGAUCAGCACUGACCAACGAUUCACCUGUGCUACCUCCGGACGGCAUCCAGAGACCAGGCCUCCGCAUCGCCCGGAUAAGGUACGCCAAACUCCAAACAGCAGCCAAAAAAGGCCGAAAGUGAAAGCGACCAUCCCGCCGACAACAGCUCAACGGGUCUCCCGACAGAAACCAAGGUGAGCAGCAUGAUCAGCAACUUGCCAGGAUUCAUCCCGUGCUCCCUUCCGUAGAGAUCGGGGGAAGCUCGGCGGAACCAUAAAUCCCAUCACAAUAAAGCCCUAUUUCCGGGCUUUGGCCGUCGCAGCAACCUUGCUCCGGCCGGCCCUCGGCCGGCACGGCUCUGCGUCGCGCGGCGGCCAAGGGACGACGGUGCGGGGAGGUGAGGAGUGAGCGUGUUCUCACCUCAGACGCCCCCGGCGAGCGAGCGGCGGGGCCGCGCGGCCCGGCGGAGCCAAGCCGAGCCCGUACCAAACUACGAGCUCGCGCCGGUUUCAGGCGGCCACGCGCGGAGGGCCGGGGAGCUCCGGGCACGCCGCGCCGAGUGCGGGCUGCAGGACGGUCCGGGGGACGGAGGGGUAUUCGCGCUAACCAGCCAGCGUGGCCCGUUCUGUAGCUCGGAUAAUAGCCGCCACCCGAGCUCGGCUCGGUUGCGCAGACUGACGGGGCGGCGGGCGUCUUGGCCGGCGGCGGCGGCUCGCACGAGGCCGGCGCUUGCGACCGGCGGGCAAGUGGGGUGCUCGGGGUCGGAGGCGCCGGCGGGAGAGGUUCCAGGCUGCGUGGCGUGGCAUGCUGGGCUGGGCAGCUGGCAACCCUGGCCUCCUCGCCAUGGGGCUCGGCGCCAAAUGUGGCUGACAUGGGGAGCAAGCAGCGGCUGCGGCGGUGCCUCGGCGACGGCGGGCCAGUCGGCUGGGGAGGACGCCGGCGGUACUGGGAAUUCGGCAGAUGGGGUUUCAUCCAAACGGUUGGCAGCGCCGGCGCUCGGAUAAGGGCCGCACACAGGCCACCGGCUUGGGCUCGGGCUGGCGAGGCAGCAAGCGCGCGAUAGGCUGGCCGCCGGCGGCCGGCUCGGCGGCUCGCGGAGCCGGCCGGCGGCGGCUGCCCGAGCUCGAGUGGAAGGUGAGGCUGGCGAGGAGGGUUCGAGUGCUCCUCCCCUAGCUCAGGGUCCAAAGAUGUUUGGGAGGACAGUGGAAACAAGAUGAGGGAGAGGAAGGGGAAGGCUGAGGUGGUGGUUUGACGCGGCCGGGGCUCGGUCAGAGGGAGUCGGCGGUCGGAGGUGGUCGAACACUGGCAGGGCAGUUCAAGGGAGAGCGGCUGGUGGUGUCGUGGCCUAAGGUCAUUAGGGUUUUAGGAGUUUUGGUGAGACAAACCCUAAGAGAACUAUAUACAAGGGCGCAAACAUGCAAAAGGGCUCACUAAAACAUCGAAUUUUCAAUCCGAGCCUUCACCGAACGACUAAAAGCUACGCCGGGUCUCCUGUUCUAAAGGUGGUAAACGACCCUCCACGAUUGCGGAUCUCACGUUUAAAACGGUACAUAAAAUGUUCGCGACUUUCACGAAAAUACCGUCUUUUUUUUUGCACACUUAACCGACCUCUCCUCGCUAUCAACGCGCGAUUGCUCAGCAGAUCGUACCGUCAAUGUGGCGAACGAUUUGACCGGUGCCGAAUCAGCACCAAGCGAGAAACAAAGCUACGUUUCGAUUCUCGUCUGAUCGACCACGGAUUCACGACAAAAUCCAACCUUCUUCGAAUAGAAGGAAACACACACAUAAAUACAUAUAAAACAUGUAUUUUUGGAUUUUCUCGAAAUCCGUGCGUCGAACUCAAAAUCCGUCAGCGUCAUUAGCUCCAGAACAGCUGACCCGGUCGAAACGAGCUAUUGGACUGCUAUGACCAGAGUCCAGUACGAGCCAGAAGCCAAUUUCUCACCGUGGCUUCUCCGGAAAAUCGAGUUACUAUUCACUUUAAGUGAAACUUGGAAAUCGCGUAGAAUUUCCGUUUUAACUCGAUUUCGCCCGAAACUUGACGAGUGCUUUUGUAAUUAAAUUACACACAAAAACAUCGUCAACUGAGAGUUUAGCUACACUGCAAAAAUCUCAGUCCCUACAAAAAUCCAAGAUACAAAUAUUCCUCACACCAGCGAGUAAACCAGUAUAAGAAUGUACAUGAACCAAAAUACUCCAAAUCUACCUGUAGAUGGUACUACUCUAGUACUGCGACCAGGGAAGGGAUCUAGCUCGCGACUCUCUUUCCAGGAUCAGAAUCGGCGACAGCAGUAACCACAGAAGAAGGCUCUACAAAAAAGGGUCCACAACUGGGUAUGAAAACUACUGCAAGAAGGAAUAGUUCUCACCACUACCGACUUGAACGGCUCACUAACUAAGUCUACAGAAAGUAUGCAUAUGGAUAGUAAAAGAAGCUAGUAAAACUUUACAACUAUAUGCCACUAUACUAUCGCUAACCAACACUAGAUAUUUGUAGAUAUAAGCAAGAUGCAAUCUUUGACCCAAUCUCACAAGGGACUAUGAAUGCACCCGUCCCGCCUGUCGAAGCUACACCAACCACCACCACGCUGGAUUGUCGGUGGAGAGCAAGUCCAACGAGGACACUACGACAUCAACGCAAAAGCACAAAGCCAGACUCCGGAGUGGCACUCGUGGGCGCUACCCAACUGAGUAUGCAAGCGUAUCUCUGCCGAGCUCAAUCAGGCUCUCACAGGCUAUACUCAAAACAAAUGGGUUUAACUGGUCUAACAAUCAAAGCUCACGUGCCCUUGGCACAAUCUGAUAUAAAUAUAAAAAUCUGGGUCCAUUGUCAAUCGCGACGGCACCCGACAGUCUGAAACAGUUUACACACUACUGUAAAAAUAAACUCGGCAUUCCAGCACGAGCGUAAACUCAUUCUAUACUAAUCUGGAUUUCCAUCGCAUACUAACAGCGACGAUACAAAAGAACCACAGCUCCUAAAACUAAAUCUAAUAAUUUUCAGAAAUGACAGUGUGGAAUCUAUAUGUUUUCUCCUAAGUCAAUUCCAAGUCCAACAUGUAAAAUUAUACUACUGGCUUAAUUCCAAAUUCAAACUUUAUCUCUCAUCCAUAUAUAAAUUCGAGUACUAGCAAGGAAAUAAACCAAUGAAUAUGUCGACGAUACAAGAACUUAGGAGGUAUUCCGACGAUUUCGGUAAACUUCAACCCACCUCGAAAAACUAAUCCAACAACGGCGAGAAGUCGAAAGAAGAGGAAACUACGUGCUCUCCCGACCUCCCAAUGAUACAACCACAACGCCCGCGCACUCAAACGGCCCUCCUGAUCGAGUCGACAACCUCUCGAGCUCGAGCCGCGACCUCAACCCACGGACGAGUCCACUAGCUAAAGAGAGAGGAAAAUGAGAAGAAGAACCGACUUCAAUACUCUCUCUGUGAAUAUAAAGGCUGUGGAUAACCUUGGGUACGUUGAUCGACACUGUUGGAAGGACCAAAAUGCUCCUUACCAACUCAAAAAUCUAGCUAGAGUACCGGUACCCGAUUUGAUUACCGGUACUCGGCCUCUCAGCCCGCAAACUCGCACACAGGGUACUGGUACCAGUCUGAUGCUGUACUGAUACUCAGCAUCAGAUUGACACAAUCCGAGAGCAGUAUGUUCUGGAAAUACACAGGGAUACCGGUACCAGUUCGAUACCGUACCGGUACUCAACGUUGAAAUCCUACACUUUGCGGAUUUCAGCGUCAAAACUGCACUCUCGCCUCGCGUCGAGUCCAUUUUGCGUUUAUUUCGCGCCAAAACGACUCCGACUUAUCCCGACACUCUCCAGAUGUGUCGACAAGCCUCAAAUGAUGAGAUCUCACAGACAAUCUAAAAAUAGAGAUACUACAGAGAUUGAGGAGAAAAAAAAUAGUUUAAUUAUAUCUAGUAUAGGGAUUGAUAAUAUAGUAUAGAAAUUGAUAAAGUACAAUCAUAUAAUGAUAUCUUCAAAAUUUUUUUUGAAAAGUACUAUAAAUAAAAAUAAUAAUAAAAUAUAGUAUAGUAUAGUAUAUAGUAUAAUUAAGUCAUAAUAAUACAACAGUAGCAAAAUAGAUUGGUGCGUGUUCCAAGGAGCCUGGUGCAUGUCCAUUCGUACGUUAAAGGUUGUUAUAUUAAUUCUUAUUUCUAUGAUGUGGUACCGCAUUUUUGUCCCAAAAAACCAAAAGAACAUGCAGUGUCGCAUGGGCAAACCCCUUUGGACAUGGAUGUAUUCAUCCUGUUCGAUGUGGUUGUUUAGUCCUAUGAGAAUAUUUGCACUGUGCCCCUUGUGACGCUAAACUGCUCGAUUGCUCUUGGUGCCUUGUGCUUUAAAAUUCCUAUUUGGGAUCCUCUACUGUUUACAGUUAGUUUGCUAUUAACCUACUCUCAGGCCCCUUUGGUUCGGAGAUAACGAAUAUUGAGAUAAAGUUUUUUAUCCUUAGAAUAUCUUUUUAUUUUAGGAUGAUCGGAGAUAAAAGUAAAAUUAUAUUUGAUUUGUAAUGCUGUUAUUUUUUAAAAUAAUUAAAAUUGUAUUUGGUUAAUUUUAUGGAAUAAUAAAGGAUAGUGAAAAAAAUGAUUAUUGAAUUGAUAUAAAAUAUAAUAUCUUAUAAAAAUAAUUCAUUAUAAUAUUUAACAAAAAUAAUUUAUUAAUAAAUUAUAAUUUAAUAAAAAUAAUUUUUUCCUAUAUAAUUUUUUUAAAAAUUCUAAUUAAACUUAAAUCUAAUAAAAAUAAUUUAUUAUAAUAUUUAAAUAUAAAUAAUAUAUUUUAAUAUAGUAUAAUUAAUAAUUUUAUAAUAAAAAUAAUAUAUUAUAAUNUAGUAUAAUUAAUAAUUUUAUAAUAAAAAUAAUAUAUUAUAAUAUAUAACAUAUUAUAUUUAUAUAAUUUAGUUUUCAUUCAAUUUAAAAUUUUUUAACAAAGUUUGAAAUUAAAUUUUGAACUAGACUAUCCCGCCAAAAUGGUGGAAUAGUAAAUCUUAAGCUAUUCCGGAAUAGCCGGGAAUAGUAAGGUGACAGGGAUAAAGUAUUUAGGCCAAAAAGCGCCCCAUUUGGUCGAAUAGCUAGCGGGGAUAACUUUUGUUAUCCCUAUUUUAUCCCCGAACUAAACUGGGCCUUAGGACAUAAAUAUUAAAUUGAGGUACCCAUUCUAUUGCAGAUCUCAUCUUACCCUCUAUUUUUCAGCAGUUACAUAACUCUUCAUGUCAAAAAAAAAAGAUUGUUUAGAUCCAAUGGGAUCGAAUCUUACCAAUUUAUUUCAACAUUAAAUCAUAAUAUAGAUAUUUAUUUAGUACAAUAUGUAUACGAUAUAUAGCUCUUUUCAUCUACUCUUAGGAUGGCUUGAUUAUACAUAACUGUAACUAUACUGCAGUUGUAAUUAUAUGGCGCACGUGAUGCCAUUUAAAUUUACCUGUUGGAAUUAUACAAGAUGGUUCAACUAUAACAGUUGGAGCUAUAUUCUUAAAUUAGUCACAAUUCCAACUACAGUAUUUAGAUAGAGAAUAAGUAACAAAUGGUAAGCUUAUCUCUCAAAUAACAUUUUAAAUAGAAAAUAUUUUUUUCACACAUCUGAGUAAACUCACUAUCCUAAUAUGAAAAUAAUAAAAUACUAUAACAGCACUUUUCAAGCGCUUACAACCAAAUAAAUUAUUUAUAGUUGCAAAAAUUUCAAUUACAUCCAACCAUGCAAGAUACAUGUAAUCAUAGUUGCUGUAUUUUUUCUACAUGGAUAUCAAACUAUAUUGCAUUUAUAAUUACAUUUAACCAAAUGGUCUUGUAACACCUAUAGAAUUUAAAACAAUCCUAUACAUAAAAUAAUAGAGCUAAAUCUCUUAACUCGCUUAAAAUAUUUUGGAUAAUGGUUAGACCCAAGUGGUUAAGAAAGUUAAGUAUGUUAACAUUAGAGUAGUUCUAGAAUAUAUGGAUGACUCCUUAAGAAGUGAGGUGUCACAAUUGGUAUCAAAGUCAAUCACUAGUUAAAAAUAUGAGAGGAGUUUCGACUGAGAUUGAAUUAUAUAGCGGAUAGAGUGUGCUUCUCGGCUGAUGACUAUUGUGGGUGGAGCACGACUCCUCACACGGUAGCCUAAGGCUAGUGAGACAAGUUUCCCAUCCAUUUAGUGGUGGAGAAUAUAAAAUUCAGAAUAUAAAACUAAGAAGAGAAUAUGAAAUUCAGAAUCUUCUAAUUUAUUAUCAUAUUGAAACAGUCAUUCUAUUUUCCCAUCCAUUUAGUGGUGGAGAGUUGCCCAAUAGUCACAUCCAUACUAUGACUAAUGGAGAAAACUCCAUCUUUGAAUGAAUACGUACGUAGGAUGUAUAAAAUACACUCACUUAUAAGUGUAUCCGGCCCUAGCAUUGCUCAUAAGAUAAAGCUAUAAAAAUAUAUAUAUAAUAUUUUAAAUAAUUUAAUACAAAAGUUCUAUCUCAUAUAAUUAAGGGGUAAUUACGUAUAUAUCCCUGAAAAGUUUCCGACAUUUCGAUUUAUCCAUCUUAAAAGGCUAAUAUUAAAAAUAGCCUUUCUACUUCCAACCUAUUUCUAAUAUAUUUCUAGAGUUAAAAUCUGUUAAUUAAUUCUGUUAUCUCUGUAAAAUUACUAUUUUGCCCUUUCAAAUAUACUCUUCCACCAUCACUGACCUUCUUAUUUGUCCUUAAAGUCAGGGGCACAAAAAACAUUUUAAACUUUUGGUCUUUUCCAAUAUAUCCCUCUGUCGUCACUAAUAUUUUUUAUUUAUCCUCAAGUUAAGGACAAAAUUGGUAUUUUAAUUUUUUUUAACUGUGAUAGAUAUUUAACUCAUGUUUAACCUAAGUUAACUUAAUAGGAGAUAACUGCGGGGGUAUUUUGCAAUAACGGUGGUACAUAUGGGGGGUAUUUUAAAAAGAAUAAAAAAAAUAGUAAGAAUAAAUCAGAUAUUUUCAAACGUAUGAGAAGUAUAUAGGCAAUUUUUUCUAGAAUUAAUAUUCUAUUCCAACGUUCUAUUCAAAGAAGAAUAAAGCUUUUUCUUUAUAUAUUAAUUAUUCUCUCGAAAUAGCUCUAUAUCUAUAUAAACAGGCUACGAAGCCCAACGCAGUCACUCAUUCCCUACAUCAGUCACACUCCCACUUUCUCGUUACUGUUCGUACUCUUUUGCUGCAGCAGUACCAGCCUCGCCUCUUCCUCUUCCUCCUUUCUUGGUAAGUUAGGACUUAGCUUCUUAAUUUGCUAAUGCAGUUGGUCACCGAACCAAAUCGAAUUUUCUUUUGAUCAAUAAACCUUUUAAGUUUGAUAUUAGGGACCAUUCAAGAUCCUCAAUUUUCGUAAUUGUUUCAUCACUUUAGUUGCUUCACUUUAGUACUUUCCUUAGAAUGAAAAUUAUCUGAUUUAUUUAUACGCUCGUACUCGUACAUGUACAUCGUAAACCAUUGGCUUCUCAUGUGUUUAAAUAUCUAAGUAAAUAGAAGGAAAAACUUCAAAAUGUCCAGGUGUGGUAUAGAGCAUUUUUUCACUUUUCCAUCCAAUGGUUAAAACUUUACACUUUGAUCCCAUGCAUUUUAAUUUUUAUUCUAUAUCAAAUAACAUGACAAACAAAAACUUUUGAAAGACCAUAGAAUGGCAAAGUUUUAGUAAUGUUCUAAACUACAUAGUAGUUAACUAUAACUUUUUAAACCAAACCACAGAAUACUAAAAUAAAUUGAGCUAAGCUACAAGAGACAAAGUGCAACUUUUUAAAAUCGGGGCAAUUUGAAGUUUACCCUAAAUAAAACAUAGCAACUCAAUGGACGACAAGCUUAAAAAUUGGAUGGAUGCACGUUACAUGAAUAUGGAGAUGAAUCACGUGUGGGUAAUAGUUUCUUCUUUAAUUGGAAGUAUAUAUAGAUAGGAAUCAAAAUGAUAGUUUGAAAAGUUUAGUGGCAUAAAUGAAAAAAAAAGGAAGAAAUGUACUAACACUCACUGAAUUCUAAAUAUUUGCUAAAUUAAACUUCCAAUUUUCGUAAAAAGAUCUCCUAGACUUCACCAAAUAAGCAAAGUCACAAGCUAAUUACUACAACAAAAUAUAUUUUAGACGACACUUUUUAGACGAUGCUCUAUUGUAGCGUCUUCAAUAUUUGGCAUGUGCUGACACUAUGAUUAAGCGUAGCCAAUAAAAAUAUUUUUAUCAAAACUGAUAAAAAUUUUUCGACACUAUAUUAAAGCGUCGACAUAUUUAUUCCGACAUGUUUACUUAACGACUCUUUACCCGACGUUUAUAUAAACGUCAGGGUUAUUCUUGUUGAUGCUUUAAAAUGUCGCUAGUUAAUUAUUUUUUGAGAAUAGGUAGCGCACUACCUACUUCAUUCAUUGAAAGAGUAAAUUAGGCUACAGGGGUGAGACAAUCAGGACCUCGAAAAAAAAUAAAAUAAAAUAAAAUAAAAUAAAGGCUAUUAGUAAUCAAAAAGUAGAUCCAAUGGCUAAAAACACACAAGUAUCACUUGGGUGAUACUUGUAAAAGUAUUCUAGCCCUACUCUCUCUCUCUCUCUCUCUCUCUCUCUCUCUCUCUCUCUCUCUCUCUAUAUAUAUAUAUAUAUAUAUAUAUAUAUACCAGCUACUAUACUAUUACGAGUACGAUCGCUCUCGUACUCAUAAAUCAUUUUCGAUGAUAGAGCUUCCGAAUCGACGAACCAUACCGUUAAAUAUUAUUUACAACAUUUAAAACUUCUAGAAAUUAAAUUUUAUAAUUUUUCGACAUCAUUUUCCUUACGAUCAAGAGGUCACAAAUUUGACAGUUUUUAAUGGCUGGUAUGGGAUACUUACCAGUUAACGCUGUAAAAGAAUCGGAAUUUGUUGUACUUUUGAUAAAAAAAAUUUUAUUCACUAUCUAGAUAAAGGUCAAUAACUCUGAUCUUGAAUUGAAGGAUCCGAUCAUCCUUUUUUAAAACGUCGUUCGAUUUUGACCGUUCAUUUUUUGCCCGCUUGAUGGACUUUAUUAUGAUUUCAAAAAUUUACGAAAUUUAUCUUCUAGAAGUUUCAAAUACUCUAGAUCAUAUUUAACGGAGUGGAUCGUCGAUUUGGAAGCUCCAUCAUCGAAAACAACUUAUGAGUACGAGGGCUCCAAUACUCAUAAUAGUAUAGUAGCCACGGCCUNGACCUACAUUGGCUCCAAUUAGAUAAUGGGCUUUUUGUGUCACACUAGGCCAUGGACCCAAUACAACACUGUCGACCCGGCCCGAAUCCGGUCUAUUUCCGUAUUUAUUAAACUGGAAUAUGACAUCUGACCAAAUCACGUACACGUAAACACACCAUCUAGCAAAUAGCUUAUCAACUUUCACUUAAGUUCACAUUGCUUAAUUUCCAAAGAUGUUGACUAAAACCAUAUGAUUAAAUCACCAUUGAGUGUUGCAAUCACCUUAGUGUUAAUUUUAUUUUCAUUAAUUAAUCAAUUAAUUUGGCCGUAGAUAUUGCUCUACAACAAUUACGAGGAAAUAUCAUUGCACCCCCCAAAAACUAUCUAUAAUUAUUUCGGCUGUUUUAAGCUGUUAUUUUUGGAAUGAGCCAAUUUUAGUUUUUCAGAGGGAGCUUUGUGCGAAAAAUGCUAUCGUCUCGACUCUCUUGAGACUCCAACUAUUUUCCCUCUUCCUCGAUAGAGAGAUAGAGAGAUAGAGAGAGAGAGAGAGAGAGGUGGCGUUCAUGGGGUGCUCCUUCUCGGGAUUGAACGCGCUCUACGGGGCGAUGAGUUGGGGAGGGGACGUGUGCCGCUGUAUUAUUAAUAGUAGGGAUGUCCGGAAUUGAUUGGAUAUGUUUGGUGUAUUAAUAAUGAUUCAAGGGUGAAAAAGCGGAUUGUAUAUAUUAUUGUUCCAGCUAAACUCAUAAUAAUACAUAUAAAUAGAGAGAGAGAGAGUCUUUAGAAACAUUUAUUAUAAACAAAUCUUCUUUUGUUUUUAGAGAGAAAUAUUUGAUUAAGAAAAAUACUUAUUGUGUACCAAAAAAUGCUGUAGAUCCUACACUCCAUCCUAGGGAAAAACUCAAAUGAGAUUUAGUAAAAUAUGAAAAUAGUUGAUGUUACAAGUAAAAAAGUAAUGGUUCUUGAAUGGUAUAGGUGUAAGAUAUACAUCACACUUUGGAGUGUACCAGUAGUAUUAUCUUUUUAUUAGACAUCUUUGUUAUUACUAAAACUAAUGGAUUAUAACUUUCAUAUUUAACUGUUCACUUGUCCCUGAAAUAUCUAGAUUUUAAUUUUAUGAUGUAUGCACUAUUAAUUUCAGAAGGAGCUUGUAGUGAUCAUUAUUAUAAUUCAAGCUUUUAAUGGUGAUCAAUUGUCUUUAUAAUGUUCUUUAAUGUGUUUUGUUUAAAAUUUGGUGGCAAUAGUAAGUGUUUGAAAGCAUUUUACAGUUUAAUUAAGUAUACCUUAUAAUAACAUUUGUAAUUACUAGUAUAGCAUGUAUCUUUUAGCGGCAUUUAUUUUUAUCUUUACCAGUUGUCAGAAUAAAAGUCGUUAAAAUCUUUUUCGAUCCUGCCUAGAGCGGCAUUAUCUCCAUUGUUAGUACACUAAUUGGCGACAAAUACAAAUGUUGGAAUACAAAUGCUGCUAAUUUAUAAAGUAAUCGCUGCUAAAAGUUAAUUUUGUUGUAGGUACGUACGUACCCUAAAAACAAGGGAUGUAUUGGAUCAAGAGAAAAUGCCAUUGUGAUGCAUGAAUUAAUUGAAAAUAGCUACAUAUUAAAACUAGGAGUGGAAAUAUAAAUAUUUAAAAUUGAGAUAUCUGUUUUUAAUUUUUAAAAUUUAAAUCUUAAAUUAAAAAUCUUGUUUUUAAUUUAUAAAUUUAAUCGGUUAAUUACACAAUUAGUCCCCAACCUUUGCACUGAUUUUUAAUUUGGUCUCCAAUCUUUGUUUUUUUUUCAAUCCGCUGACACAGUACCUCCGUGACGCUGACAUGAUGCUAACAUAGCAUUUUUCGUCAAUUUUAACAUCUUUCUAAUGGCUAGAACCCCCUUAUGAGUAGGGCUACUAUGCCAUUAGGAGUACACCAGUCCUUGUGUUCCUAACUUCCUAACCAUUCAUCAAUUUUGAAGUAGAAGAGAAAUUAAGACACCCAAUUUCUCUUUAAUUUCUCUUCUCUCUCUUAUUGUUAGGAAGUUAGGAGCACAAGGCCUAUUAUGCUACUAAUAGCAUAGUAGCCCUGCUCUCUCAAAUUUCUCUUUAAUUUCUCUUCUCUCUCUCACCGUUAGGAAGUUAAGAGCACAAGGGCUGCUAUAUUACUAAUAGCACAGUACCCCUGCUCUCUCCAUUUUUUCUUUAUUUUCUCUUCUCUCUCUCACCUUUAGGAAGUUAGGAUCACAAGAGAUGUUAUGCUACUAAUAGCACAGUAGUCCUGCUCUCUCUCUCUCUCUCUCCCUCUCCCUAUAUAUAUAUAUAUAUAUAUAUAUAUAUAUAUAUAUAUAUAUAUAAUAUAAUUAUAACAGCUACAAGUACAAGUAUUCUUAUUAGUAUAUGACCCCUUAGUAUUUAUAAAUUUUGUACUAAGUGGCAAAAGGGAUAUGCGGUUAGGAAUGAUAGUGGUCCUCAAUUAGAAUGAUAGGGAUCCUCUAGAGUUGAGUUGGUGAUUGGUUGAAUAUUUGAUCUAAGGAGUGAAAUGGUCAAAGGGGUAGACUAACGACCAGGAAAUUUAUGAAGUACAAAUGGAGUCUAACUGCAAUUGUACAGUAGCCGAAUUAGUAUAUAUGAUCUAUAUAUAACUAUAAUAUAUAUAAUAUAUAUAUAGAGAAGAGAGAGAGAGAGAGAGAGGAGACGAGAUGAUGAGAGAGGAGAGCUGGGUAUGCUUCUGGAAGCAUGGAGCCUUCCGUGCUUCCAAGUCGUUUUCGAUGUUGGGGAUUUCGAAUCGACGAUCGGCUCCGCUAGAGUUGAUCUAGAGUAUUUGAAGUACCCAGAAAAUAAAUUUUGUGAUUUUUUGAUAUCAUUUGCCUAGUGAUCGAAAGGGCUCAAAAUCAAUAAUUUUAAUGGCCGUGGUGAGCCGUUUACAAGUUUAACGGUAUAGAAAUAUCCAAAUCACAUUAAAUUUUGAUAAAAAAUUCUUUAUACUAUAUAAAACAAGAUCAAUAACUUUGAUCUAAAAUUUUAAUAUCAUAUCAUCAUAUUUUUUAAGAUUUUUAUUUUCAACCGUUGAUUUUGAGUCUUUUCGAUCACUAGGCUAUCAAAAAAGAGCCGUUUGCAAGUUUAACGGUAUAGAAAUAUUCAAAUCAUAUUAAAUUUUGAUAGAAAAUUCUUUAUACUAUAAAAAACAAGAUCAAUAAAUAUAGUAGAGUUAGAAUACUUUUAGAAGCACCAACUCAUUGGUGCUUCUAAGUUUCUAGCUCUUGGAUCUACUCCCUAAUUACUAAUAUUUCUUGGAUCAAAUACUAUUCCACCUACCACCACCUACCCACCAUCAUCUGAACCCUACAUCUCUCCAUCCAAGGGCUAAAAAUUCAAAGGCACCAACCCAUUGGUGCUUUUGAGAGUAUUCUAGCUCUACUAUAUAUAUAUAUAUAUAUAUAUAUAUAUAUAUAUAUAUAUAUAUAUAUAUAUAUAUAUAUAUAUGAGUUUGGCUACUAUGCUAUUAAUAGCACUAAACGUUUGGUGUUAUCAAGUUUUCUACCAGUGGAUCUACCCUCUUUGAUCAUUUUCGACCGUCAGAUCAUACUAUUCAACCAACCACCUACUCAACUCUAGAGACCACUCUCAUCCUAACGUUACAUCACUUCGUCCACGGGUUGAAAACCUAAUCGCACCACUGACUUAGUGCUAUUAAUAGUAUUGUAACCUAGUUUUACAUAUAUUCUCUGCAAACAAAUCGGUAAAAUUAAGGGUAAACUUCAAAUACCAUCCCUAUGGUUCUCACUUUCUCACUUUAGUACCUUGUGGUUUAAAGUGUGUCAAUUUAGUACCCUGUGGUUUUAUUUUUCUCUUUUCGUCAGCUCUUUCGUUAACAUUUCGUUAAAUUAUAUACAAAAAACUUCAGAUACCCUAUCUAGAUUUAUCGAAUAUUCACUUUAAUAUCUUUUAGUUUUAACUUUGUCACUGAUUUAACAAACAAAAAAUAGUGGAAAGGAUAAUAAAAAAAAAAGAAUGAAACCACGGAAUACUAAAUUAAUACACUUUAAACCAUAGGGUACUAAGAUAAAAAAAUACGAAACCACGUGAGCGGUUUUUGAAGUUUUCUCUAAAAUUAUACUACCUUCUUGUGACAAUGCAAUGAUGACAGAUGCACUACUGAUUCUACUGAGUGUUUAAAAACACAGGUACGUACCGGAAAGCGAACCAAGAAAUGUGCAAUCUGUGAUCACAAAUACGGAAACUAACGCGUGCAGGAUUUUCAAAAUUCCAGAACAACAUAUCUGCGACGACAAUGUCCAGUCCUUCCACCCAAUAAUUCUAUCGAUCGGCCCAUAUCACCACGGAUCUUCACAUGUAGCCGGCAUGGAGUCAGUGAAGUUGGAUUGUCGACGAAGGAUCUUCGGUUAUGAUAGUGACAACUACCAUGUCAGCGGCGAAAUCAUGGAACUAGAAAACAGAGCAAGAGGAUUGUACAGCGAGAAUGUGACAAUGGAACGGGAGGACUUUGCUAAGAUGCUCUUGCUCGACGGAUGCUUCAUAGCUGUUGCUCUCGGAAAGAUGGAAGGCCGGGCUGUUGAAAACAUACCCAGCGAAGCUGAUCUUAGCCAGCACGAAGCAUUGAAUAGGCACGACAUAGUGCAUGACCUACUCCUGGUAGAGAAUCAAAUUCCUUUUUUCGUCCUCGAGGAAAUACGUAACCUAGCUGCACCUAUACCAGGAGAAACAACUGAACAAUUUAAAAAAAACAUCGCUAAAUAUGUGGAACGUGUGCUACGACACUACCCAAAAGCGAUCGAAAUCCCCGCGAUCUGUUCGAAUGAUUUUCACCAUCUGCUACACUUGUGCCAUAUGUUCUUUCGACCUAGUCAAAAUCCAGCGGGACACCACCGCAUUCAAACAAUGAUUCAAUGCUUUCCUUGCUCUGAUCGCUCACAUCACAUGACGAACCAGUGGCACCGAGCAAUGCAAUACCGUGAAGCAGGAGUCGAGUUCAGAGUAAAGGACUCAUCUUCGACUCCCCAUUCUCUAUUGGACGUGACGUUCAGCAAUGGGACAAUGGAAAUUCCACACCUGUCCAUUGACGCGAAGACAGAGUCGAUUUUUAGUAAUUUGAUCAUGUUCGAGGUAGGAUAUCCAAGCGCUGGGAACUAUAUAAAUGCAUACGUCACAUUCAUGUCGCAACUUCUCUGCGAUGCUGAUGAUGUUAAAUUACUUGCCCGUGAAAAAAUCGUUCAUAUAUUGGGUCCCCAGGAAGAGGUUGUAAAUAUUUUCAACAGGCUUAACGGGUUGGCUGUUUUCGAUCCCUGUGGGGAGAACUAUUAUUUAACAUCUACGUUUCAGUCGGUGGAAGCACACUACCGUUGCCGUUGUAAUUGGUGGAUGGCAUGGUUGAAGCACAAUCACCUAAAAAAUCCGUGCGUGAUCAUUGCAGCACUCUUAGGUUUUAUAUCUCUGCUCUGCAUUAUGAUUCAAAAUUUUCUUUCUAUUUUGAAGCAUUUCAAUGUGGUACAUCAUUAACCGUCGUCGAUAUUAUUUGUUUCUUCAUGCAAUCUAUUUGUUUACCCAGAUCAGUUUGUUUUGAGUUUGUCUGUUUUCUGCUUACGCUUAUUCAUGUUAUGCAUGUGAUGACUUGCAAGUGCUUGGCUUGUUUCCAGCAUCAUUUCAUAAAAAACCUAUGUUCUUGGAAUAUCAUAUUUGAUUUUUGUGGAGUUAUACUGCAUUAAUUAGUUUUUUAUCACGAACAAUAUUGUAAACUUUUCCCUGGUUCUUUAUGCUGCAGUUAUUGUACUAGAGGAGUAAAAAAAUGAAAUAGAGAGAGAGAUGGACUUGAUUAAUUAGAGGAGCUAGAGCUCACAACAUUCAUUUAUGAAGUUAUGAAUUGGCGACUUUCGGAGCCUCGGAGGCUUCUCCGCAAUCCGCGGGCUGCGGGGCCCACUGUCAAGCUUAUGUGUGGGGUCCCCUGACCAGAUAUUUUCGGGUCGCGUCUUUUUGACCCUCACCUCGCUGGUUUUUUACCCUCUUUUGCCCUUUAUGGACUCCGAAUUAUCCUCUCUCCUCUAUUUUUCUGCUGCAUGUGGGUACACGGCGUUUGGUGUGGUGCUGGACAGGUUGGUUUUGAUUUUUAUUAACCGUUUGGUUCGGGGAUAAGUAAGAACUAGCUAUUACAGGGAUAGGUACAAAUAUGGAGAUACAAAAAAUAGCGUUUGGAUGAAAAUUGGGUUGUUCCCGGAAAUAAGAAAAAUAUUAGAAAAUUUUAUAUAAAAAGUAGAGGUGUUGGUGGGGGUAACCAAGAACUACUAUUCUCGGAUAAAAAAUUAGCAUUUGGGUAUAAAGGGGGGGAUAAGGGUCUAUUCCUAUCCCUAUCCCUAUUCCCAAACAAAACGGUGUUUCUGAACUUUUGCAGGUUAAUAGAAUUUCAGGGUUUGCAUUUUUUGGGGGAGAUUUUUUUAACUAAAACCUUGUUGCAACAUAGGCACUCUAUUUGGUUUUGAAAUCUUGCUAUUUCUAUUUGGUAUUAAGAGUAGAGCUACUAUGCUAUCGGAAGCAUAGAGAAUCUGGUGCUUCUGAUUUUUUCGCCCUUAGAUCAACUUUUUUGAUUAUUUUUAACCUUUGAAUUAAUACUACUAUCCUGUGGGGACCACUCAAUUCUAGAGUACUACUCAACUCUGGGAAACUGCAAUCAUCCUAACUGUAUAAUUUUUGAUCCAAGGGCCAAAAAAUCGGAAGUAUCAGAUUUUCUAUGCUUCCGAUAGUAUGGUAGCUCUACACCGGUAUUAAUCUGUUUGCUUCGAAUUCCAUACUUAAUUCCGUCACAAACUGAAACUUUUUUCCCUAAUUCAUGAGAAAAGAAUAUAGCAUAACGGGUAUGUAGCAAGCUUCAGAAACCUAAGAAGGCAUGGCGACAUUGCUGACAUUUUAGUAAAUGUUGUAGCCUAUCGACUGCGGCAAGUGGUUGGUUGUUCUGGCCGCCGUUCGAUUUACUUGCGUGUGUUCUUUUUUUCUCAUUCGUUUUCUUGUGUAUGGAUUACUCUGUUUUAUUUUUUUCCCCUACCAUGUAGAUUCCCCCAAGCACAUUAAGGAGAAAAAAAAAAAAAAGGUCAGGAAAAAAAUUAAGAACAAUGCUAUUACUAUUCGCAACAAACUCGGCAUUCGAAUAAGGAGGAAAGAGUCCACUUUUCUUCUAUGCUUUUCAAGUUGCGUAUGAUGUUUUGAAAUCAAGGAACAGUAUAGCAAUGCAUGCUUUAUUCCUGUAUUUUGUUUAAUACUAUCCCUUUUAGUAUUUAUAAACUUUUGAAUUUAUGUCCUCUAGUUUUUUUGAGAGGGAAAACUUCAAAACAAAACCCAUGUGUUUUUAUUUUUUUUCAUUUUAGUACCCUGUGGUUUAAAAUGUAUCAAGUUUGUACCAUGUGGUUUCUCACUUUAUUACUUUAGUAUCCUAUGGUUUAAAAUGUAUCACUUUAGUACCCUAUGGUUUUACACUUUAUGAUUUUAGUACCAUAUGGUUUUAAUUUUGUAUCAAGUUAGUAACUUGUAGUUUUUAAACCACAGGGUACUAAAGUGAUAAAGUACGAAACUACAGGGUACUAAAGUGAUGAAGUGCAAAACCAUAGGGUAUUAACUUGAUACACUUUAAACCACAAGAUACUAAAGUGAUAAAGUGAGAAACCACAGGGUACUAACUUGACAUAUUUUAAACCAUAGGGUACUAAAGUGAAAAAAAGUGAAACCACAAAGGAGUUUUUUGAAGUUUUCCCUUUCUGAAACUUUUCUUCUUUUUGCGAGCUGUCGGGCCUGCUAUACUGUUGGGUACUUUCUACACUCAGGUCUUGAUUAUUUAGAACUAUUGCAAACGUGUUCAAUGCUUUCUUUUUGCUGUGAUGAUCUUGCUCUUAGACGCUGAGAUAUUUGAGAAAUGCUUCUAUACACCGGUCAAUUUAAAUUUGACCAUUCAAAUUUGUGAGGUUAAGAUUGACUUUUACACAAUGGUAACAUGCUCAACAGAUUACCAAUCAAUCAUAAAGAUAAUAUUUGAAAAUAUGCAUUAGCUAAUUACCAAAUUUGAUAAUAUCCAACAAAUCUUCAUUUCCUAAUUUAAUUUUGUUACUUACCAAAUUAGAUAAUGGCUAAUUACAUAAGUGAUAAAUCUUCAUAAAUUCGAAUUUAAAAUUUAACUUGAGUUUAAACUUUAUAUUUAUAAUUGUAUAAAUUAAAUUUAAAUUUUAGAAAGAAAAAUUUAUAUUUAAACGAGUAAACAUUUGAAUUCAAAUUGUUAAUUUAAUAUUAAACUAACAUGAAAGUGCAAAAAUGUUAAUAUCUUUAAAAUUGUAAUUUAAGUUAUAGUGUAUAUAUAAACUUUUAUUAUUUAUUUAAAUAUAAGAUUUCUACAUUUUAAAGUAAGUUGAAAUUGUUAAUUCAAUAUUGAAAAACAGCAUUAAAUUUCAAAAAUAUUGAUCAAAUUUAAAUUAUAAAUUUAGAUUAAAUUUAUAUUAUACUUAAAAAAUAAAUUUAGUUAACUAUUUAAACAUAAAGUUUCAAUGUUUGAAAAUUAAUUUUAAAUUAUAAAUUACUAAAUUUAUGACUCAAUGAGAUCAUAAAUUAUUAUUAAAACCGACCUUAAAAUGGAUAAUUUAAUUAAAAAUUUAUUCUCUCCAGGAUUCAAGAGCAGUAUAUAUGCAAAACUUUCCAAUAUUAGUUAUUUAACUUUCUAAUAUUAGCUCUUUCUUUUUCCAAAAAACUCCUAGAUUCACAUACCUGGUGACCGGUACUACUUGUGCAAUAGCAGAUCAUCUUUUUUUAUGCAUAAAUCUUAACCCUUCAUUGAUUAAAAAUAAACAGCUAAGAUCAGAAUGGAGUAUUGAAGCAUUGCUCUUUAAAAAAUUCAAGGACCGAGAUCUUUUUUGUGCAUAGGAGCAUUGCUCAUUAUUAUUUUUUUAUUAAAGGGGUAUGGGUGUAAUUUUUUCAAACUAUAAUUUGAUAGGAGACAUAUUUUAUACUCUGAUUUGAUUAAGAAAUCUAGUUUCUCCCAACAAACUAGAUUUCUGGUAUAUAUGAGCGAAAAUUUGGUAUUAGUGUAAAUUGCAAAAUUUUAACACAACAUGCAACUCCAAAUCUAAAACAUUUUUCUAGUUGGGCUGAUUGUAAGGAUUGAAAUGCCAUGGCACGGGAGUCGUGCCGGAAGCUUGCCGGUACGGUGCAUGCCGAAUUGUGCGGAUGCGUGCCGGUCACAAAAAAUAUAUAUAUAUUGACACGAAAUAGCAUGAAAUAUUUAUUAUUUUAACAAUAAAAUAUGUAAAUUAUUUAUUAUAUAUUUUUAUCAAAUUUUUUAAACUUUAUUGAGAUAAUUAUUCAUUAAUUUCAAGAAUACAGAGUUUUAAGUUGUGCCAUCGGCACGGGGGCUAUAUCGUGCCGAUAUAUUGCUGGCAUGCUAUGGCACGAUAAAUACACCCCUUGCCGAUAGACAUUUCACCGUUAAACUAGCAAAUAUCUCAUACCGGUCAUUAAAAAUUGUCAAUUUUGUGAGCUUUUGAUUGUAAGGUAAAUGAUAUUGAAAAAUUACGAAAUUUAUUUUCUAGAAGUUUCAAAUACUUUAGAUCAUUUUUAACGGUGUGGAUCGUCGAUUCGAAACGUCCAACAUUAAAAACAAUUUAUGAGUACGAAGGGUUCUAUGCUCAUAAGAGUAUAGUAGCCCUACUCUCUCUCUCUCUCUCUCUCUCUCUCUCUCUCUCUCUCUCUCUAUAUAUAUAUAUAGGCCAAUUUGCAUAAAAAAUUCACUUAUUUUGGGCUUUUGCAAAAUCGGGCCAUCUUUUUGGUUUUUGCAGAUUCGGUCCGCUUUUUUAGCAUACUGACCAAAAUACCCUUAUACCUUUUUCUCUUUCCUCUUUCUCUCUCCUCUUUUUUUUCUCUCGUUCUUUUUUCUUUUUCUUCCCAGAGAGCGGCGAAGACGGAGCGGAGGCGCCCUUAUACCUUUUUCUCUCCUCUUUUUUCUCUUAUUUUUUUUUUCUUUCUCUUUCCAGAGAGCGGCGAAGACAGAGCGGCGUCAUCGCCGACGCCCCCACCUUCCUCGCCUCCGAUCCUCCCAAGGCCGAACUGCGAUUUUCUUUUUUUUGCUUUUUUCUUUUUUUUUCUUCUCCGACUCUCCUCCAGUCUCUGACGACGGCGCCUCUCUCGCUCUUCCCUGCCCUUCUCGUCUCUCCUUCUCCCUCAUUCUUUGCUGCCUCCGACGACGAUGCAUCUUCGCCGACACCGACGCCGACACCGUGGAGAUCACUGCGGCGCUGCAGUCUCGGAGUGGGCGGGUCUUUAGCGGCGUCAUCACCGGCACCGUGGCUAUUAGCACAGAAGGUGACAAAAAAAUAUUAAAAAAGAAACAAAAAAAAAUAAAGAUAAAAAAUUAUAUAAAAAAAGGAUGAAGAUGAAAUUAUAUUGUUAACUGCAAAACAAAUUACAAGUUGCACUACUUAAGAUGUAAACUGCAGUUUUAAGAUGAAAAUUACACUCUUUAAACGAAAAUCACACUCUUUGGGAGAUAUUUACACUGUUUCUCUUCUUAUUGCACUCUUUCAGAUAUAAACUGCACCCACUAAGAUAAAAAUUACACUCUUUAAAUGAAAGUUGCACUGUUUCUCCUCUUGUUGCACCAUUUUUUCUCUUGGUACACUAUUUUUUACUUUAAACUGCACCCAUUUAAGAGAUAUUUAUACUUGUUCUUCUCUUGUUGCACUGUUUUUACUCUUGUUGUACUAUUUCUCCUCUUGUUACACUGUUUCUUCUUUUAAAGGGUGCAGUUUAAGAUAAAAACAGUGUAACAAGAGAAGAAAUAGUGUAACGAGAGAAGAAACAGUACAACAAGAGGAGAAACAGUAUAAAUAUCUCUUAAAGAGGUGCAGGUUAUGAUAAAAAAUGGUGUAACAAGAUGAAAAAUGGUGCAACAAGAGGAGAAACAGUGCAACUUUCGUUUAAAGAGCGUAACUUUUAUCUUAAUGGAUGUAGUUUAAAUCUGAAAGAGUGUAAUACGAAGAGAAAUAGUGUAAAUAUCUUCCAAAGAGUGUAAUUUUCGUUUAAAGAGUGUAAUUUUUAUCUUAAAGCUGCAGUUUACAUCUUAAGUGGUGUAACUCGUAAUUUUUCUUGCAGUUAACGAUGUAAUUUCAUCUUCAUCCUUCUUUUUAUAUAAUUUUUUAUCUUUAUUUUUUUUUUUUCUGUUUCUUCUAUAAUUUUCUUUUUGUCACCCUCUCUGCCAAUAGCCACGGCACCGGUGACGACGCCGCUAAAGACCCCCCGCUCCGAGGCUGCAGUGCCGCAGUGACAUCCACGGUGUCGGCGUCGGUGCCGGCAAAGAUGCAUCGUCGUCGGAGGCAGUAGAGAAGAAGGGAGAUAGAGAGACGAGAAGAGCGGGGAAGAGCGAGAGAGGCGUCGUCGUCGGAGACUGUGUAGGAGAGUCGGAGAAGAAAAAAAAAGAAAAAAACAAAAAACAAAAAAAGCCGCGGAACGACCUUGGCGGGGUCGGAGGCGAGGAAGGUGAGGGUGCGUGGGUGAGGGCAAGGGCAAGAGUCGGAGAAGAAAAGAAAAGAAAAAAGCAAGAAAAAAAAAAAAAAAAAAANCGCUCGUGUUCGGCUCGUUUACACCCCUACCUAUAAGCUCAUCCAAGCAAAGAGAAACACUUCCCAAUAUGUAUUGAUGCAAUAAAAUGGCAAAGGUUACGGCUCACUCACUGAGUGGUCUGCUAGUGAACUCAAAUGCGGUGAUUUGAAUUCAAAACCAUUCUUUUAAUAUAACUAGCGUCUGUGUUCUGUUAGCAUGUAUGAUCUCUAUUUUUUGUCUGUAUAUAUAUAUAUAUAUAUAUAUAUAUAUAUAUAUAUAUAUAUAUGGAAAGAAAGUGUUACAUUGAAACUCCGAUGUCGGCAACACAGUAAAACGCGUCCCAGGUUGCCGCCCGUUGCAAACACGUGGCAUUUCCUCAUCUAUUGGAAAAUUGUUUCCUGCACCCAGUGUAUAAAAGCAUUUUUGUACACCACAGUAUUAAUUAAAGAUUUUUAAAAAUAUUUUAAAAUUAAAAUCUAACUUAAGCACUAGAUGCAUAUAUAAAAUAUUUUAAAAUAUGAAACCCAUGGCCAACUAUAUUAGCCAGCUAUAUGAUUGAUAUCAUUAUUAUUGAUUAUUAACUUCACAAUAGUUAAUUUUUUUUUUUAAUAUCUUGUUAUUUUUUACUGAUAAGAAAUUUAAAUAAUAUAAAUCACAUAUAUUGAAUAAUAUUUUAAUUUCAAAAAGGGGUUAAACUUUAAAUACCAUCCCUAUGAUUUUGUACCUUUUCAUUUUUGUAUCGUGUGAUUUAAAAUGUAUCAAGUUAGUACCAUGUGGUUUAAUUUUUUUUUUUUCAUCAGCUCCUCCAUUAAUAUUUCGUUAAAUUAUAUACAAAAAAUUUCAGAUACCUUACCUAGAUUUAUCGAAUAUCAUUUGAAUACACUUUAGUUUUAAUUUUAUCACUGAUUUAAUGAAAAAAAUUAGUGAAAUGGAUGAUAAAAAAAGAAAAUUGAAAUCACAUAUUACUAAAUUAAUACACUUUAAAUCACAAGGUUGUAAAGUGAGAAAAUGCGAAAUCACACGGGUAGUAUUUGAAGUUUUUCCUUAAAAAAAAUACAUCAAUUAAUGUAAUACGAAAUGGAUACACCAGGUGCAUGGGGGACCAACCUGCCCCACGCAAUUCCCGCUCUUUUCUCCCCGUUUGGAUUUGUUGCUGUAGGGUGACCUGGAUUGCGACACCGACAUCCAAUAGGGAGGGGGGACAUGACACGUGGAGGAAAACGAUUGGCUGUGACGAAAAGAAAGAGACAUCUCGCCAACGGCUAAUAACCACAUAUUUUUUACACUUGAAACUUGGUCAAAUUAAUUAGUCAAAAUCGAUGGAACAAUUAAGAUUUUUUUUUUUUUCCUUUAGGAUAUUUUUGGUUCAUCUAUUUUAAUCUAUGAAUUUAGGAUAUUUUUGGUUCAUCUAUUUUAAACUAUGAAAUCAGAAUAAAAUUUAUUAAUUUUCAUAGUUAUUGUUUGAUUUAUAGAAAUCGGAUUUCGGUUCCUAUUCUACUCCGGAAUGGAAAUAUGACCGAAUUCAUUUAUGGCUCAAUUCAAUCUUGAAUCCCAAAUUGGUCCAAUCCAAAGAAAACUAUUCAAAAUUUUAUUUCUCCAACAUUUACCUCCUCUUUUUUAAUCAUUUUUCUUUCUCUUAAUCAAAUCCUCUUUCAAAAAUUUGAAAUUUCCAUUUCGAUUUCUAUUUCAAUAAUGAACCAAAUAUUUUUUGAUGAUUUGUCAUUUUAUUUUCCAUUACAAAAUAAUCCAAUUUUAUUUUUCAUUCUUAUUCCAAUUAUGAACCAAACAUGUCACUACAACAAAAACGGUCUAUAGCGACACUUUUAAAUAUCGGUAUAGAUCAAAAAAAGUGCUGUUGGCUAAUUAAAUUACCUAUACUUUUAAGAAGUGUUGCUAUAUGUGGGGUCGCUAGGUAUAUAGUGACAGUUAAAGAGUAUCGCUAUAAUCUAAAUGAGUGCUGCUAAUUUACCAAUAUUUAUUUAAGCAUCUAGCAACCGCCGGAACCCUACCUCGUUGGCUGCGGUGGCGGAUGAAGAUGAGAGGAAAGGAUUUUCGUUUAGGAUUUUAGUCGAUUGAAUAAGGGAAGAAGGGAAAAUGGUAAUCGAUUUUUCUUUUUUUUUUCUUUUUUUUUUUCUUUUCUGUUUGUAAUCGGGUCGAAUGGGCUGGGUGGAGUGGGUUGAGUAGAGUACCAUUUUAUUUUUAGUUGGAUUGGACUUUAUAUUUAGUAUUAGUAGAUUUUUUUUUAAAAUUUUGACAUAAAUGUGACACUUAUACAAAAAUGUCCCAAACAUGUGUCACUAUAACCUAAUUCUGUUGUAGUGUGUAUGCCUUUAAUGUAAUUACUUUUUCCAGCGAACAUCUGGUUAAAUACACAAAAACACAUGCAUGUGUGUUGGAUUGUAAGUAUAGUGGAUGAUAAAUAAAGUGAUAAAUUUUAAUUUUUAAAAGUAUAGAAAAUAAAUUACAAUUUCAAUAGAGUUUAGAUGAUUUUCGUUUUUUUUCAAGCCUAAAUUGGGCUUAUAAAGGUUCUCCGGUUCGCACAAAUUAAAAUCUAUUCUCAGGCAUGCUCCGUUCUUGGGGUUUAGGGUUUAAGUUACUAUAGUUUGAUAGUUUUCUGUAGAUUUUUUUUUUAUUUUUUAUUUUAAGGCAUUAAAAAGAAAAUUUCAGGAAUGAGGUCAAUAUUUUGCGUUUUUACGCCCUCAUAUGUUGAGCCCAUUAAGGGCCCAUUUGAUUUUUACUUCAAGAGCAUUUCACAAAAAUAAUAAAAAUCUAGAGCUUUUGUUGUAAUGAAAGGGGAAAAAACUUUUUCGAGGCCUUAGAGUGGAAUUACCAAUUUGAUUAUUUUGAUCUACUAUAGGAAAAAGCUAAAAAGGAUAUUAAUAAGCAGUGAAAAGUAUACUAAUAUUAAUUGUGCAUUAAUUGUAAUACUAAAGAGAAACAAGUGCCAACGUCAUGACUCUUUUCAUAUCCUCCCACGUGAGGAUUGUUGGUUACUUAUUAUUAGCUAAAAUAUAUAAGUCCAAUUUUCUGUUCUGAGAUAAUCCGUUCAGAAUAUUAAUAAGUUGAGUUGGAUAAGUUCAAUAAGUUGAGUAGGGUUGCGAUCCACAAUAAACCUAAUGGUAAGAGAUCCAAUAAUAAACCUAAUGUCGAGAUAGGUCGAGUUAGGUCGAAAUUCCUUGAGCGCUAAAAUUAAGCCUUUAAGUGCGACAGAUACGUCCUUUCUACCGGUACGGGUUUUUGAGAUAGUUUAUUAGUGCUUACAAUCCACAAGGAUAUAAAGCCAGAUUAUAGUUUUGUUGCUCUAUGUCCAUCAAAUAUGUGCUACAUGAAGUUUUGGCUUUGCAAUCCUAAAUUUUUUGGUUUUUAGUAGGCUACAGGUAUCAAUGAAAAUAUGUCCCUAGACUAAACCCAGCCAGUCAAAAUAUAGUCUGUAGUCUAUGUCACCAUGAAACUCCUUGACAAAAUCUAUAUAUAGAGGUAAAUUAAGAUGGGAAAUUUAUUAAAUAUAAUUAAAUCCUAAAUAUUUAAAAGAGAUUACUGAAACAAAUUUAUAAAAAUAAUAAGACUAAAAUACAGAAUAUUCAUCUAUAAAUAAUCGCUUUCUCACUUUAUAUAAAAUUUGAAGUGGUAGCAAUUAACUCAGCAUUGUUAUAAUUUCGUUAUUAUUCUGUGCAUAAAUUAAGUGGUUGUUGGCGCCGUACAAAACAGCGCCAUGUGGAAAAAAAGUUCGAACCGCGUGAGCAAAACGAUGAGAGCGAGGUCAGAGUAAAAGGGGGAAAGUGCCAAGGGAUAAGAGUGAGUACCUCUCAUUCCUCACUUGACUCUACUAGGACCUGUAGUGACACGUGGUGCGCGCACUUAGAGCCGAGAGGAGUACGCCUAAAAUGGAAGAACAGUUUAGAUGGGAGACCCACCGUCCCUAGAGCAAGUGGCAAAAGACUUGGUGGUUGGUACAUGCCCGAGACCCGAGUUCGAAUCCUAGUUGAUUCACACUUCCAGCUAUAUAAGUUUAUUUCUUAAUGAAAUAAACGAAGCGGGUAGCGCGCUAUCUAUCUCUCAAAAAAAAAAAAAAAAACAGUUUAGGUGGGAGUGACUAAAGACAUGGAAAAAAGAUUUCGUGGCCAGCAAGAGAUCAACCGAAACAUAACUCGAGGAAAUGGGGACGUGGCCGAAGGACCUCUACAAUAAGAUAUUAAACCAAUAACGGCAGGGGGGAGAAGAUAUUGCUAUAAAUAAAAAUAAUCGUGCUGUGAAAAGGGUCCUUCACACAAAUAAAAGACCAUAACAAAUUUUAAUUCCUUUUUUUUUACAUUUGCAGUUUUUUUAGAGAUAGUUCAGGGAUUGUCUUGUUUGUUCUCUUUUUCAGAGCUUAGUUAAGAGUGUGAUUAAAUAGUUCUAUAGGAGUAGAUUCUAUUUCUAUAACAACAUUUAUAAUUCCGCUUUCUUGAUAAAUAUAAACAGUUCGGCUCAUUUGGCCGAGCUUGCUUUUGAGUAAAUUGUGAAUAGUGGCGGAAGAACCCGGUUAAGCCGAUCCCUCCUCAAUUGAGUUGCUUGGUUCACUAAUGAUGCAUUCGAGGUCAUCCUAGGAGCCAACUCGUAUCCCAAAGAACAACCCGACUUCGUCAAUGCCUUGAUUUGGCCAGCGUUGUCUCGUAUUCGGUUUCUAGCCCAGCAAUGGUACAACUAAGAAAUUACUAAUAAUCUUAUUAAAUUUUAACAAAUGAUGAAAAGAAUUAGUAAAUAGGCGGGGAUCAAUCUCUCAUUAAUUUGGUGGGACAAAAUAUAGAAUUUUUAAAGAGAGGCAUGUGAAAUGGAUAAGCCGAUAUAUAUAGGGCGAUUUUCUAUUUUAUAGUCAAAUAAUAAUUUUUUAAAAUUUAAAAAAUAAGAUUUGAAAUUCUAAUUUAUUUUCUGUUGCAUCAGUUAUGGCGAAGCUAGAUAGCCCGAGGGUUGCAAUUAGCGAAGCUUUAAUUUGUUGGACCAUGAAGAGUGGACAACAUGGAUGAUAUAUAUGCGACGUGAUGUGAUUAAAUACCAGCUUUAGAAUUAGUGCAUUGUCAUAUGUUGAAUAUAUAAAUAUUAUUGUGGAGGAAUUAAUUUUAGGAUAUAAUGAAGAGGGGCAAUAGUUGUUGUAAAGGUGUAGUAAUAUUCAUGAGAGGGAAUGUCUCCUUAUUUCUAGAGUUGAUGAGUGUUGGGAAGUUAAAUAGUUAAUUUGAGNGUUGCCUCCUUUUCAAGAUAAUAAUUGGUUCCAACAAGCUCCUGGGGUUUAAUGAGCUCUAUUGUUAGUUGCUUUACUUCUUUAUCAAAAAUUUGGUUCAUGAGGAGUUUUUUUUUUUUUUUUUUAAACAAAUGUACGUUAGGGUGUUAGUCAGGAGGAAGUCUACUGCGUAACAUUUACACGACAUCGUCAAUAACCAGCCAAUCAUAUUCUCUUUUUGCAAAUAAAGUAUAAUAAAAAUAUUUUUUUAAUAACUAUCAUAGUAUGGGUGAAUCCAAAAAAAAUAAUCUAAUUGAUUGGAAACGCCACAUUAGCAGUAUAAUUGGUGCAUUCUGGACUUUUUCUUUAACUAGCUAGAGUGUCAGCUGGCAUAGUUGCUGGGAUAAAUAAAGUACGUAAAUGCUACUUAUACACCCCUGUAUAGGGAUAUACAUCUUACACCCUUUAAUCUUAGGACUCACAAAUUUUUAAUGGGUUUUAGUAGAAGAAAAAAAAUUGAUAAGACAAGUGAAUAAAUAUAAACCACGAAAUAUCUAGGGUGCAAAUUUUACACCUAGAUCAUAGGUGUACAUAUAGCAUUUGCUAAAACAUUAAAGGGUGUAGAGAACUCCCUAGAUAGGAGGAGUUGGGAUUUGCUUGUUUGGACAAAACAAGAGUUUGUAGUAUUGAAUGGGAAGGAGUUCUCAUGAAACAUGAAUAAUCUAACAAAUGGCAGUGUAUUAGAAAUGUGUUGAUUGUACAAAUAUUAAAUACAUCUUCCUUGUUAGCUUAAGUUUUUCGAAAUAAAUAUUGCUUUCAUAUAAUCUAAAAUACACAGAUGUAGUUGAUAGCUUGGUGCUAACUUAUGAGCAAAAUUUGAUGAUAGAUUUGGAUCCCAAAGGUACCCCAAAACACAGAUAUGGUCAGAAUUAAGUACUAUAUGUCAUGUAAAUUAAAACUCAAGUACUAUGUCAUAUAAAAAUUUACAAGGAUAUGGGACUAGUAAUUAAGUAAAAGAGCUGGCUUUUUUUUGUGAAAUAAAAGAGGCAAUGUUCCAACCAUGAUCACUGAGAAAAGUAAUGAAGUGCGAGCUUGUGAACUCAUUACACCAUUAGAUGGAAAAUAUCACAAUCUAGUAAAAUGUUAAAAAUUUGGAGAAAGUUUCAGGUUUUGCAUAGAGAGAAAAUAUCCAAAUAGAAUGAGCAUUGUGAGACCCCAAAUAGUCCUAUAUAUAAGAUGUAAUAGGGCUAAAACUCUUAAUCCGGCUUAAGUAUUUUAGGUGGUGGCAAGGACCAAGAGAUUAAGAGAGUUAAGCGUGCUCGGACGGGAGUAGUCCUAGGAUGAGUGACCACCUAGAAAGUUGGGGCGUCACAGUUGGUAUCAGAGCUAAUUACCAGCCGGAAAUGUGAGAUGAGUCUCGGCUGAGUCGGGGUCGGAAUGACAAGGCUAGCGAGACGAGUCUCACAUCGCCUGAUACUUAUGAAUUUGAGCCUGACAAGGAUGUUAGGGCUUAAAGAGGGAGAGAUUGUGAGAUCCCAGAUAGUCCUAUAUAUAAGGUAUAAUAGGGUUAAACUCUUAACCCGACUUAAACAUUUUGAGUGGUGGCAAGGUCCAAGAGGUUAAGAAAGUUAAGCGUGCUAGAACAGGAGUGGUCCUAGAAUGGAUGACCUCCUGGAAACUUGGAGCGUCACAAGCAUGCUCAUUGAGGAAAAGAAUAUAGUAAUUAUUUAACGAAGGCGCGAUUUAUUAUGUAUGAGUUCACAAAGUACAGGAACCGACAGACUCAACGUGCAUGCUUUCCAAAGCCAAGGAGCAGGUGCAGUACAUGUGAUACAUUAAUUUAUAUUUAUUUCUAUAUAUAACAAGGACAUGAUCGACUUGAGAAUUAACGUGCGCCAAACAUUGUUACCAUGCAUAUAGUCGCGAUAUGCCGAGUUGCAUCAAACGAAGAAUGAGGAUCUUCGUUACAGAAUGGACAUAUGUAGGCCUUGAUUACUGCACCUAAAAGGGUUUGCUUCCAUCCUUCCAUGAUCCUUCACACAAAAAUUGGAUUGUGAAAAUAUGAAGACAAAAUCCUGAUCAACAACAAAAUUAUUCCUAACUUGGAGAAGAUUCUUUCAAAGAGUUGGAACUAAAACAAAAUUAUCUAUAGCAAAUGCAGUGGAAGGUGUGUAAAGUAGAAGAUCCAAGCAGUAAUAGGUAAAAAAACAAGAACCAUUGCCAUCGCAAAUUUUAUCGCUAGCAUAAUACAGAAAGGAAAGGAGAGGAGAAGAAGCAAGAGAUGCAUAACUGUUGCUCGAAGAAGUGUGGCUCACUAUAAGAAAAUCAUAAAAUCAUAAAAUAAAAAAGCUUUUUAGAUGGCGUUUGGGGGAAGCGUCCCUAAGCGUUUCUACAAUAAAGCAAAUACCUAUGUUUCAAAAAGCGUCAUCAUAUGAACCAUCUAUUGUAUCAAAAUAAUUUAUUAAAUGAUAAAUUUUAUUAUUAUUUUUAAUUUUUUGACGUUUUAAAGAGUCGUGAUUCAAAAAUUCUGACGCUUUAAAACGUCAAGAUAUAUUUUAUCGACGGUUGACAUAAGUGUCAAUAUAUACAUGGUUAUUUGUCAAUGCUUUCAAAUGUGAUGCUAGAUUAUAUAUAUAGAAACGCAUAUAGAAAUGUUUUUAAUUAUCGUUAAAUAUAUAUAAAAAAAAAAUAGCAUCCUUAAAUUUUAAUUUUCUUGCAGUGACUGCUGCUUGAAGGACGAGAAGAGCCACAAAAUCAAGUUUUUGUCCUUGGCUCGAAGGACAAGAACCACAAAAUCAAAGUUUUUUUUUUUUUUUAUUGUGAUUAAUAUAAGUAGAGGAAUAUUAUACUAGGAUUAGCGACAAGAGCAGCAUUAGAUGCUAAAUGAUUAGGAGAAUGACGCGAAGCAAGAGGUUCUUCACAAUCUAAUACAAGGGAUCAAGAACGCUCAAAAGAAUAAGAAAGGUGGUUAAGCAAUUAUUUGACCAAGCUAUCAAACUGAAUCCGAAAUCCAUCAAAAUCUUCAUGACAAAUCAUGGUCAGACAUGGCAAUCCACAUUGGACCCGGUUGAUCACUUAGUCCUUUUAUUUUAUUUUAUUUUUUGGGAUUUAAAAUUUGAGCUUAAUGAUUGCUUUACAUUGGUAAGGGCCCAGACCAGAUCUUGCCUAGAUCUGGUCUAACCUCGGUAAGGGCCAACGACUUACCUGAGAUGGAGCCGUUGUUGGAGUUGUUGGACCCUACCGUUCGCCUCUUACCUAUAUACAGAGGGGAGAGUGCACUUGAGAAAAGAUACAGGACUUAGCCUGAGCUUCACCUCUUGAUCAUCUUCUUCCUCAGCUCCUUGUGCUCUGAACUUCAUCUCCUUUCACACUGAGUUUCACCUAUUUCUAUAUUGUGCUUUCCAUAUUUUGCCAGAUCUUUUAAAGCCUAGUGGGUUCGUGGUGCACCAUUUUUAAGACGUGCCGACAGGGUGGACAGUGGUUGUUGUAUCGCUAUGAGCGAUUACCGGAGCCUUGCACGUAGAGGGGCAAUUUCGUUUUUAGGACAGUGCUUUAGCAUGUCUCGACUCACAGAUUUCAUCCAUUCUCUUCUUCCUAAUAUUUAUUUAUUGAUUCUUACAUGCUGUUAAAAUACUUGUUUAAGUUUUGUGUUUCAAAAUAUUUUCAAAAGAAUAUAAUUUUUGCUAAAAGAUUAGAAAGAUUUUUCCAACAGUAAAGGCCAGGCAACCGCCUGAUCAACGAAAAGCUGAAUAAUUAAUGGAACUAGUGAAGGCCCGCGCUUCGCCGCGGGAAAUUUACGCAAUUUCUAAAAUUUUUUAAAUAGAUUAUUCAACAUUGUUUGCUAAAAUUGGUUAUAAAAAUUAAGUAAAAUCAAAAUAAACAAUUAAAUAUUUAAAAUUUAAAAUUUUUUAUUAUCCAAAAUUUAAAUGUAAAUUUAGAAUAUAAAAUGUUCAAGCUUAAAAUUUAAAUUUUAACAUAUGAAAUUGAAAUCUCAAUAUUUGGAAUUAAAUAUUUGAAUUUUUUAAAUUCAAUCUAUAAUUUAAUAUAUAUUUAAAAUAUUGAAACUUGAAAUUUGAAAUUUAAAAUUUAAAAAUCUUAUAUUUUAUCUUAAUUACUAAAACUAAAUUUUAAAAGUUUACAAUUUUAUAUUUUAAAUUUCAGUUUUUGAAUUUUUAAUAUUAGAUUUUGUAUGAAAUUUUGCUGAAUUCUAAAUGUUUUUAUGUAAUUCUAACCUUUCAUAAUUCUGAAUUCGGAAAUAUCGUUGAUGUAAUUUCGAAUUCUGAAUUCUAUCCUUUUAUACGCAUCAAAUAUCCUGAUGUAGUUCAGAUCCGAAUUCUAAAUUUUAAACGUUACAUGCAUCGAAUAACUCAGCAAGCAGGAAUUCAGCUAGGGAAUUCAAAAUUCCAUGAAGAAUAUAGAGAAAAUAACUAUACUUUGUUCAAACUGUCCUAGCCGGUUUAUUUCUUAUUUUCGAGUUUCGGCCAAACCUAAGGAUAACUGAGUUGUAGAGAGUAAGGAGUUAGGUAGGAUGGUCAUUGAUAAGCUACACCGCUACUAUAGUUCUGAACUUACUGGAAAGAUGUUUGUGUAUGAUGCGGGAAAAAACCUAUUCACAUUAGGAUCUCUCCCACAAAAUAAUUUCGAGAAUUUUAGAAUUAAUAUUCAGAAUUUAGAACUUAGAAUCUACAAUUCAUAAUGCAAAUUCAUACAAAAUGUUGCUUAUGGCAGAAACUAUAUUUUUUUAUUUGAGACACAUAGAAAAAGCAAAUAAUUAAACAAACAAAUAUAUAUAAUUUUCAAAAUUUUAAAACUUAUAAUUUUAGUAUAAAAUUUAAAAUCUACAAUUUAGAAACUAAAAUUUAAAAUUUAAAACAUAAAAAAUUUAAAAUUUAGUUUUUGUAAUUAAGGAAAAAUAUACAAUUUUAAAUUGUAAGUUUCAUUUUAAAUUUAAACAUUCAAUAUUUUAAAUAUUAAACUACAAAUUGAAUUUAAAAAAAACAAAUACUAAACUUUAAAUAUUGGAAUUUUACUUUUAAAUGUAAAAAUUAAAAUUUUAAGUUUUGACAUUUUAUAGUAGGCGCAAUUUUGCAAAAGGUAAAUCCAAAUCAUCAUACAUCUGCAACGUAACAAAACUAAAAAUCCGUAAAAAACUAAUAGUAAGAACUAAAUAUCAAUAGUUGCAUAACAACAAUAUGAUAUAUAUACCGGAAGUACCUGAUUCAGUGGUUUCUUGUAAUAUGGAACCAGCGAACCAACCUACAUAAAGAAGCCCUAAUUUGCAUCAUAAAAUUGGAGUAAGAUAAUAAUAAGAAUUGCUUCAGAUAGUUGUACAUUAUUUGGAUGAGUCAAAGAUAUCUACUUACAGACUCACCACUUGCAUUCAUAAAAGUUUGACGUUUGGCAAGCAUGACAGGAGAAUCGCGAAUACGGCCUGCAUAUAAAACAACUAAAAUAUAUUAAAAUAUAUCUAAAUCAAAGUAUAUAUAUUCUGUAUUACGUUACUAACAAGGUUUGCAAUUCCCAGCAUAAAAUGAGCAAAUAAUUAAACAAACAAAGAAAAAAUUGCAUAUUUAUUUGCGGAUAUUAGCCUACACCUAAGUUAAGCAGAUUAAUUGGUUAUCAUAAGUUAGAAUUAAAAGAUGGCUUAGGUGGCAAAUGAUUAAUAUACUACAAAAGUUCGCAACACAUUCCUACAAAUAAAAGAAUCAGUCAUUUGGUACAUCCAAAGAAUAAUGUUGAUUCACAUGUACAGAUUCAUCUUCUCUCCUAAAUUAAAUAGGAAAAAGAAGAAUUAUAAAUGCGUAUAUAAUGAUACAAAUUUCUGUAUACGAAAAAUACUAUCUGUACAUCUACAUAUAAGUGUAAACCUUAUAUUACCUUCACAUCAAAAAUUACAUUUAUAUCUAAUAACAAUAGUCUAAAUUAUUUCAUAUUUAUUUAUAUAUUUUAUAUUUUAUAUAAAAAUAAAUAGCAAAUUAUGUAAUAAAUUAUUAUAUAAUAAUAUAUUAUUAUCUAUAUAAAAGCAAAGUAUAUAUAUAUAUAUAGUAGAGAGGAGAGAGAGAGAGAAUUAAUAAAUAUAAUAUGUUGAUAAAUAAAUUUAUAUAGAUUUAUAUAUAUAUAUAUAUAUUAUAUAGUUAUAAUAUAUAAUAUAUUAUUAUCUAUAUAAAAGCAAAGUAUAUAUAUAUAUAUAUAGAGAGAGAGAGAGAGAGAGAAGAGAGAGAGAGAGGAAUUAUAAAUAUAUAUUUUAAAAUAAAUUUAUAAUAUAUAUAAUAUAUACAUAAAAUUAUAUAUAUAUAUAUAUAUAUAUAUAUAUAAUAUAUAUAUAUAUAUAUUAUAUAAUAUAUAUAUUAUAUAUAUAAUAUAAUAUAUAUAUAUAUAGAUUAUAAUAUAUAUAUAAGAAUUAAUAUAUAAUAUAUUAUCCUUAUAUAAAAAAGUAUAUAUAGUAUUAUAUAUAUAUAGACGAGAGAGAGGAGAGAGAGAGACGAGAGAGAGAGAAUUAUAAAUAUACUAUGUUAUAAAUAAAUUUUUAUAAUAUAGAUAGUAAUAAUAAGAAAUUAUAUAUAUUAUUAGAAUUAUAAAAUGAUUAUAUAUUAAAUUAUUUUUUAUACUUCUCUACUCAUCAUCUCUCUUUCAUCUAUAAUAUAUAUAAUGUUUUAAUAAUAAAUUAUAUAAUAUAAAACUAAAAUAUUAAUAUAUAUAUAUAUAGAAAUAAUUAUAUAAGAAUUAUAUAUAUAUAUAUACGAAGAGAGAGAGAGAAUAUAAAAUAUACUAUAAUAAUAUAGUAUUUAUAAAUAAAUAAGAAAUAAUAUAGGAGAGAGGAGAGAAUUAUAUUUUAUAUAUACAAUAUAUAUAUAUGAAUUAAUUAUAUGAUAUAUAUAUAUAUAAUAAAUUAUAUAUAGAAAUUGAUAUAUAUAUAUAAUAUAAAUAUAAGAGGAGACGAGAGAAGAGAGACGAGAGAGAUUAUGACAAAAAAUAUACUAUAAGAUAAUAUUUAUAAAUAAAUAAAAAAAAUAUAAGAGAGAGAGAUUAUAUUAUAUAUAACAUAUAUACACAAUAUAUUUAUAUAUAGUAUAUAUAUAUNNNNNNNNNNNNNNNNNNNNNNNNNNNNNNNNNNNNNNNNNNNNNNNNNNNNNNNNNNNNNNNNNNNNNNNNNNNNNNNNNNNNNNNNNNNNNNNNNNNNNNNNNNNNNNNNNNNNNNNNNNNNNNNNNNNNNNNNNNNNNNNNNNNNNNNNNNNNNNNNNNNNNNNNNNNNNNNNNNNNNNNNNNNNNNNNNNNNNNNNNNNNNNNNNNNNNNNNNNNNNNNNNNNNNNNNNNNNNNNNNNNNNNNNNNNNNNNNNNNNNNNNNNNNNNNNNNNNNNNNNNNNNNNNNNNNNNNNNNNNNNNNNNNNNNNNNNNNNNNNNNNNNNNNNNNNNNNNNNNNNNNNNNNNNNNNNNNNNNNNNNNNNNNNNNNNNNNNNNNNNNNNNNNNNNNNNNNNNNNNNNNNNNNNNNNNNNNNNNNNNNNNNNNNNNNNNNNNNNNNNNNNNNNNNNNNNNNNNNNNNNNNNNNNNNNNNNNNNNNNNNNNNNNNNNNNNNNNNNNNNNNNNNNNNNNNNNNNNNNNNNNNNNNNNNNNNNNNNNNNNNNNNNNNNNNNNNNNNNNNNNNNNNNNNNNNNNNNNNNNNNNNNNNNNNNNNNNNNNNNNNNNNNNNNNNNNNNNNNNNNNNNNNNNNNNNNNNNNNNNNNNNNNNNNNNNNNNNNNNNNNNNNNNNNNNNNNNNNNNNNNNNNNNNNNNNNNNNNNNNNNNNNNNNNNNNNNNNNNNNNNNNNNNNNNNNNNNNNNNNNNNNNNNNNNNNNNNNNNNNNNNNNNNNNNNNNNNNNNNNNNNNNNNNNNNNNNNNNNNNNNNNNNNNNNNNNNNNNNNNNNNNNNNNNNNNNNNNNNNNNNNNNNNNNNNNNNNNNNNNNNNNNNNNNNNNNNNNNNNNNNNNNNNNNNNNNNNNNNNAAAAAAAAAUCCCCGAAGCCCCCGCGAAACGCGGGGAAGACGCCGUACAAACUCAGCUUUUACUAUAUGUAUUGAUUGAUCCCAUAUUUGUCUAGCAUUAGCUUAAAUAUAAGAUUGGUCAUAUAGAUGUUGGAUAAGUUCAGAAGAAGUAACUGAGUUGAUGGAUGCAUGAAGUAAAAACGACAUCAAGUUGAUUGCACAGAGAAAAUGCAGGAUCAAGAAUAGAAGUAUUUUAACAUCAUUAGAAAUAGAUUUAGGAGGACACAUAUCCAAACUAAUGACAUGGCCUUAGGGGUGGAAACGAGCCGAGCACAAGCAAGCUUGUCUUAGCUCAAAUUCGGCUUGAAAUUAAUUUCGAGCCUAAAUUUAGGCUCAAGUUUGGAUUGAAAUUAAUUCGAGCCGAGCUUGAGCGAGCCUAAUUUCGAGUCGAGCGAGCUGAAGCCCUAAACGAGCCGCUUGAAAUUCUCAAUAUCAUAGGGCCAAUUGUUUAAUUUGUAUAAAAUAUUAUCUACAAUUUGAAACAAAAACAUAUCUAAUAGUUCAAGAUAUAAAAUAAUUAUAUGAAAUACAGUAUUAUAAUAUGAAGAAAAAAAGUUUAUGAGUUGAAUAUCUAAUCUUUUCAGCUUCGCAUGUCGAUCUUCUCUUCCACCUUCAAUCUCCACAUUAUUUUUUUUCAUUUAUGCGGUCAAAAAAUGAAUAAAUUAUAUUGGCAAAUAUUGGAUUAAACUAUCCAAUCAUAUAUAACUAAAAAUCAAAAUUUUGUAUAAACAAUAAGUUUUUACUUUAAAAAUAUUCUGUAUAUUUUUUCAAACACACAAUUAAUGACAAGGUAGGCAACGGCGGACGCGUGUUGUUAUUUGGCAACUUGGGAGGAUUCAGACUUGGCCGCUUAGGGUGAAAGACAGAGAAAAAGAGAGAGAGAGAGAAAGAGAUUAGGGAUUUAAAGCUCUGUGAAAGAAAAAGAGGGAGAGAGUGUAAAUUUAGUGAAAUUUUGCCCUUUUGUUUGUCUAUUGGGCUUGUUUUUAUGGGCCAGCAAUAUUGGCCUAAUUUUAAUUAAAUUCAGAUUACUCACUCAGCCUAUAUAUAAUUAAAAUAUAUUAUAUUUAUAUAUUUUUUAAUAUAUAUAUAUAUAUAUAUAUAUAUAUAUUCGAGCUUUUCGAGUCUAAUUCGAGCGAGCCAAGUAAUACUCAAGCUCGGUUUGAAAUGAAUUUUGAGCCUUUUCUUUUGGUCAAGCUCGGCUUACUUAAUUUCAAGUCGAGCUCGAGCGAGUCGAAUAUCGAGCCAACGUGAGCCGACUCGCUCACUUGCCAGCCCUACAUGGCUUUCAAGACCAUAUAUAUGCUAGCUCAAGGAACAUAUGUAAAGACACUUCCAAAAUAACAUAUAAUCUUGAGAAUAAGAAGUUGUUAGUAAAAAUUUCAAAAUUCUCUAAUUAUUAUUUUCUUUAAUAUAUUUUAGUACUAUUAUUUAAUUUAUUAUUAAUUUAAUUAACCUAAGAUUUUAUUGUGAACGUUUCGGCUUGUGUCUCAUGCACACCGGCUCUUCGCGCUCCACUACUCUGUACACGUUAUAAUUACAUCAUAGUAUAUAGGGCUCGUUUGGUUCGAGUUAUGUAAUAUUACAAAGUAUCUCGACAUAUCCAGGUAUCUUGGAUUUCGGCGUGAGAUUACUACUGAUACUGCAUUAGAGCAUUUGGUUUAAUACAGUAAUAUAAUACUAGAUUACAGUGUUUAUAGCAUUAAUAUAUUUGGUUCAGUUUAUAAAAUUUAGUAAUCCUGACAUAAAAGUAUAGUUUUUUUCAAAAUUCUCCUUGUUGUGGUCAUUUGAAUAUUAUUUUUUGCAGAAAUGACGAAUGGAGGGAAGGAGAUCGUGAUGAUUACUUGAAAGGACAAUGCAAUAGAAGAUGAUAGGUGUUCGUGCGAGAGAAAGAGAGAGAGAGAGAGAGAGAGCGAGAGAAAGCGGCGUGCGAGAGAGAGGGCUGGGGGGAAGGAGAGAGAGAGAUGAAAAUAAUGCUGUUAAUUAGAUUUGGGGUUGUUUGAGGGUAAAAUUGUCAUUUUAUAUAAUAUGUAGUAUUAAAGGGUUUCAGUAAUGCAAGAUACACGGCCCCCCUCCCGUUAAUAUUUUCGAUGUAAUCCUGCUCGAUUUGUAAUGCUAUAUUAACGACUAGAUUACAUAUCGGAUUAACCAAACACAGUUAUCCUAACAGAAUUGCCUAUAAUCCUGCCAGGAUAACUGGAACCAAACACACCCAUAUAUUAAUGUCUGCAGGGCGCUCUCUUGUUCAUGUGAAUGCAUACAUAUAUGAAUGAGAGCUGCUGAUUAAAAGGAUAAUUUUCAACAGUUAAUUUUAAUUUUUUUUUUAGUAUUUUCAUUCAUUUUAUUUGAUCUUUUUAUCGCCGAGUGUUGAAAGAGAUUUUGUCAACCUCUUUCGCGUUCGUGCUCGUAGGAGUAGUUCCGAUCGUACCUUGGGAUGGUGUUUCUGGUUAAUCCCGCACGAAGGACAGAAAAACGCCUUAGGGUAGUACUAUGCAUGCUUCCGGAUGAGUCAAAUUAUUUAUUUAUUUGGAUUUUAGCGUUCACCUGUAAGUACAUUUAUUAAUAUUCAUCACAAAAUUUGGUUAGAUUUUAAUUAUAAUCGAAUUUCGGUGCGGUAAAUUUAUGUAACAUAGGUGACUAAGACAAACUAGGUUGGCACAAGGUUUGUAAUAUAUAUUGAAAGCCUGAAUGAAUAGGGGGGCUCACUCUGAUGAUAAAAACUCACUACUAUAAAUUCAUGAUUUAGCGACAUUUACUCCGUAGCAUUUAUUUAAAUAACGCUAAUUAAUAUAUUUAACAGUAUUACUUGAUAAGUGCCGCUAAAUUUAAUAAUUUAUCAGCAAUUUACUAUUAAUGUUGCAAAAUAUAAUAAAUUAGCAACAUAAAUUUGUGAAUGCCGCCGAAGUUUUCACCAUUUUAUAAAAAAUGACACUAAAUCUAAUAAAGUAGCAGCACUUAUUGCUAAAUGCCGCAAUAUUUGCUCCGUAAUAUUUAUUUAAAUCAUGUCAAUUAAUAUAUUUAGCAGCAUUACUUGAUAAUUGCUGCUAGAUUUAAUUAUUUAGCAACAAUUUACUAUUAAUGUUACAAAAUAGGAUAAAUCAGCAGCAUAAAUUAGUAAAUGCCGCUAAAUAUAAUAAACUAGCAGCACUUGUUACUAAUUAUCAUUACUAAUUAAUAUAUAAUUAUUAAUUUAUUCUUUUUUAUUUAAAAUUAAAAAUUUUAAAUUUACAGUUUAAAAUUAGAAACAUAUAAUUUAAAAAUUAAACUUAUAAUUUAAAAUUUUAAAUUCUAAAAUUUUUAAUUUUUAAAUUUUAAAUUUUAAAUUUUUAAAUUUAUUUUAAAUUUCAAAUUUCAAAUUUAAAACUAUUAAUUUUGCAACUUAAAAUUUCAUAUUUCAAAAUUAAAAAUUUAAAUUUAGUAUCUAAAUAUAAAAAUUUAAAAUUUAGAAUUUUAAAAUUUUAAAAUAGAAAACUUAAAAUUUAAAAAAAAUUAAAAUAUACAUAAUUAAUAGUCGCUAGCGCAAGUGGCAAAGGGCUCGAUGGUUGGUAUUUGAGGUCUCAAGUUUAAAUCCUAGUUGAUUCACAUUUCCAGUAAAAUUUAUUUAAAAAGAAAUAAACGAAGCGGGUAGUAUCUCAAAAAAAUUAAAAUUUUAAAAUUUUAAUUUAUAAAAUCAGAUAUUUGUAUUAGUGGCAUUAUAUUUAUGUGACACUAAUAAAAAAUUUAAAAUAAGUAUUUAAUCCAUUUUAGCGGCAUAUUCCUAAUGACACUAAUUGAUUUAUAUUGGCGGUAUUUAUAAUAAAUGCUGCUAAUACUUUUAGCAACAUUAGUAUAGGCAGCAUUUGGUAUCAUAUGCUGCUAAAACUUUUAGCAGCAUUUGUUGAUUAUUCAGCAACAUAAAUAAAUGCCAUUAAUGAUUAAUUUUCUAGUAGUGACUACUUGGGAAGAAUAGAGAGAAUUAGAUGAAGGAGUGGGAGAAUCAUGCACCCACUGAGAAGGAACUGAAGAAAUAAGGAGCUGUUGUAGCUUUGAUACUAGAGCAAUGCUGUAAGGACUGAGAUUUUUGCAGUGUAGCUAAACUCUCAGUUGACGAUGUUUUUGUGUGUAAUUUAAUUAUAAAAGCACUCGUCAAGUUUCGGGCGAAAUCGAGUUAAAACGGAAAUUCUACGCGAUUUCCAAGUUUCACUUAAAGUGAAUAGUAACUCGAUUUUCCGGAGAAGCCGCGGUGAGAAGUUGGCUUCUUGCUCGUACCGGACUCUGUUCAUAGCAGUCCAAUAGCUCGUUUCGACUGGGUCAGCUAUUCUGGAACUAAUGGCGCUGACGGAUUUUGAGUUCGACGCACGGAUUUCGAGAAAAUCAAAAAAUACAUGUUUUACAUGUAUUUAUGUGUGUGUUUUCUUCUAUUCGAAGAAAGUUGGAUUUUGUCGUGAAUCCGUGGUCGAUCAAGACGAAACAAAAUCGUAGCCUUGUUGUCUCCGUCGUGCUGAUCGCACUGGUGCAAUCCGUUCGCAAAUCUGACGGACGGAUCUGCGGAGAUCGCGCGUUGAUCGAGGACCCAAGAAGGAUGAGAGGGGAGCCGAGAAAAGAAGAGAUGACGAGAGGAGAGAGGCCAGGGUAUAAAAAAAAAAAAAUUCCCCGAACAGCCUCGGCCGCGAAAGCGGGGAAGACCCUGUAAAACUCAGCUUUUUAUAUAUGUAAUUGAUUGAUCCCAUAUUUGUCUAGCCAUUAGCUUAAAUAAAGAUGUCAUAAUAAUGAUUUGGGAUAAGUUCAGAAGAAUAACUGAGGUUAGAUGCAUAAGUAAAAAACGACAUCAUUGAUUGCACAGAGCAAAUGCAGGAAUCACCGAAUAUAAUUAUUCUUAACAUCAUUAGAAAUAGAUUUUAGUUAGGACACAUUAUCCAAACUAAUGCACAUGCCUUAGGUGCAACCGCCGAGCACAAGCAAAAGCUUUUGUCUAGCUCAAAUUGCUUGAAAUAUAAUUUUUCGAAGCGCUAAAUUUAGCUCAAAGUUCUGCGAUUGCAAUGUAAUUUCGAGCCGAUAUGAGCGACGCUAAUUUCGAUCGAGCGAGCUGAAGCCCUAAACGACCGCUUGAAAUCUCAUAUCAUAGGGCCAAUUGUUAAUUUUAAAAAUAUAAUCUACAAUUUGAGAACAAAAACAUACUCUAAUAGUUAAGAUUAUAAAAUAUAUUAGAAGAUAACAGUAUUAUUACAAUAUGAAAGAAACAAAGUUUAGAGUUGAAUUAUCUAAAUCUUUCCAGCUUCGCAAUGGUCGAUCUUCUCUCCACGCUUCAUCUCCACAUUUAUUGUUUUUCAAUUUAUGCGGUCAAAAAUGAAUAAAAUUAUAUUGGCAAAUAUUGGAAUUAAACGAUCCAAUCAGAUAUUAACUAAAUCAAAUUUUGUAUAAACAAUAAGGUUUUACUAAUUAAAAUAUUCUAGUAUAUUUUUCAAUUACAACACAAUUAAUGAAAGAGUAGGCAACGCGAACGUUUUGUUAUUGCAACUUGGAGGAUCAGGACGUUGGCCGCUUAGGGUAAAGACAGAGAAGAAGAGAGAGAAGAGAAAGAGAUUAGGAUUUAAAGCUCUGUGAAAGAAUAAAUAAAGAGGGAGAGAGUGUAAAUUCUAGUAAGAUUUUGCCCUUUUGUUUGUUCUAUUGGGCUGUUUUUAUGGCCAGCAAUAUUGCCUUACAUUUUAAUUAAAUUAGAUUACUCACUCAAGCCCUAUAGAUAAUUAAAAUAUAUUAUAUUAUAUAUUUUUAAUAUAUAUAUUAUUAUAUAUAUAUAGUGAUAUUCGAUGCUUUUCGAGUCUAAUUCGAGCGAGCCAGGUAAUAUUCUACUCAGAGCUGCGGUUUGAAAUGAAUUUUGAGCCUUCUUCUCGUUUGUCAACUCGUCUUACAUUAUAGUUGCAAGUCUGACUCGAGCGAGUCGAAUAUCAGCCAACGUGAGCCGACUCGCUCACUUUGCAGCCCUACAUGGCUUGUCAAGACCAUAUAUAGUGCUAGCUCAAGCGAACAUAUGUAAAGACACUUCCAAAAAACAUAUAAAUUGAUGAUAAGAAGUUGUUUAGGUAAGAAUUUCAAAAAUUCUCCUAAUUAUUUAUUUUCUUUAUUAAUUUAGUACUAUUAUUUUAUUUAUUAUUAUUUUUAAUAACCUAAGAUUUUAUUGUGAACGGUUUGCGGCUUGAUGUCCAUGCACCCGGCUCUUCGCGGCGUCCACACUCUGUACACGUUAUAAUUAGCAUAAGUAUAAGGGCGCGUUGGUUCGAGUAUGGUAAUUUACAGAAUAUCGUCGACAAUUAUCUAGGUAUCUUGGAUUUCGGCGUGAGAUUAACUACUGAUACUGCAAUUAGAGCAUUUGUUUAAUACAGAUCAAUAAUACUAGAUUACAGUGUUUUUAUAGCAUUAAUAUUUUUGUUCAUUUAUAAAUUUGUAAUCUGAAUAAAAGCUAAGUUUCUUUUCCAAAAUUUCCUUGUGUGGUCAUUUGAAAUUAUUUUUUGGCAGUAAAUCGAAUGGAGGAGUGAAGAAGUCGUAGAUUUACUGAAAAGGACAAUCAAUCCAGAAGAUAAUAGGUGUCCGUGCGAGAGAAAAGAGAGAAGAAUGAGAGAGAAGAGCAGCGAGAGAAAGCGCGUGCAGAGAGAGAGGCUGGGGGAAGGAGAGAGAGAAUGAAAAUAAUGGCUGUUAAUUAAGAUUGGGCUUGUUUGAGGGUAAAAUUUGUCAAUUUUAUAUAAAUUAGAUAUAAAGGGUUUCAGUAUAUGCAGAUAUAAACGCCGCCCCUACCGUUAUAUAAUUUUCGAAUGUUACAUCACGCUCGAUUUGUUAAGCUAUAUUAAAGACUAGAUUACAAUAUCGGAUUAACAAACACCAGUUAUCCUAACAACAAUUGCCUUAAUCCUGCAGAUAACUGGAACCAAACACAGCCCUAUAAUAUUAAUUCUGCAGGGCGCUCUCUGUUCGAGGAUGAAGCAUAACAUGAUAUGAAUGAGAGCUGCUGGAUUAACAGGAUAAUUUCAAAGUUAAUUUUAAUUUUUUUUUAGUAUUUCAAUUCAUUUUAUUUGUAUCUUUUUAAUCGGAAGUUGUGAAAGAGAUUUUGUCACCUCUUUCCGGCGUUUCGUCUGUAAGGAGUAGUUUCCGAUCGAUUACUUUGGAUGGUGUUUCUGGUUAAUCCCGCGACGAAGGACAAAAAAACGUCCUUAGGAGUAACUAUGCAUGCCUUCCGGAUGAGUCAAUUAUUAUUAUUUGGAUUUUAGCGUCACCCUGUAAGUAAUUAUUAAUAGUUCAUCACAAAAUUCUGUUAGAUUUUAAAUAUAACGAUAUUUCGUGGGCGGUAAAUAUAUGUAAAUCAGUGACUAAAGACAAACUAGGUUGCAACAAGGGUUGUAAUAUAUAUUUGAAAAGGCCUGAUGAAUGUGGGGGCUCACUCUGAUGAUAAAACUCACUACUAUAAUUAUUAUGUUUAGCGACAUUUUACUUCCGGUAGCAUUUAUUAAUAUAACUGCUAAUCUAAUUAUUACAGUAUACUUUGAUAAGUGCGGCUAAGUUUAAUAUAUUUAUCAGCAAUUACGUAUUACAUGUUGGCAAAAGAAUAAUAUAUAGCAACAUAAAAUUUGUGAAUGCCGCCGGAUAGUUUUCAUCCAUUUUAUAAAAAAUGACACUAAAUCUAAUAAAUAGCAGACUUAUUGCUAAACCGGAAAAAAAAAAAAGAAAAAAAAAAAAAAAAACAAAAAAAAAAAAAAAAAAAAAACGCAAUAUUUGCUCGUAAUAUUAUUAAAUCAUGUCAAUAAUAUAUUAAGGCAGCACAUUACUUGAUGAAUUGCUGCUGAUUUAAUUUAUUACGACAAAUUUACUAUAAUGUUACACAAAUGGAGGAUAAAUACAGCAGGCCAUAUAAAUUAUAAUGCCGGUAAAUAGUAAUAAACUAGGGCAGCACUUUUACUAAUUAUCAUUAUAAUUAAUAUAUAAGUUAUUAAUUUUUCUUUUUUAUUUAAAAAUUAAAAAUUUAAAUUUACAGUUUAAAUUAGAAAACAUAUAUUGUAAAAUAAACUUAUAAUUUAAAAUUUUAAAUUCUAAAGAUUUACAUUUUUAAAUUUUAAAUUUAAAUUUUAAAUUUAUUUUAAAUUUCAAAUUUCAAAUUUAAAACUAUUAAUUUGGCAACUUAAAUUUCCAUAUUUUCAAAUUAAAAAUUUAAAUUUAGUAUCUAAAAUAUAAAUAAUUUAAAAUUUAGAAUUUUAAAAUUUUAAAAUAGAAAACUUAAAAUUUAAAAAAAAUUAAAAUAACAUAAUUAAUAGUCGCUAGCAAGUGCAAAGCUCGAUGGUUGGUAUUCUGAGGUCUCAAAGUUAAAAUCCUAGUUGAUUCACAUUUCCAGUAAAAUUUAUUUUAAAAAAGAAAUAAACGAAGCGGGUAGAUCUCAAAAAAAAUUAAAAUUUUAAAAUUUUAAUUUAUAAAAAUCAGAUAUUUGUAUUAGUGGCAUUAUAUUUAUGUGACACUAAUAAAAAUUUAAAAUAAGUAUUUAAUCCAUUUUAGCGGCAUAUUCCUAAUGACACUAAUUGAUUUAUAUUGGCGGUAUUUAUAAUAAAUCUGCUAAUACGCUUUUAGCAACAUUAGUAUAGGCAGCAUUUGGUAUCAUAUGCUGCUAAAACUUUUAGCGCAUUUUUGAUUAUUCAGCAACAUAAAUAAAUGCCAUUAAUGAUUAAUUUUCUAGUAGUGACUACUUGGGAAGAAUAGAGAGAAUUAGAUGAAGAGUGGGAGAAUCAUGCACCCACUGAGAAGGACUUGAAGAAAUAAGGAGCUGUUGUAGCUUGAUACUAGAGCAAAUGCUGUAAGGACUGGAGAUUUUUGGCAUGUAAGCUAAACUCUCAGUUGACGAUUUUGUGUGUGUAAUUUUAAUUAUAAAAGGCACUGUGCAAGUUUCGGUGCGAAAUCCGAGUUAAAACGAAAAUCUAACGCGUUUCCAAGUUUCACUUAAAGUGAAUAGUAAGCUCGAUUUUCCGGAGAAGCCGCGGUGAGAAGUUGUGCUUUUGCUUCGUACCGGACUCUGUUCAUAGCAGUCCAAUAGCUCGUUUCGACUGGGUCAGCUAUUCUGGAACUAAUGCGGCUGACGGAUUAGUUCGACGCACCGGAUUUCGAGAAAAUCAAAAAAUACAUGUUUUACAUGUAUUUUAUGUGUGUGUUUUCUUCUAUUCGAAGAAAGUUGAUUUUGUCGUGAAUCCGUGGUCGAUCAGACCAAACAAAUCGUCGUAGCCUUGUUGUCUCCGUCGUGCUGAUCGCACUGGUGCAAUCCGUUCGAAAAUCUGACGGAACGGAUCUGCGGAGAUCCGCGCGUUGAUCGAGGAGAGGUCGUAGUGGCAAAAUGUAUUUUCGCGAAAGUCGCGAUAUUUUAUGUACCGUUUUGCGUGAGAUCGCACGUGGAGGGUCGUUCACUCGGGCGUUUUAGUCGUUCGUGAAGGGCUCGGAUUGAAAUUCCGGUGUUUGGUGUACCUUUUUGCUAUUGUACCUGUUAUAUGUAGUUUCUAGGGUUUUGUUCCCUAACCCUAACCCUAGCCAGCCCCCAGCUACCCUCACAGUCGCCCCCAGCCACCUUCACCCUUCCCCUGCCCUUGCUGCACCACCCCCGGCCGCCGCCGAGCCACCACUUCUCUCUUUCUCACAUCUCUUCCUCUCUCCCUCUCCUCCUCUCGGGUUGUGUGAAGGCCCGGGCUGCGCCUCCUGCAGACCCCUCCCUCGGUGUCACCCCGGCUCCGGCGAGCAUCCCCGCCGACCGCCGCCGUCGGCUGCGCCGGCCGCAGCCUGCCCAGCCGCCUGCAGCAGCCCAGGCCGAGCCGGGUUGGCAGCCACCUGUGGCGCCGCCACCGCCUGGGAACCCUCCGCCGACUUCUCCCGUCCCGGCCCCCUUUCCGCCGUCACCACCGCCCCGACGCGCCGCCGUCGCCGCCUCGCCAGCCGCAGCCGCCCAGCCCCGCUCUGCGCGAGGCAGCAGUGCGACGCCCCCCUGCGCCGCGCCGGCUUGGGUCCGCACCCGAGGCACUCUCCCGACCUCGUGCAGCCCGCCUCCCGCCGUCCCGGAGCUCCCCGGCGCCGCCGUGGCCGCAGCAACCCAUGAACCCGAGCCCGAUCUCGUGCGGGCUCGUUUGCUCUCGGGGCCGCCGCCGCCGCCGCCGCUUCCAGCCGCCACCUGAGGUGAGCACGGUACUCCUAACCUCCCCGCACCCGUCCUGCCGCCGCGCGCGCCCGCCGUGCCGCCGGAGGGCCGGCCGGAGCAAGGUUGCUCCGCCAGCCCAAAUAGGCUUAUUAGUGAUGAUUUGUGUUCUGAGCUUCCCGAGCUUCCGCCAUCUCUACGAAGGGAGCACGAUGAUCCUAGCAAGUUUCUGAUCAUCGUGCUCACCUUAUUUCUGUCGGGAGACUCCGUUCCGCUGUUUUCGCGAUGUCGCUCUCCGUUUCAGCCUUUUUGGCUGCGUUUUGAGUUUGCGCACGCUUAUCCGGCAAUCCGAGGCUGUCCUGACUCCGGAGUGAGCACGGUGAUCGUGGGUCAGUGCUGAUCACAGUGCUCACCUCACUUUGAUCAGAAAUGUCCGUUAGUUUCUGUUCGGCGCGAUCUUCCCUGACUGCGCGCUAUUGCUGAACCUUCGGCUUGCUCCCGUGCUUCCCAUAGCGAAGCCGCUGUGCUCGCGGAUCGUGAGCACGGACUCCGGUAAUCGAGACCUGUCAGUAACGUGUCUCUGGCGGACUUCGAAAGUCCUCGUUUGCGUGAACGAGCCGCUUGAAAAGCCUCAAUAUUACAUAAAAUACGAUAUUUUAUGUAAUUAGAGGGUCUUUUAAUGCAUUUUGUGCUUUGCGUGGCUACUGUGGCAAGUGUGUAGGAGUUUUUAUUGAUCGCUGGAUGAUUGUCCAUGUCCGUUAGCUUUCGCGGAAGUCGUAGGUCGAUUUCGGUGCGUUUUUCGGCGAAAUUCGCCGAAAGAUAUGCGUUUCGUUUCGGAUUCUUUCCGACGGUGUUUUGUUGCUUCGUUGUUUGUCGCUGAGCCUUGUGGGCUGUCACCAUCGUCAUUUUGUGGGUUCGAUGAUGAUAGGUGAGCGACGGAGUUCGGUGUCGAAAUAACACUUCCGGAACCCGAUCCGUACGAUUUAUCCGGCGAUGAUCGUAUUGUUGUGUGACCUUGUGUUCGCUGCCAAGCUAUCCAAAUUGGAAUGCUUUGGGCCAGCGGGUGACUCGUGGCACGAUUUGGUGAGUUUCGGGACACUUAGUGGCCCGACGCGUCCCGUGUGGUUUUCGGGACUUCCGGUAAGUUACGGGGAUCGUUUUGGGAAACCGAUUCGGGAUCCUGUGUAGGGUUUGUGAGUCCUCGUGCUUUGGGUUAGUAGUUUUGGAUACUGACUUGGUGGAUCUUCUUAGGUCCGGUAGACUUGUGCUACCCAUUGUCCCGACGCGACAGUGACAGGUGGGUGCUGUCGAGCUGGUAGUCCGGUGAGAGCGUUUCACUUCCUUCUCCUGUUUUUCUAUUCCUGUAUUUAGACUCUACAUGUCAGUGCUUGUUAUCGUUGGUUAUCGUACCCCUUGAUGCAUUGUAUAUUUGUGGAUAGACAUGUAGAGCAGGUUGCAUUUGUAUUUCAGUAUCUCUGUGGAACCUUGGUCCAGGCAACACAUCGACUCUCUUGUCGUGUGUUUCGAUCUGGUUGAUUCGAGGUUCCGCGUUGUACGCCCUAGCUUCUAUUCAGUUUGGCGUUGUACGCCCUACUUCUAUUCAGUUUGGCAUUGUACGCCCUAGCUUCUAUUCGGUUUGGCAUUGUACGCCCUCGUUGUUGCUUCGGCUAGGCACCGGCUUUAGCCGGGUUUUGUUUUGUUUGAGCAUACCAGCAUUGACUUAGUCACAGCACUUGGGGGUAUUCAUGACACCGAUCGGUUUGGCCACGAUCGGAGGUUGUACUUAUCGCGAUAGGUCUCCUGCGGGGCGGAUGGAUAGGUCGUGCAGUUAGUAGACAGUAGCGCUUGAGGUCUGCGGACCGAUACAGCAGGCACAGAAUUGGGUACAGUUUCUGGUUCAGUUACAUUGAGGCAUUCUUUGCAUUAUUUUCUAUACAGUAGCAGGUUUAUUUAUUGCUUCUAUUUUAUCUGUUGUAGCUACCUGUAUUCCUAUUUCAUUUCAGCUUACAGAUAUUAUAUUUGUUUAUCUAUCUCCUUUCGGUUCGGUGAUUACGACUGCCUUCGGGCUCUGUCGUACCCACUGAGAAAAACCAUGGUUCGGUCUCUCACCCCCCUUUUUCCGCCCAAGGUGACAGAGACGAGGAUUUGGAUUUGGGCUCGAUGAAGGACGAUCUAGUUAGACCGGCAGUAGCGUCCGUCACCCUGGUUAUUUCUUUCCCGCCUUUUAGUAGUCAGUUAAAUAAAUGGUUCAGUUAGAUGUUUGAAUGUUUGUAUUUCCGUUAUGCAUGAGAUUAUGGAUAUUUUAUAUUACAUAGAGAUUGGAGGUUUUCGUUCGGUGUUUUGGUUCUGUGAGAUUGGUUUUCUUGUAAGUUAUGGCAUCGUGGUUUUCUACCCCUCGAGGUAGCGGUUUUCAAAAUAAAGUUUCCGUGUGGGAAACAGUUUUAAAAAGUUUUCGAAUGGCUUUUAAAAUGAUUGAAUUAGAGUUUAAAAACAAAAGCUUCCGUGUGGGGAGCACUUUAAAUAGGAUGUGUGUUGAAUUGUGCAUUGCAUCAUCCAGCGCCUAAAGUUCUUAGAGGCAUGCAGGCAUUCUAAGAAUUGUUAGCUGUAUGAAAAUGCAUAUCAUACUUGGUGUUGUUUGGUAAAUGUAGGUUUGGUGUGAUCUGUUGUAUCGUUGGUACGCCGUGCAGAUACAAAGGAGACUCCUGUCCGAGUGGACAGAGGAACUUUGUAUUUUGGCGGAUCUGUACGCGCGUGGCCAGGUUGAUNNNNNNNNNNNNNNNNNNNNNNNNNUUGAAAAAAAAAAAAAAAAAAAUGGCACGUUUUCCGCAACUCUGUUUUAAAAAGACUUUUAAAAUCGGCCCCGGGGCGUGACAAAUGCUGGGGAGGAGAUUACAGCCCUUUCCUUGUUGUGUUGUAAGCUUACCAUUUCUCUUGAUACUAUGUCAAUUAGAAACAAAAAAAAAUGAGGGUGAAUUGCACAUUUGGUCCUCAAACUUUGACGCAUGCGAAGCUUUAUUUGAUAAACUUAAUUUUCACAAUGUUCUCUUAACUUUUUGAACUAUUUCAAUAAGUCCUACAGUCCAAUUUCGUUUGCCUACUGAUGUUUUAUAGAUGUGAUAGAAAUAUAGUCUAGCUCCUAAUAAUUGUCAUGCCAUCAAUUAUAAGAUUGCCACAUCACUACUAUAUUCAGGACAUUUCAUCAUUUAACCAAUUAGAUUGGACUUUCGGACUUUAUUGUAAUAGUUUCCAAAGUUUAAGUUAGAAGAACCAACAAUUAAAGUUUAAGGGUCAAAAUGUCCUGACUCAAAGUUUGAGGAGAAAAAGUACAAUUUAGCCAAAAACUUAUGUGAGUCACCACUCCUUUCUGAGUAGGGGUGAAAACAGUCGAAUACGAUCGGAAAUUUGACGAACCUAUAUUUUGCAUCCAAAUUUUUUCAGAUGAGAAUUCAAAUGUGGAUAUAUAUCGAAUGCUAAAUUUUUAUUAUUGUAACGACUCAGCUCACUAGCAACAAUAACUCGUUGGGCCCAACAACCGGCCCAAAAUCAAUGACAACCCCAUGCAUUCCCAUCCGAUGUGGGACUAUUGAGGUGUCACAGACUCCCCCCGUUAAGGCCCUGACGUCCUCGUCAGUCCAAUCACACACACAGCCCAAGAUCACCAGGCGAUGUGAGACUCGUCUCGCUAGCCCGUCAUCCAGACCCUGGCUCAGCCGAAACUCGCCACACAUGUCCAGCUGGUGAACCGGCUCUGAUACCAAAUGUAACGACCCAGCCCACUAGCAACAAUAACUCGUUGGGCCCAACAACCAACCCAAAAUGCUUAAGCCCAGUUAUUAUUACUAGUGUCUAAGUCUCUUAUAAACCCAAUGACAACCCCCAUUCCCAUCCGAUGUAGGACUAUUGGGGUGUCACAAUUACCAUAUCCGCUAAAAACGGAUUCGAAUAAGAUCAGCUAUUUCUUCGAAUUCGAAUAUUAUUCAGAUAGUUAUAUAUACUAAUACGCACAUAUGAAUAUGAACUAGAAUUAGCAAUAAUUAAUUAAAAGUUUACAUUCGUGUUCGAAUUUUUAAAUACCUAUAUUUUAUUGAAUAACAUCUAGAAUUUAACAAACAUAACUACAAUUUUGAUAUAAAACUCAUAAUAAAAUAAAUGAAAAACACAACAAACCGCGCGCUUUAUUCCCCCACAAUAUAUGUAAGUAUUAACAAACAGCGCGCUUUAUUCCCCCACAAUAUAUAUAAGUAUUAACUUCCCCUUAUCUCCCCACAAAAAGCUUUCAAACCCUAAUCAACAUUUCCAAUUCCAAAUUUAUAAUUAUAAUUUAAUCUUAAAUUUAAAUUUAAAUAAUUAUUAUUAACUUUUAAAAAAUAAUUUGAGGUCUCUCACAUACGAGAGCUAUCUACCAUCUAAGCUACGUACCUAUUUUUUAUUUUUUCAUAAUAUAAUAAUAUGAGUUAAUAACAUAUAUUAAUUUUCAGAUAUCGAUCCGAAUCCGAAUCUGAAUCCAAAUUAUUCAUAUCCGAAUGUGAAUUCUAAAAUAUUAUUAAUGAAAUAUUUAAAUUCGAAUUCGGCCGGGUGCAUAAUUUUGACAUCCGUGUUCGCAUCCAAUUAUAUUGAAUCCGAUCAGAAUUUAUCUUAACCACUUUCGCCCCUAUUUCUGAGUUGUAUUUACAAUAUUACAAUAUCUAUACUACUUAUAAAAGCGUGAGUUUUAAAUUUUUUUCUCUUUCCAAAAAUAUCUCUAUAUUUUUUACUAAUAUUUUCACGUCCAGUAAUUUUCAACCAUUCGUUUCAAAUAAAUCUUCAAAUAAUAAUUUAUUCUCAAAUAUAGAUCUUAAGUUUUUGCCAUUGGAUCUCAUUCAAUGAAUAAAAAUAAAAGCAUUUGUCAUUUUUGUUGAAAAAAAAUGCCCUCCAUAUCCGUUAUCUCCUAUCUACGCGUUUGUCAAAUAUUUUCUUUCUACUUGCCAAUCACGUAAUACAUAAAAUUAAAAAUUAAAUUUAUCUCAAAUCUAAUGUAACGACCUAGCCCACUAGCAAUAAUAACUUAUUGGGCCCAACCACCAGCCCAAAAUGCUUAAGCUCAGUUAUUAUUACUAGUGUCUAAAUCUCUUAUAUACCCAAUCACAUCUCCAUUCAUAUCCGAUAUGUUUCUCAAAUAUUUUCUUUCUAUUUGCCAAUCAUUAAAGCCCAUUAGCAAUAAUAACUCGUUGGGCCCAACCACCAGCCCAAAAUACUUAAGCUCAGUUAUUAUUACUAGUGUCUAAGUCUUGACAUAGUCUAUCAUCUUAUCUUUCAGACCCUGUCUCAGCCGAGACUCACCACAUACCACUAGAAAUAAUAACUUGUUGGGCCCAACCAACAGCCCAAAAUGCUUAAGCUCAGUUAUUAUUACUAAUGUCUAAAUCUCUUAUAUACUCAUAUACUCAAUCACAUCUCCAUUCAUUUCCGACAUGGAAUUAUUGGGGUGUGACAUCUAACGUAAUACCCACCCAUCAUAUAGUACGUAAAAUUAAAUUUAUCACCGAUCUAACUUAAUACUCGCCAAUCACGUAAUAUGCAAAAUUAAAUUUAUCUCAUAUCCACGUGUUUUCUUAAAUAUUUUCUUUCUCAAACGUAAUACUCACCAAUCAUGUAGUAUUCAAAAUUAAAUUUUAAAUUUGUAAUGCCCGCCAAAAUUUAAUAUCGCCAAUUUGAUAAUUUAAAUUUUAAUUCUUGAUAGUCGAUUUUCUUAUGUGAGAUAGUAAAUUUAAUUUUGGCAAGUAUUAAAAUUUGGCGCGCUAUAGAAGCAUUACAUAUUGCUAAAAAAAUUUUAAUACCCGCCCAAUCAAAACUAAAUCGUUAAUUAAAUAUAAUUAUAAAUAUUUUUAGCAAAAUAUUCAAUAUUUAACUAAUGUGCUAUAAAAGCGUAGAAUAUUUUUUUAAAAAAAUUAAUACCCGCCCAAUCAACAAUAUUUAAGUAAUAACUGUCAAAAUAUUCUACGCAUUUCUCAAAUAUAGAGCAUAUCUUAACACCCUCACAUAUAAUAUCUACAGUAUCCAAUCUUAUCUCAUCAUAAUACUUAUCACACACUACCUGUCAAAAUAUUUUACACGUUUCUCAAAUAUAGAGAACAUCUUAAUACCCUCACAUAUAAUAUCUACAGUAUCCAAUCUUAUGUAAUCAAACUUAUCACACAAUACCCUCACAUAUAAUAUCUACAGUAUCAAAUCUUAUCUAAUCAAACUUAUCACAUAAUACAUAGAGCAUAGAAACGUUACAUACUGCUAAAAAAAAUUAAUACCCGCACAAUCAAAAUUAAAUCGUUAAUUAAAUAUAAUUUUAAAUAUUUUUAGCAAAAUAUUUAAUAUUUAAGUAAUGUGCCAUAAAAGCGUAGAAUAUUUCUAAAAAAAAAUUAAAUACCCGUUCAAUCAAAACUAAAUCGUUAAUUAAAUAUAAUUUUGAAUUUUUUUAGCAAAAUAUUUAAUAUUUAAGUAAUACCCGUCAAAAUAAUCUAUGCGUUUAUCAAAUAUAGAGCAUAUCUUAAUACUCUCACAUAUAAUAUCUACAGUAUCCAAUCUUAUCUCAUUAUAAUACUUAUUACACAAUACCUAUCAAAAUAUUUUACACGUUUUUCAAAUAUAAAGCAUAUCUUAAUACUCUCACAUAUAAUAUCUACUGCAUCCAAUCUUAUCUAAUCAAACUUAUCACACUAUACAUAGAGCAUAUUUUUUUUGGUAGCAUAUUUUUUUUAGUAUUUUCUCAUUUUCAUCUAUACGUUUUUCAAAUAUAAAACAUAUAUUUUUUUCAGUAAUGUUCUUUUUCAUUUUCACUUAUAUUUUUCUCAAUUAUUCUCAAAUAUUUUUUUUUAAUAAUAUCUUUUCUCAUUUGUCCCCGUUGCCAGCAGGUACAUCGUCAUCGUCCUCCUCAUCGUCAUCAUCAUCAUCGGCGCCGGCACAUUGUCGCCUUCACCACCUUCGCCAUAAUUGGAAAGGCAUUUUGAUCCCUAUUUCUCUUUUUUUUUUAAUAUGCCUUUAUACUUUUUUAACAUAUCUUAUUUUAGCAUAUCUUAUUUUAGUAUUUUUCUCAUUUUUCACCUAUACGUUUCUUAAAUAUAAAGCAUAUAUUUUUUUAGUAAUAAUUUUUUUUUAUUUUCACCUAUAUUUUUUAAAUAUUCUCAAAUAUUUUGUUACAUACCUGACUCUACGCAACCGGUCGAUGAUGAUAAUUUGCUGAGACGAGGACGGCGUGGAGGAUGAUGGCCAAUCAAAUCGGUAUCUCGACAACUACCUGUGAUGCCCCAACUUCCCAGGGGGUCACCCAUCCUAGGACUACUCCCGUCCUAGCACGCUUAACUCUCUUAACCUCUUGGGCCUUGCAACCACCCAAAAUGCUUAAGCCGGGUUAAGAGUUUAACCCUAUUAUAUCUCAUAUAUAGGACUAUCUGGGAUCUCACAAUCUCCCAUCAUUUUAAGCCUUGACGUCUUCGUCAGGCUCAGACUCACAAGUACCAGGCGAUGUGAGACUCAUCUCGCUAGCCCGUCAUCCAAACCCUGGCUCAGCCGAGACUCAUCUCACACUUCCGGCUGGUAAUUGUCAUAAUAUUUCAAUCAUUCAUUUCUUUGCAUUCUUUACUAUCACUUGUGUCAUAUACACUACUAUAUUCUUGGACUCAUGCCACACUUGUUUUCUAAGUGUUCAACAUGCCAUAAGUGUUUCCACUAUACUAAUCAUAUGCCACUCGAUCUAAUAUAUAUAGAUUGUCCACGUCACAUAUCAUAGUUCAUACGUCAUUGUUUUCCAACGUCGAGUUUUCUAACCAUCCAAGAGUUAUAGACCCAAGUUCAACAUGCAUAUGUUAUUUAACAUAGUCCACAAUACACCAACGUGCAUAUAUAUAUCAACUCAUAUCUCAAGGUAUAUCAACAUGCAUACAUUUCCAUCUACUAUGUUCCACAAUAUGAUAAUAUGUCAUCAAGUAUGUUUUUCUAUUUAAUAUAAUCCACAAUAUGUUAAUUCAUAAUAUGUCAUCAUGCACAUAUACCACUAGCAUCACAUGAUAUGUCAAUAUAGAUAUAGUCAUUAUCCAAAAUAGUUCAUACUUAGAAUCUCAUGCAUUCUUUUAGCAUUUAAUUUACUAUGCAUCUCAUCUCAUUGGUAGGUAAUCUCAACUACAUAGUAUGUUUCAAGCAUUCAUAUCAUUAUGUAAGCCUACCAACACAACUAUAUGCAUCAAUUAGAAAACCAUUACUCUUAGACAUAUAGGCGACCUAGUCGCUUCGGUGAGCACAACCCACCAGCAUGCCAUGACAUGUAACAAUUGCCAACUAGUACCCUAUAAUGCAAUAUCCCAAUAUGCAACUUGAUCAAUGUUAACUAGAGUUUGUAGUACAACAACCAAUCCAUUACUAAGUUCAAGUCAUAUGUGUUUUUAGCACAAUAAGUUCAAUGCCACUUGUAAACUAUGUCUUUAAACACAACACUAGGUUCUUCUCUCAUUUAGCAUCAUAGGUUUACCAAUGUCCUCUCAUAAUCCUUAUGUCUAUUACAUCAUAUAUCCAUAUCAUAAUACCAUAUUGAUCAUAAACAUCAUAUAAGGAUUAGGAAUGCAUGUAUUGUCAUCCUAUAAUGCAAGGUAUCGAUAUACAAUAUGCUACAUGUGAAUGGAUAAGUACUAAGACAUAGGAAGAAGCCCGAUUGCUUCGGGAUGUCACUCCCCCACUUUAAGUCCUUGCUCGAGGUUGUGGUAGCUCCCCCUCGGGUGAUGUGCUCCGGAGUCGACAUCACUGGGUUGUAGCGGGUAUCUCCCCAGAGGACGGUCCCACCGGGUUGUAGCGGGUAUCUCCCCGGUUAAUGGGAUUUUGGGUGGUGGCAAGUCCCAAGAGGUUAAGAGAGUUAAGCGUGCUGGGAUGGGAGUAGUCCUAGGAUGGGUGACCCCUUGGCAAGCUGGGGCGUCACACUACCCGUCCAAAUACUUGUGACUAAAUCAGUGAUGAGAGAAAGAGGAGGGGUUAAGCGAGAAGGAAAGAGAGAGGAAGGAGAGAGGAAGAGAUAGACAGGUAGUCGAGGAUUUGGAGGUGAGGAAGGAGGAAGAAGAUGAUAAGAAGAGCAAGACUUAACAAUUUCCAUAAAACCUAAUUAGGUUACAAUCUGCCUCUUUAUUCCCUAUACAAUGGACUAAAAUGCGAUUAAUAAAAACUAAACAAUGCUAAAUGAGAAUUGAGUUAUGAAUUGGGCUACUCAGCCUCCUCGUGGGUCGAAUUCGGUGGAACAUGGGCCUGCAAGGGAAACGACCUGGCCCACUGACCUCCUGUUGCCGGGUAAGCGGGUUUCGGGUCCUUCUCCUCUCAAUCUCCUCAAUCCGCCGGGUCUUGGGUUCGCUCUUUUUAUCCGCUCCAUCCUCCUCCCGCUUCGAUCCGAAGUUUCGCCUUGCUCCUAGUUUCUACCCCAUCACAUAGCCCUUCUUGCUGUCGCCACCUCCCCCAUGGACUCCUUGCUCCAUCUCGAUCACCAUGGCUGACCUGUUCGUGCUCCUCGGCUCCCUACAAGCAAAAGCUGAGCUCCCAUUAUCUCUUCUCUUUUUAUUCUUCCCUAAUUACUCUGAUUCUAUGCCUAACCCUAACUCCUCUCCUACUUGGCAGAUGUAACACUCCCUCUCCCUUAAUCUGAUCUUUGUCCUCAAGGAUCGAAAGAAGGGAACUGACUCUUGAGAACCCCGUAAUCUUCCGAUGUAGCGUGCUCGUCGGAAAGGUUCACCCAUUUCACCAACACUUCGGUCACAGCCUUAUUAUCCCUUUGUACCAUCCUCCUCUCCAGAAUCUUCUCAGGCUCUGUCAGUAACUCGUUAUUUUCUCUUAAAGUCGGCAUGUUCGGUAAAGCCGGAACAGUUGCUGGGGGGCUUUUCUUUAACAGAGACACAUGGAACACUGGGUGCACCCUUGACCCCUCAGGUAGUUGCAACUUGUAAGCGACUGGACCGAUGCGCUCCACAAUUUGGAAGGGUCCAUAAUAUCUCGCAGCUAACUUCAGGUUCCUCCUUAUAGCCACAGUGGUUUGUCUAUACGGUUGUAAUUUGAGGUAUACCCAAUCUCCUAUUGCAUACUCUUUCUCUCUUCGAUGUCGGUCGACCUGUUGUUUCAUCCUACUACGUGCUACUUGUAGCCGAUCUCUUAGCUCCCGAGUUAAGCCUUCCCUUUCCUUAGCCCAUUCUCUAAAUUCCGGAGAUGUGCUAGAAGUAAUCGUGGUUACCAAAUAGUUGGGGGGAGGGUAUCCGUCUAGCGCUUCGUAUGGUGUCAUACCUAUCGAGGAAUGAAAACUCGUGUUGUACCACCAUUCCGCCAAAGCCAACCAGGAAUGCCAUUUUUUUGGAUGUUGGAAGCAAAGGCAUCUUAGAUAAGUUUCCAAACAUCGAUUCACUCGUUCCAUUUGGCCGUCAGUCUCCGGAUGAUAAGCCGAGCUCAUUUGCAAUUUAGUUCCCAUGGACUGAAAAAGCUCCUUCCAAAACUGACUUGUGAAUAUUUUGUCCCUAUCUGAGACUAUCCUCUUCGGACAUCCGUGCAAUUUACAAAUGGUAUCCAUGAAAGUUCUUGCCACUCCUGGUGAAAAUGGGUGCUUUAAGGACACAAAAUGGGCGUACUUCGUAAGUCUAUCCACUACGACCAUAAUCGCAUCCUUUCCUUCUGAUUUGGGUAGGGCUUCUAUGAAAUCCAUACUUACCUCCUCCCAAACUUGCUGUGGUAUAGGUAGGGGCUGCAGUAAGCCUGCAUGUGGAGUUCUAUUCACCUUGUUCUGAGCGCAUGUUGCACACCCUUUUACCCAUUCUUCUACGUCCUUCUUUAAUCCCGGCCAAUAAAAAUGUUGUUUAAUUCUGCGGUAAGUAUUUUGGAUACCUGAAUGGCCUCCCAAUGCGGAGUUGUGCAUUUGAUCGAUAACCUUCUUCCUCAGGUGCCCUGAUCCUCCAAUGUACAGCUUACCUUUAUGUCUCAACAAUUCGUUGUGGUACGAAUAAUUCCCUUGAUUAGUUGACUGUAAAGGAAGCUCACAGAUCAAUUUCUCGCACUGUGAAUCUCCCAGAUAACUCUCUGUCACUUCCUGCACCCAGCUCGGUAUCGCCGCUGUUAUAGCUAAAGUAACGCCCUUUUCCCCCGUCACUCUUGACAAAGCAUCGGCCGCUGCAUUCUCCUUCCCUUUCCUGUACUGAAUAGUGUAAUUAAAUCCCAUUAACUUCAUCAUUCCCUUUUGUUGCAUCGGAGUUGUCACCCUCUAUUCCAAUAGAUAUUUUAGACUUUCGUGAUCCGUCCUAAUCACAAAAGUCCUCAUGCUCAGAUAGUGCUUCCACUUCUGCAAGGCCAUGAGUAUAGCUAAAAACUCCUUUUCAUAUGUCGAUAACCCCAAGUGUUUUCCUCCAAUUGCCUUGCUCAAAUAAGCAAUGGGUUUCUCGUCUUGAGACAAUACUGCCCCUAUCCCUGUGUCACACGCAUCAACUUCUAAGGUAAAAGACCGAUCAAAGUUGGGCAUCGCUAAUACCGGGGCGGUAGUCAUAGCAGUUUUCAACUCUUCGAAGGCUAAUUGGGAUUCCUCGCUCCACCGAAACUGAUCCUUUUUUAAUAAGUCGGUUAAGGGCUUACUAAUCUUUCCAUAUCCUUGAAUGAAUUUUCGGUAGUAACCCGUCAGCCCUAAAAAUCCCCGAAGCUCUUUAACCGACUUAGGGGUUGGCCAAUUGAUCAUAGCUUCAAUUUUGGUCUGAUCUGUAGCUACGGCCUCCGCUGAAAUUAUGUGGCCCAAGUAUUCCACCUGGUCUUGCCCAAAGUAACACUUGCUCCGUUUAGCAUAUAACUGAUUCCUCUGCAACUCUUCCAAUGUGAUCCGUAAGUGUUCCACGUGAUCCUCCAGACUUUUACUAUAGACCAGUAUAUCAUCAAAGAACACCAAAAUGAACUUCCUUAGAUAGGGUUCGAACGUGCAAUUCAUAAUUGCCUGGAAGGUGGCAGGUGCGUUGGUGAGGCCGAAGGGCAUAACCCGAAACUCAUAAUGCCCUUGAUGAGUUCGGAACGCUGUAUUUGGAACAUCGGCGGGGUCCAUCCUGAUUUGAUGAUAGCCGGAUCGUAGAUCUAUCUUGAAAAAGUGUUUCGAGCCUCCCAACUCGUCUAAUAAAUCAUCGAUGAUAGGUAUGGAAAAUUUGUCCUUUAUGGUUGAUUUGUUAAGUUGACGGUAAUCAAUGCACAUCCUCCAACUUUCGUCCUUUUUCUUAACCAACAAGACCGGCGAAGCGAAUGGGCUGUUACUCCUCUGUAUUAUAGAGUUAUUCAAUAGUUUCCUUAUUUGUUUCUCAAUCUCUUCUUUUUGCUCAUAUGAAUACCUAUACGGCCUUACGUUAAUGGGAGCAGUGUUGGGUUGUAGCAAAAUUUUGUGGUCCUCGACGCGGGCUGGUGGCAUUCCUUUCGGCUCCUCGAAAACAUCCUUAUACUGCUCCAGAACCUGCUGAAUCCAAGGGUGAACGUUUGCUGUUGCCUCAGUUUUGUCGGGCAUCAAUUGGUGGCUCAAUAGAUAGCACUCCCCGAUACCCAUCUCCUGGUUCCAUUGGGCUGCCGUGACCAUUUUCAAUUUGGCUCCUUCCUCAAUCCCCUUUAACUCCAAUUUCUGCCCGUCCUUUACGAUGGUAACAGAGUUUAGCAAGAAAUCGAAGGUUACCUUCCCGUAAGACUUAAGCCAGUCAAUGCCCAACACAAUGCUGACACCCUCGAUUCGAAUUACCUAUAACUCCAUUACAAACCUCUGCCCCUGCAUAGUCCGUGAGAAUUUAGGACACUUAAGUUUGCUUAACAUCUUGUGUCCAUCAGCUAUGGUGACCACCAAGGGCGAGGCUGCUUCCAUCCUUGCUCCAAUCUCCUUGGCCACCCGUAAAUCGAUAAAACUAUGCGUGCUCCCAGUAUCGAUUAGAAGGGUGAGCGUUCUGUUCUUUGCUUCGCCCCGUAUCUUAAUGGUGUCUUGAGGCUUCUCCCCACUUAGCACGUGGACUGAAACUCCGAUCUCUUGCGCUUCUUCGCUAUCAGGUAUAGCCCCUGAUCCUUGCUCAUCCCCGUCUACAACUCCUCCUUCACCCGUUUCUUCAUGCAAACAAUCCUCAUCGUAAACUUCCACAAUUUCCUCGGAAGCCUGUAAGGUGUUUAAGGACUUACUGUUGCAUACAUGUCCUGGGUGAUACUUUUCUCCACACCCGAAGCACAGUCCUGCUGCUCUCCGCUGUUCUAUUUACUACCUGUUGACCGGGUUUUGAGUUACCUGGUUUCUUUGUGAGGUCUGGUACGGGUUUCUUAAAUUUUCGCCAACCUUAUUAAGCCCAGUUCCAGUGUUGCUUCUGUAGGGUGAGGAUGAUUGGUACGGGCCUCCCGAACCUCUGGGUAAAUACUUGUUUCUUCUAUUAAGCACGGCUAUGGCCUUCUCGUGCAACUGUGCUUGCUCAUAAGUUUCUUCCAGUGUUUUCGGAUGUGCGAUGUCCAAGAAGUGGAUCAACUCCUCUUUGAGCCCGUUAAUAUAACAUGCGAUAAAGUACUCUUCGGUUAAAUGCGGAUUGUAGUAAAGUAACUGGUACCUUAAUUCCUCAAACCGUUCUUGAUAUUUCUCGCAUGUCCCCGUGUGUUUCAAGUUGCUGAACUCUCGGAUCAGGUACCUUUCCCCUAUUUGCGCAAAUCUUCGACACACUGCUUCGGUAAAUUCGUCCCAAGAAACCAUCUGUUUAUUGACGAAAUACCCUUGCUUCCAAGUCUUCGCCUUUGCAACGACCCAGCCCACUAGCAACAAUAACUCGUUGGGCCCAAACCAACAGCCCAAAAUGCUUAAGCCCAGUUAUUAUUACUAGUGUCUAAGUCUCUUAUAAACCCAAUGACAAUCCCAUUCCCAUUCGAUGUGGGACUAUUGGGGUGUCACAGCCUUGCCGAUCAAGUGCAUCGUCGCUACACUCAACCAUUGAUGUUGAGGUAUUUGAUAUAGCUCGAAGUAUUGUUCGCAAUUUUCGAUCCAACUUCUGGGAUCUUCCCCUUCGAAUGACAGAAAAUCUAAGCGAGGGUAGGGUAAAUGCUGGUGAUGAUUGAAACUUCGAUGACCCCACGGAGAAGUGUGCUCUUCCUCCAUUUCAAGUGGUUUGCUUGGAGUGGGUAGAAUGCCUUUACCUUUCUCUUCUUUAAUCAUAAAUGGUGUGCUACUACUUCCAGGCUUGAACUUGCGUUCGGAUGAGGGCACCUCGCCUGGAGUCUUGAGUGUAGGUGGCUGGGUGGAUAUAAGCUUUAGCAGCUCCUCAUGUCUCCUGGCAGCCUCAGCUUGCAGCAACUCGAACUGCUUUUGCCCUGUGUCCCUCACUUCGACUAUCUGGUGGGUAAGUGCUUCUAUGUGAACUUGAUGCUCCAUUCCCAACUUCUGGUACUUCUCUUCUAAAGUGUGGAUGUGAUCACUAAUAUCCCGUAGUCGGGUCCCUUCAGUUAUAUCUAUAUCUUCCAGAUACUCCUUUGGGUUAAAUCGAAACUUGUUGCCUCUCUUGCCCCCAAUCUUGCCGUGCCUGUGGGAUAAUUUGAUCUGAGGAGUGUGGGGGAUUUCCUCUGAUCAGGCAGUAACUUCAGGGUUACUUGUGGUGAUUUCUUUUGUCCAACUCUGACCGUAGUGCAGAAUCGGCAGCGCAGAAAUCUUAUUCGCAGUUAAACUCAACAAUACCGAGAUGGGAGUUAGCAAGCGAUUUCACCACACAGGGCCCUAGGGUCGGACCGCUCUGAUACCAAUUGUUACGUACCUGACUCUACGCAACCGGUCGAUGAUGAUAAUUCGCUGAGACGAGGACGGCGUGUAGGAUGAUGGCCAAUCAAAUCGGUAUCUCGACAACUACCCGUCUAAAUACUUGUGACUAAAUCAGUGAUGAGAGAAAGAGUAGGGGUUAAGCGAGAAGGGAAGAGAGAGGAAGAGAUAGACAGGUAGUCGAGGAUUUGGAGGUGAGGAAGGAGGAAAAAGAUGAUAAGAAGAGCAAGACUUAACAAUUUCCAUAAAACCUAAUUAGGUUACAAUCUGCCUCUUUAUUCCCUAUACAAUGGACUAAAAUGCGAUUAAUAAAAACUAAACAGUGCUAAAUGAGAAUUGAGUUAUGAAUUGGGCUGCUCAGCCUCCUCGUGGGUCGAAUUCGGUGGAACAUGGGCCUGCAAGGGAAACGACCUGGCCCACUGACCUCCUGUUGCCGGGUAAGCGGGUUCCGGGUCCUUUUCCUCUCAAUCUCCUCAAUCCGCCGGGUCUUGGGUUCGCUCUUUUUAUCCACUCCAUCCUCCUCCCGCUCCGAUCUGAAGUUCCGCCUUGCUCUCAGUUUCUACCCCAUCACAUAGCCCUUCUUGCUGUCGCCACCUCCCCCAUGGACUCCUUGCUCCAUCUCGAUCACCAUGGCUGACCUGUUCGUGCUCCUCGGCUCCCUACAAGGAAAAGCUAAGCUCCCAUUAUCUCUUCUCUUUUUAUUCUUUCCUAAUUACUCUGAUUCUAUGCCUAACCCUAACUCCUCUCCUACUUGGCAGAUGUAACAUAUUUUUUUACUAAUAUGUAUUCUCAUUUGUCCCCGUCGCUGGCACGGGUACAUCAUAUCGUCCUACUGAUAGUCAUCAUCAUCACCGGCGCCGGCACAUUGUUGCUUUCGCAACAGUUGGAGAGGUAUUUUGAUUCCACCUAAAAUUUUUUUUUUUUAAUAUGUCUUUAUACUGCUUUAAUUAGCAUUUUUCUUUAGUAUUUUCUCUUUUUUAUCUAUAUGUUUCUCAAAUAUAAAAAAUAUAUAUAUUUUUAGUAAUAUUCUUUUUUAUUUUCACCUAUAUUUUUUUAAAAAAUAUUCUCAAAUAUUGUUCUAGUAAUAUCCUUUCUCAUUUGUCCCCGUUGUCAGCAUCGCCAUAUCGUGUGAGACCCCAGAUAGACCUAUAUUUAAGGUAUAAUAGGGCUAAAACUCUUAAUCCGGCUUAAGCAUUUUGGGUGCUGUGGCAAGGCCCAAGAGGUUAAGAAAGUUAAGUGUGUUAGGACGGGAGUAGUCCUAGGAUAGGUAACACCCUGGAAAGUUAGGGCGUCACAGUUGGUGUCAGAGCCAAUUACCAGCUGGAAGUGUGAGAUGAGUCUCGGCUGAGCCAAUAUUAUAUAGCGGGGAGAGCAAGACUUUCAUGCUGUUGACUGUUAUGGAUGGAACACAGAUCAACACAUGGUCAGAUCACCAUAUGGUCGGUUUAGGCUAGCGAGACGAAUAUCACAUCGCCUGAUACUUGUGUGUUUGAGCCUGACGAGGACUUCAGGGCAUAAGGGGAGAGAAUGUGAGACCACAGAUAGUCCUAUAUAUAAGAUAUAAUAGGGCUAAAACUCUUAACCCGGCUUAAGCAUUUUGGGCAGUGCCAAGGCCCAAGAGGUUAAAAGAGUUAACUGUGUUAGGACGGGAGUAGUCCUAGGAUGGGUGACCUCCUGGAAAGUUGGGGCGUCACACAUCAUCAUCCUUCUCCUCAUCGUCAUCGUCAUCCUCCUCCUUAUCGUCAUCUUCAUCAUCGGUGCCGGUACAUUGUCGCCUACGCUGCCUUCGCCACUUUCGCCACCUUUUAUAUUACUUCAGUUUUUCUCAGAUAUUGUAAGAAUGUUUGUUCAAGUUAAUCCCUCUAUUUGUAUGAAGUCAUAGUUUUAAUCGUUCUAAACGUGAAGUUGUCAUAAUGGAUAAACAGUAAAGUGUUAAUUUCCACUUUUAUCAUUUCAUAUGAAAAAAAAAAUAUUAAUAACAAAUUUUUUGGAUGGAUUUGAAGUAUGAAUCGAAUUAGAUUCAUCCUCUGGGACAAGAUGGCGCUAACACAGACGCUAUUGCAAACAAUUCAGUUGUUGUAUUAACAGCAGUGCAUAUUAAUAUCGAUAAUUAGGGUAAAUAUAUUUUUUAAUAUUUUUAUUCUUUAUGUAGUAUUUUAAAUUUAUUUAUCGAGAUCAAUUUAUUUAGCAACAAGUUUUGUGAGUAAAAUUAUGCUUAAUCCACCUAUUCUAGAAACUCAAAAAUAAAAUUAAGGUAAAAAUUCUUACUUAUGUGAAUUCUUAUUAAAUUUCUAUUUUUCACUAAUUUUAUCUAUUUCAAUGAUUUACUAAUGUUUAUUUUAUUAUUUUUCUUACUUUCAUUGUAUUUUGCAUAUAAGCAAUGAUUGAGAGGGAGAUAAUUUUUUUUAAGUAAUGGUUAAAAAUUCACAUUUUAUUUUAACUUUUUUAUCUAUUAAAUAAUGAAAUGAUGGUGACAUUUUCAGUUAGUUUAGUUACUAAUUUUGUGUUUUUUUUUUUUUUUAUAAUACCGUGAUGGAUUUUGUGUUUUUUCUUUGAUGAUAUUGUAAUUUUAUUUCUUAUUUAUGUCAUUUUAUUGUGAUAAUAAUUAAAUACUAUAUAUCAAAUUUAUAAUAUUUAUUUAUAAAUAUUUUAUUUUUUAGUAUUUGUGUGAUGUGCAUUGCAGGUGCAAUUAACUAGUUUAUAAUUUAACCAUAACAUAUACACAUCACAUUAUAGUAACUCCAUAACAAAUAUCAAUUAAGGGCCUUCCCAUGGUGAGAACUCUAAUCGCCAUUCAAGAUGCCUUCAAUUCAAGUUUUGUUCAUAAUAAAUGAAACGCAACUGAGUAGACCAUUAUUCCAUUAUUUUCACCAUGCAUGCGUAGGAUCUUCUUAAUUAGAACUUCUAUUGCAAGAAAUAUAUUGACUAAAUAAUUAGUAUAAAAACAAAUAUUACCCUUUAUUCUAUUUAUGCUUACUUAACUUUUAAUUAUUUUAUUUAUAUUAUUUCACUCAAAUAACUUUGAAAUUUACUAAAUCUAAUAAUAAUUCAGUUAAUGAUCUAAUUUCUUUACGACAAUCGAUGACUAUUAGUUGACAGAGCUAUUAAAUUUAAUAUAAUAUUUAAUUUAGUUUAAAUAAAAAGAUUAUUUUAAAUAAUUAGAAUUUAUGAAGCUACUAAAAAAAUAAAUAAAAAUAAAUUCAUAGUUGAGAGAGCACUAUGCUAGUGCCAAAAACUUUUUUAAAAGAUAGAUCAAUCGAUAUACUUUGGAAAUUAGGUAAAAGUAUAUCUUUAAAAAAAUUAUAUAUAAAAGACUAUUAUGCAAUUUUGAAACGUCUGGGAGACCAUAGCACGCUUCAGUCUUCACGUAGCUCGGCCGUGGUUUUGGUUAUGUGACGUGAAAUAAACUUGUAGUACUUGCAUAACUCUCACGGAGACGUGUUAUUAUUUUGCUUAUGAUGCCCACUAAUAUAUUCAUAUCCUCUUGUAUGAUUUCAUCGGGUCUUACACACGGCCUGUUGAGACUUUUUGGCAGUGUUUGAUUCGGGAACAAAGGAGAAAAUAAAUUUUUGUUCUUCGCUUUGUUCUUAAACAUUGUGUUUGGUAUCUGAGAACAGUAUUCUUGAAUUUUUGAAAUAAACUGGUAUAAGACUGAAACUGCUAUUUUACCAUUUUUUCUAGAAUAAGUUUGUUCUAGCUGGAAACAAGGUUAAUUAAAGUCUAAAUUUAAUUUUAAUUAUUAUAUUAAAUUAUUAAUUAAUCUAAUUAAUAUAUUUAAAGCAUUAUUUAUUACUUAAAUAAUAACAUAAUGUGUCAACUUUGUUUAUUAUUUAUAAUUAAUUAUCAAUAAUUAUCCAGAAACUAAUAUUUAUAUUAAUCAAUCAUGUAUUAAUAUUUCUAUUAAUCUAAUUAAUUUUUUUACUAGUUAUCUAGCUAAAAUAAUUUACUAACUAAUUAAAAAGUUAAAUUAUUUUUUAUAAUUAAUUAAUUAAUUAAUAUAUUUUUAUUAUUUUAUACAAUAUUCAUAGCUAAUAAAUUUAUUAAUUUAUUAAAUUAUUUUUAAGUAAUAUUUUGAUGUUAAUUAAUUAGAUAAAAUAAAUUUAAUUUAAAAGUAUAACACUUAUUUCUCUUGUUCCAAUCUAAUUAAUCAUCCAAACACUAUUUAUCUUAUUCCUAGGAAUAAACAGCUUAAUUUUCAUCCAAAUACAAAAUUGGUUUAAUUCCUAUUUAUACACUUGUAUCUAUUUCUGAAAUAAGCAAUUCUUAUUUAUACUCGAACCAAACAUAGCCGAAGCCGGAAUAUGAUUUUUGAGUGUGGAAGCCAAUCAUACAAGCAAUCAUCUUUAUAUAGGGGUUAUUUUUUUGCAUAUAGUUGCAACUGUAUUGUAAUUGUAACUACAUGCAAAUCUAAAUAUGGCGAGUUUUCUGCCAUUAGUUCUACCAUUUGAUCAUUUUCACCUAUUAGAUUAUACUAUUCAACUAACCACUCACUCAACCCUAGAAGACUACUAUCAUCCUAAUCAGAAACCACUAUCAUCCUCACCGCACAUCCUUUCAUCUAACGACCAAAAACUCGAUAGUACCAAACUGUGAUAUAUAUACUGAACUUUAACAAAUUAGCAAGGUUACAGUAUAAAUUAUUGUUUGCUAAGUUGGAAACGUUUUGGCACGAAAUAGACGCAAAAACGGGCUUUGAAACUCAAGAUUUAAUUGUUGAGGACUAAAGUUGAAAUGCAUUAUUUUGAGCGGCUUCUUAGCAUUUUUGCAUUUAAGUUGGUGGAGUGCAGCGGGCUUCUUUGAUCCUUAUCUCUUUAUCUCUUUUAACAUAAGGUAGAGAGAGAAAGAGUUUGGUUGAGGAGGGAAAAAAAAAAAAAAAUGAGAAGAGGAGAGAAGAAGUUUGAUUUCGUGCUAGCGAGCGAGGGAGUCGAGCGCGCGCACGUGUUUUUGGUGUUUCGAUUUCGCUGUUAGUAUCACAAUAUUAUUAUUUCUUGUUUAGAUUCUUUUGAUAAUUUUUUUUUGUAGAAAAUGAGAGUUAGAAACUGAUUUUUUUUGUACGUUUUAGGAGCUGAUUUCGUGCCUAUCGUUCAGACUAGGAGAGCUGUAGCAUAUUAUCUGACUAUUUUGACUGUCGUCUUGUUUCUUGGAUUUGUGAUAUAGGUGAGUUCUGUGUUAUUAAAAUUGACAGAUUAAUUUCUAUAUCCAUAUUAUAUUAUUUAACCUGUGAGAUGAAUUGUUGACAUAGUUGAGAUAAUAGUGACAGUUUAACAUCUGCCAAUAGAGUAAAUUGAGAUAUAAAUAUAUGUGAUAUUUUUCUAAAGGUCAAUAGACAAUUAUAGAUAGUGUAGACUAUAACUGUAUUUUGGACAGUAUGACAGUAUUAUCAUGAAUUGUUUGAUCAUCGCAUUUGACCACAGUCUGCAUGUUAUAUUGAGUUUGACAAUAAUACUAUACUCAGUUGGGGUAACGGCCCGUGAGUGCCACUCUGGAGGUUGGGUUAUGAGAUAUUAUUAUGGCAUUGGGCAAACAAUAGUUUGCGUGGUAGCAGGCCAUUAUAGGUGGGUGCUGGACAUAAGGCGGCACAGGCUAGACCUGACUGUUGAGUCGGUCACUAUGAUUGGGCAUUAUUGCAGUAUUUUAUUUAGUCUCUAAUUGAUGCAUGCAAAACAUAAUUUAUAAUUUCAGCAUAUUGUAGAGGCAUGAUAGUUGCAGUUUGUUUCAGCAAUUAUUCAUAUUAGUACUUGUUCCUUCAUAUUGCUAAGUUAUUUACUAUUUUUGCCUGUUAUGGACCUAGUGGUGUAGACCGUCGGCGUUGACGAUCGUACCCACUGAAAACUAUUAAUUAUAGUUCUCUACCCUCUUAUUUAUUAUAUUAUUUUAGAGCCUUCAGCACUAGCGACUGAUCGAGAUAAGGGGAUUGCAGAUAGUUAGCAUCUCCUUUCUUGUGUGUGUAGUUGGACCACCUAUCAGUGAGCAGCCUGUACAGUAUUCGAUAUUUGGAGUGAUUAGAGAUGUUGUACCAUUUUGAGGACUAGUGCGGUAAUGAUUGUAUAUCGUUACAGUAUUGCUAUAGUACAUAGUUUUAUUUUUCUCUAAUAUCUAUUAUAUUAUUGUUAGAUUUUAGUUAAUUUUGUUGAACAUGUUUUAUUGAUACUUCGUAAGUAUAAGGUACAUUCUUAUGCAUGCGGCGGGUCUGUUGACGUAAUCCGGACUUCCGCUGAAAUCCGAAGCGUGACACAAACGCUUAGUACUAUCAAUAGUAUAGUAGCAUAAUUCUCUCUCUCUCUUUAUAUAUAUAUAUAUAUUUUUGAUUUUUUAAAUUAUAUGUAUAUAUUUUUAAAAACUUUCUUCUUCUUUUUCUUCUUCUUCUUCUCCCUCAGCACCUUUAUUUUUUUUAUUUUUUAUUUUUUGUUCUAGUCCCUCACAAUGUAAUUCAUAGAUGUGGAUGUGCUGGGUGUGGACACGUUUCUCCUCUCAAUAAAAAUUUAUAGAGCUCCAAGCCCAAUUCUUGAUGAUUGCAUUUAGAUUUCUUUAAAUCUAUAGUGAUCUCGAGAAAUUCAUGAGGGUGGCAUGGGAUUGUGAUCCGGAAUUCUAAAUUUUCUGGGAUCCUGUUGGAUGGGGAUGCAUAGAUUCUGUAGAGAGAGAGAAAGACGAAAAGAGCGAGAAAGAGAGAAGCUGCGCGAUUUGCCCUCUUAGAUUUUUUUUUUUUUUUUUUUUAAUGGCCAAGGUUGGGCCUCUCUUGGGUUGUGCUACUUUAGACAGGCCCAACAAUUGAUACUUUGAUUUCAAAGUUUGAACGCAUCGUUUAUUUUUACUGGUUCAGUUAGUAUAUUUUCUGUAAUUUACACAAUUAGAAAUUUACUAAAGUAAGCACUUAACUUAAACUUUGAAUUCAAAGUGCUAUUAUCUGAUUCAAAUCAAGCAAAUUGAAAGAUUAGAUAGUUAAAUCAAAAUUUGAAAGGUCGGGUACUCAGUUCAAAAUAAUCCAUAAUUCAAAUAAGUUUUAUACGUUUUUAUCUAUAUUGUAAAUAUAUAUUUUUUUUUUACGUUGUCUUCAACUGCAUGCAUUAUUAUCUACAUUGUGUUUUUAAUCACAUCGAAUCAAACGACCCAUAAUAUAUACCAACAGAGUACAAAUACAUAUAGGAAAAGCAACAAACCAAACGGCCCCUAAUACCAGCAAAUUACAAAUACAUGUAGCAAGCACCAAACUAAAAGCAGAAAUACAUCUCGUACAUGGCAAGCCAAAACGAGCAUAACACAACUAAAAGGAUUUGGCAUAUAUCGACUCUAAAAUCCUUUUACGUACUCUAAAAGGUUGACUUGGUAGUGAACACUAGUGGAAAAUAGGUUUUAACACAUCACAACGCAAGACAAAGGCAUAUUAUUUUUGAACGAAAUACACACAUCACCAUGCAAGAUACGAAACACAACGAAAAUCAGCUGAAGGAUGGGAAUAGAUGUCUUCCUUUCCUCAGCAUGAAUCACGCUGCCUUUCCCACGACUUCCUGAUCACUACAAAAAAUAAAAGUUUAGGGUUCGUUGGGAAGAGUUUCAGGUCAAGUAAAUACGUUUCGAGAGUUGUUUGGUACCAGCUUUUUUUCUUGUCCUUGUCCUUGGGCUUGCUCUUAACCGGAGUUUUGUCGUUAUUAUUUUUUUUGUUCUCUGGGUUUGUUGCCCCUUUCCUAUAGCCAAAUUCAUCAGCUUAAUAAAUAAAACAGUAACAUGCUACUUUCUUCUCAAAAAAUAAAAUUACAAAAAUAAAAGCUUGUAUGUACUCAGGUUAAUUUGCUCAAAGGAGGGGAAAAAUAGCCUAGAGUACCAAAAAUAAGAAUAUAUAUCUAUACCACUUAUAAAAGCCUAUAGUUAUUAUUAUUGGUGUCCAUGGUCUCUUAUAUAUUCAAUCACAACUCUAUCUCACACACAGCUCAAAAUUACCAAACGAUGUAAGGCUUGUCUCGGUAGUCUUAACAUUCCAACCCUGACUUAAUUCGUCAUUCCCAUCUUGACAGGUGAAAUUCAUGUUACACUUUCGGUUAGUGAUUGACUCUGAUACUAAAUAUAAUGAUCCGGUUUGCUAGCAAUAAUAACUUGUAGGGUCUAAACCACCGGCCAAAAAUACUUAAGCCUAAUUAUUAUUACUAGUGUUCAUAGUCUCUUAUAUAUCUAAUUACAAUUCCAUUUUUAUCAAAUUUGGCACUAUUGGGGUAUUACAUCCGAUCCUCAAACUUUGAGGUGUUACUAUAUAUACACUAGUUCUCAAGUUUAUUUGAUGUAAUUUUCAACUCAAACUUUUUAAAUUAUUACAAUUAAGUUCUACAGUUAUUGAACGGAUACUAAUAUUAUAGAAAUGUGGCUUCUUAACAAUCAUCAUAUCAUAGAUUACAAAGCUGCCAUGCACAUCACUCCUACAAUAGCUAGAUAUCAGCAUGCAACUAGCUAAAUUGGACUGUAGGGCUUAAUUGAAAGAACUUUGACAGUUAGAGAUAGAAACCACAAUAAAUUAAGGGUGUGUUUGGUUCGGAUUAUCCUGCUAGGAUUACAAGUAAUUCUGUCAGAACUACUGUAUUUGGUUCAUCCAGUCUAUAAUUUGGUUGACAGUACAGCAUUACAAAUGAUAGUAUUACUCUGAAAAUUUAUCAAGCAAGGGGCAGGUAUCUUGUAUUACUGAUGGUGGAUUAUCUUGUAUGUUAUAUAAAAUUACAACUUGAUUCCUCCAACUCCCCAAAAACUUUAAUACAUCAUUUUAAAAAUUUUAAUUUUAAUUUUUGAAUUUUUGAAUUUUAAAUUUUUAAUUUAUAUUUUAAAUUCUAAAAUUUAAUUUUAGAUCUUAAAUUAUAAAUUAUAACUAUAAUUUUAUAUUUUAAAUUUCAAAUUUAAAUUUAAAUUUAAAAUUUUUUAAACUUUUACAUUUAUAUUUUAAAAUAAAAAUAUUAAAUUUCAUAUUUUCUUUACAUUUUAAAUUUUAAAUUUAAAUUCAAAUUUUAAAUUAUUUUAAAAUAAAUUUUAGUAUAAAAUUAUUAUUUGUAGACAAUAAAAGAAUUUUCUCAAAUAUGACCAAAGGGCAAUUUUGAACUAGACUUAUACUUUAUUAUUAGGGUUAUCGAAUUUUAUAAAAUAAAUCAAACAUAGUAAUUCUAUAUACACUGUAAUUCAGCAUUACUUUAUUGUAUUAAACCAAAUAAGGUGAUGUAACGUCAGUAGUAAUCUAAUUCAGAAAUCUCAUAUAUCUAGUUAUAUAUGUCGAAGAAAUUUGUAAUGCUAUAUAACGGAAACCUAACGUGUCGUAAAGGGUAAACUUCAAAUUGCCCCAUGUUAUGUGACACCCCAAUAAUCCCACAUUGGAUGGGAAUGAGGUUGUCAUUAGGUUUACAAGAGACUCAGACAGUAGUAAUAAUAACUGGGCUUAAGCAUUUUAGGCUGUUGGCUGGACUUAACGAGUUAUUAUUGCUAGUGGGUUAGGUCGUUACAUUUGGUAUCAGAGCCGAUUCACCAGCUGGACAUGUGGGGCGAGUCUCGGCUGAGCCAGGGUCAGGAUGACAGGCUAGCGAGACGAGUCUCACAUCGCCUGGUGAUCUUGGACUGUGUGUGUGAUUGGACUGACGAGGACGUCAGGGCCUUAACGGGGAGAGUCUGUGACAUCCCAAUAAUCCCACAUCGGAUGGGAAUGGGAUUGUCAUUGGAUUUAUAAGAGAUUUAGAUACUAGUAAUAAUAACCGGGCUUAAGCAUUUUGGGCUGUUGGUUGGGCCCAACGAGUUAUUAUUGCCAGUGGGCUGGGUCUUUACAUGUGAUUCAGCUUAUAUUCGCUUUGUCGCUCCGUGUCUAAAAAAUUGCAUUUUGCCCCCUAUGGUUUAAUUUUUAUUUCAACAAAAAAUCUAUGCAAAUUGGGUGGAAAGUAAAAAUUUUUAAAAAAUCAUAGGGUGACAAAAUGAAAAUGUGUUAAAUCAUAAAUCAUAGCAGGGUAAGGUGCAACUUUUUAAACCACAAGAUAGCAAAGUAUAACUUUUGACGAGACGGCAAAUUAAAAAUGAGCUAAACUACACAAGGACAAUUUAAUAUUUAUCUACUACAAUUAAAGUUUGAGGAAUAAAAUUAAAGUGUCACGUGCCUCAAACUUCUGGAACCAAAGAUGCAAUUUGGCCGAUAUGUUAUGAAAGCUUGUGGAUGCCACCUACAGAUGUCAACGGAUCGGAUUCGGGGCGGAUUUUUAAAAACCCGAACCCGAACCCGACUCCAAACCCGAGACCCGAAUCCGAACCCGACGGAUUUUAAAAAUCCAUAUCCAAACAAGAACCCGACCAAAAAUCCGAAACCCAAACACCCGAGCCAGAAAAUUUGAACCCGAAACAAUUAUUUUUUUUUCAAUAUUUCAAAAUAUAUUAUAUUAAAUCUAAAUUUUUAAAAUACAAAUUCAAAUAUAACAUCAAAUUUAUAUAUAUAUAUAUAUAUAUAUAUAUAUAUAUAUAUAUAUAUAUAAUACAAAAUAAAUUUGGGUUCGGGUUCGGGUCGGGUACAAUCAAAGUCCAUUUCCGAAUUCAUAUCUGUCGGGUUUCUAUUUUUUAUAUCUAUAUCCGAAUCCAUAUGCAUAUCCAUUGGAUAUAUCCGUUUUAUUCGGAUUCGGGUUCGGAUAAAAUUUCGGAUAUCCAUACCCAUUGACAUCCCUAACGCAUUACUUGCAGACACAUAUUUACAAAUAUACCCAUGAUAUCAUAUUAUAUUAUCUCCAUAACAAAAUAUCAAUUAAGGGCCUUCCCAUGGUGAGAUAUUCUAAUCACCAUUCAAAGGGGCUUUAAAUUCAAGCGUCGCCUGUUCAUACUAAACGAAACGCAAUAGAGAGUAGACCAUUUCACCAUGGGUAGGAUCCUCAUAAAAUUUUUGUUACUUACAUAGGAGCAACAGCUGGUGGAUCCCGUUGACGUUUUGCAGGAGCAUAACCUGAUGCUGUUCAUCAUAACUAGUUAGCGCAGAGAAAUGAACAAAGCUUGAAUGGGAUCGAUGCUCCCCAGUGAGGGCUGGUGCGAGCCUUUAGAUAUUCCAAUGACACUGUGUUAUAUAUAUAUAGGUAUAAUUUAUGAACUGCACCUUAUAUUUUAUGAUCAAUCACUUCAAAACUAAAACCAAAUUCGAGUUAUAAGGGUGUAGAUAUAAAUAAGUGAUUAUAAUUAUAAUUUUUACGACCGUUGUGAUCUGGACAUCAAGUAUGCAUGGCCAGAAAUCAACGACACGCAGAAAAGAGCAUUGCUUGAUUAAUUAGAAAUAGGCAUGAUAUAUGUUUUUGAUUGUUAUAAAACACAACUAAUAGUGUAAUUUUGAUCAUUAAACCUUUGUUGUAGGAGUUUAAUUAUUGAAAACUUGUCUAAAACCAAUGUACUGGAUAAAGUAGAAGAUCCAAAUUAACAGUAAUAGGUUAAAAAAGAACCAUGCAUUGGCAUCGUAAAUUAAUUUAAUCGAUCGCUAUCAUAAUACAGCGAAGAAAGGAGAGGAGAAGAAGCAAGAGAAGCGAGCGUAACUGUUGUCUUUAGGACAAGAAGUCGGGACCGCCGGACGACCAUGACCUGAGGCAAUUUAGCAUAAGCAGUUAACCCAAAGACAUGAACAAAACUUUAAUGGGGCGGUCCCCUAUGAUCGAGAGCUGGUGCCAGCUAUCAGAAUAAACUUUUGUUAAGAAAAAAAUUUGCAAAAAACUGUAAUCUAAUGGCAUUGGUACACAGUAAGUUCUUAUGAACAACACAUAAUAUUUAAACGGUGAUCUAGGGUGAUCUAAAGGGUGUAUACAUAAAAAAUGGUAAUUAUAAAUCUUAUACGAGCAUUAUCUCGCACAUCAAUUAUUGCCCAAAGUUAACAAGCACGGAUGUUUUAACUUUCAUGUCAUUUUCAUAUCGAAUACAUAUUGGAUAUUGAUAUGCGCCCGAUAUGUGAUGAUACAGGAUUGAACCAAUAUCUGGUAUUUUUAAACAAUAGAAAAAUAUCGGAUAUGGCUCGAAUACACGGGAUACGGCUGGCUUUUUUUUUAUGUGGUAAAAAAUAAUCGAAACUCAAAACUUUUGAAAAGCUCACAUACUAACAGUUUGGAAAUGAGAAAAAUUAAGAAUGAGAGAAAUGCCGCCUUUCUUCAAUUUGCCAUUUUUUCUAUCUUUUUGCUUUUGUAUGGUGAAAGUCGCUCUCUCUCACUCUAUCUCCACACACUAUUAAUUUAUAAUUUAGUCCUUUACUGUUUACUUUUACUUUCUUUUAUCUAACUUGCCAACUUAGUUUUAAUCAAUAAGUGCCACAUAGAGAGAAUGAUUUUUGUUUUCUAUUUUCUAUUGAAAUGUUAGCAUAUUGUUUAAUUUUUUAUUAUUGUUUUCUAUAAUAAAACCCAAUAAUUAACUCAUGCGAUUGUGUUUGAAUUAUUAUUUCAUAUGGUUGUGUUUUAUUAUUAUUUUUUUUUUAACAAAUUAAUCUAGAACAAUUGUAUAAGCUUAAUGUAUAUCAGAUCAUUACAUAUAAUUUACAUAUAACUAAAUAUAUUUGGAAUAAUAAUUUAUUCAAUAUAUCCUACGUAUCGUAUUCUAGAGUUUUUAAGGAAUUGCCUACAUAUUACUGUAUCCCGUGUGGUGUAUCCGAAUCCCUGUAUCCAUAACUGUGUAACAUAUUCAACGGCAUAUUAAAAAAGAGAAUUGUUUGAUUAACUAGAAAUAGGUGUUGUGUUUUGAUUGUUAUAGAACACAUCUAAUAAUUUAAUUAACUUUGAUUAUUAAACCUCUGUUGUAGGAAUUUAAUUAUUGAAAAAUUAUCUAAAGCUAGUGUAACGGAAGGGAUAUAUGCGUAAAGUAGAAUAUCCAAAUGAACAGUAAUAGGUUAAAAAGAACCCUGCGUUGGCGGCGCAGUACGAUGAUUUUGAUGACCAUUUGGUUCUCCCUGCUUUGGUCUUUUUGGAUCUGUGAGACAAGGACCAGCAUGUGUUGUUAGGGUUACUGUUAUUUCAUGCAUGCAUGCACGCAGUAAUUUUGAGAGAGAGAGAGAGAGAGAGAGAGACCAGAAGCUCUUCCUUUAACCGGGGGUUCUUUUUUAUUGCUUGCUGUAGUCACGCCUCGCUGUUGUUCUUGCGGUGGAUUCGAAUCAUAUUUUGCAAGACCACAACCUGGUGCUGUUCAUCAUAACUAGUUAGCGCAAAGACAUGAACAAAGCUUGAAUGGGAUCGAUGCUCCCCAGUGAGGGCUGGUGCGAGCCUAGCUUUAGAUAUUCCAAUGACACUGUUAUAUAUAUAUAGGUAUAAUUUAUGUACUGCACCGUAUAUUUUAUGAUCAAUCACUUCAAAACUAAAACCAAAUUCGAGUUAUAAGGGUGUAGAUAUAAAUAAGUGAUUAUAAUUAUAAUUUUUACGACCGUUGUGAUCUGGACAUCAAGUAUGCAUGGCCAAAAAUCAACGACACGCAGAAAAGAGCAUUGCUUGAUUAAUUAGAAAUAGGCAUGAUAUAUGUUUUUGAUUGUUAUAAAACACAUCUAAUAAUGUAUUUUUGACUAUUAAACAUCUGAUGUAGGAAUUUAAUUAUUGAAAACUUGUCUAAAACUAAUGCACUGGAUAAAGUAGAAGGUUAAAAAAGAACCAUGCAUUGGCAUCCUAAAUUAAUUUAAUCGAUCGCUAUCAUAAUACAGCGAAGAAAGGGGAGGAGAAGAAGCAAGAGCAGCGAUCGUAACCGUUGUCGGGAGGAGGAGAAGAAGUCCGGACGGCCCGACGACCACGAUGUGAUUGACGUUCAUGGUCUGGUCCUGAUGCAAUUUAGCAUAACCAGUUAACCGAAAGAGAUGAACGAAAGUUUAAUGAGAGCUGGUGCGAGCUAUUAGAAUAAACUUUUGUUAAAAAAAAAAAAAUUGCAAAAAACUGUAAUCUAAUGGCAUUGGUGCACAGUAAGUUCUUAUGAACUACGCCUAAUAUUUAAAAGGUGAUCUAAGGGUGAUAUGAAGGGUGUAUAUAUAAAAAAGGCUUAAUUUUAUAUAGAUUCCUUCAAACAUCAUGAAUGACAAAUAUACUUUUAUAAAAUUCAACUUUUAUAUAUUAUCCCUACAAAAGUUCUAAUAUUUUCAAAUAUAUCCCUCUGAUUUGUUACUGUUAGAGAACCGUUUAUAUUUUCAAUUUUGCCAUCACAAAUAUGUCCCUUCAAAAAUCAUAACAGUAUAAUAUAAGAGGGAUAAAAAUAUCAAAAACUAAUCAAGAUUAAGUAUUUAAUCUAUGGUUAAGUAAUUUUUUCUAACGGAUUCUAACGAUAUAGAUAUAUUUGAAAAUAUCAGGACUUUGUAAGGACGAACAUAUGAAAAUUAAACUUUGUAGGGAUAUAUUUGUCAUUCAAUAUGAUUGUAGGGAUUUGUAUGAAAUUAACCCUAUAAAAAAAUUAUAAUUAUAAAUUUUAUACAACCAUUAUUUUGGACAUCAAUUAUUGCCAAAAGUCAACAAGCACGAAUAAUUCAAAUUCAAAUACAUAUUAGAUAUUGAUAUGCGCCCGAUAUGUGAUGAUACGGGAUUGAACCAAUAUCUGGCAUUUUUAAACAAUAGAAAAAUAUCAGAUAUGGCUCGAUACACGGGAUACGGCUGGCUUUUUUUUAUUCUAGUAAAAAAUAAUCGAAACUCAAAAUUUUUGAAAAGCUCACAUACUAACUGUAGUACCCUUGUUUAUUUAUUUAUUUUUUUAAAUUUUUUUNCACAGGUUCCGGCUGCUGCGCCUUCCGCGGAUCAGGAUCGAGGCAAGGGCGUCACGAGUUAGAGCCCUACCCGUCGUGCUGAGCUAGAGGUGCCCCUACUGCAAGUAGAUGUUUUGUUUCGAGUUUCUGUACAUAGUAGACUUAACUCGCCAGUGCGAGUAGCUCUGUAUUUUGGAUUUGGACUAGGUAUAUGAAACUCAGUUUGUUUAUCUUCUGUUUUUUUAGCAGCUCUCUACUACUGUUCGUAGUAGCGUUUGAUUUACAGGUACAGCUGUCGCUUCGUAUUCAGAGAAAAUUUCUUUGUAUACGGCGGAUUUGUCGGCGUGCUCGGGGAACUAGACAUCCGGGGCGUGACACUAACCGAUUGGAAAUAAGAAAAAUUAAGAGUGAGAAAAAUACCAGCAUUUCUUCAAUUUGUUAUUUUUUCUAUCUUUUUGCUCUUGUAUAGUGAAAGUCGCUCUCUCUCACUCUAUCUCCACACACUAUUAAUUUAUAAUUUAGUCCUUUAGGCCCCGUUUGGUACGGGAAAGCAAGAAUAAUGAAAGUUAUUUCCGCUAUUCCGCCAAACGGGAUGAAAUUUGACCGGAAUAUUUUAUCCCGGUCAAACCUUGCUAUUUUCGAUUAUUCUGGAAUAGCAAGGGAUUUGCUAUUCCACCAAAAUAAUGGAAUAGCGCUAUUCUAAUGCUUAAUUUCAUACUUAAUUAUAAUUAUAAUUGAAUUAAAAUUAAAUUAUAUAAAUAUAAUAUGUUAUAUAGAACUAGGCUGGAAUAUUAUCAAUAGUACCAAACUGUUGGUGCUAUUAGUUUUUUAGCCCUGGGAUUGAAAAAUAUGCAGUUAGGAUGAUAUGGGCCCUCUAGAGUUAAGUGGGUGGUUGGUUCAAUAGUAUAAUCUAUCGGGUAAAAAUAAUCAAAGUGUUAAAUCUAACGGUAGAAAACUCGAAAAUAUCAAAUCCUUGGUGCUGUCGAUAGUAUCUCAGCCGGACUCAUAUUAUAUAUUAUAAUAUAUUAUUUUUAUUUUAAAAUUAUGAAUUGUACUAUGCUAAUACAUAUUAUUUAUAUUUAAAUAUUAUAAUA
rnacentral:lncRNA from 1 species